rnacentral:lncRNA from 1 species
UCUGCCGUUCGGCCAUGUCCCCGAGGGUCUCGACAUCUCUGUCGUUCGGCCAUCUUUCCGAAGGUUUCGACCAUUCGGUCGUUCGGCCUCGCCCAGUACCGGUACUCUAUCCAAAAUAAGUCGAGACCAACAUCGUCAACCACCAGUUUCUGGCCAUGUUACUGCUAAAGGCAAAAAAGAUACCCCAGGUUAAUCACAUAGACGCGAUGAUGUACCCUAGCUUUAAGUUUUUGAGUUAAGUGGGGUGCCGCUUAACUUUGUUUUAACUGCUAAAUGCUUAAGUAGGAGGUCUAUGUAUAAGGGUUGGAACACCCCUAAAGUGUUUCAUUUUAUUCUAUUAAUUCGUUGCUGAUCAAAAAAAAAAAAAAGUGAUGGAUGCUGGAAGGUGUUCUUGAGGAGAGGUUUUUGAGGCUGCAGGACAUUCGGUCGUUCGUCCAAGACUUUUUGGUCGUUCGCCCAAGUCCUCGAAGGUCUCGAUUCGUUCGGCUAAGUCCCGAGGGUCUCCACAUCUGCUGCUGAAGGAACCUCCACUGCUGUUUUUUCUCUCAAAAUAUUACAAUAAUCCCUCUUGACAGUGUUUCAACCUCUGAAGCUCUAGUGCACAUAGUUCAUUUGGAUGGAGCAUACCAUUUGCAUCUGGUGCAAAGGCUAGUGCAGUUUGUGCAGCAUCCUGUGGCAACGAGCUGCUGAUAGUGGUUCUAGUUUUUGAUAAUGGUUGUUUCCAAGGUAGAGGUGCUGGUUUUUGGGAAGAUCUACAUUGUUAUGGUUUCUGCAAUUUAAAAUACACCUGGUGAAGUAAUAGAAGUGGUGUAAGGAAGCAGCCUGUAUAGAAAUUGAAUUGGUGUAUAGAAGGACUAGUGCUAAUGAAGUUGUAGGAAGUAAAACAGAUUUGGGGAAUGAUGGUUUGGUGUGGAUGACGGGUUGGGAUGGUAUGCAGGAGAUAAACCAGCAUAGUAUGAUAUGAUGACUAGGUGUGUUUGUUGGUUUGAUGUGGAAGCUGGUGUUGAAUGCUGGAUGCUGGUUUGUAGGUUAAAGGUGCUCUGAAGUUGUAGGAUGUAAAAAAGAUUUGGGGAAUGAUGGUUUGGUGCGGAAGAUGGUUUGGGAUGGUAUGCAGGAGAUAAACCAGCAUCGUAUGAUAUGAUGACUAGGCGUGCAGGUUUUCUUUAUGGCACUUUUUUUUCAAAAGUGGAUCCAAAAUGCAGGGUGUUGGUCGUUGAUGGAGCCGCAAGGGAUUGCCUGAUUGUUUAUAUCAGUGUAGUGAGGGAUGAGGAUGAAGAAGGGUAUAUGGAGGCUGGUGUACCUAUGGACUCGUGUUUGGCCAAUCUGGUUUUUUGAAGUGUGGCCUUUGCCCAGGUCACGCUGGUUAUAGCUGAACAAUACAACCAGGGAGCUGCUGGCCACCAUAGUGGAGCUAGCUGCUGUAGGAGUCUUUGGUGUUCUCUUUUGCUCAAUCUUUAUAUUACAAUAAUCCCUCUUGUCAGAGUUACAAUCUCUGAAAUUCUGCUUGAGGAAUAUGUUGUAAUGGAGAGUGGAGAGGUGGAUGUUCAGGACUUAGCAGAGAAAGCUGGAUCAAAAUGGUGGUAAAAAGGCUACACUUGAAUGUGUCAAAGUACAUGGUUCAGCAGGAAUAGCUUCUGGAGUGGGAGGCCUUGAUAAAAGACUUUGUUUGAGGUUGGAGCUUUGGAGAAAAAGAACAAGGCUGGAAAGUUUGCGCAGAAGGUCAAAGCGAAGGUCUUGUCAUUCGGUCGUUCGUCCAUGUCCACGAAGGUCUUGACCUUUCGGUCGUUCGUCCAAGUCCUCGAAGGUCUCGACAUCUCUGUCGUUCGGCCAACUCUCCGAAGGUCUCGACAUUUCGGUCGUUCAACACCAGCAUCCAGCAUUCAACACCAGCUUCCACAUCAAACCAACAAUCUCACCUAGUCAUGAUAUCAUACGAUGCUGGUUUAUCUCCUGCAUACCAUCCCAAACCGUCAUCCACACCAAACCAUCAUUCCCCAAAUCUGUUUUACUUCCUACAACUUCAAAAGCACUAGUCCUUCUAUAUACCAAUUCAAUUUCUAUACAAGCUGCUUCCUUACACCACUUCUAUUACUUCACCAGGUGUAUUUAAAAUGCAGAAACCAUAACUAUGUAGAUCUUCCCAAAAACCAGUACCUCUACCUUGGAAACAACCAUUAUCAAAAACUAGUAACACUAACAGCAGCUCAUUGCCACAGGAUGCUGCACCAACUGCACUAGCCUUUGCACCAGAUGCAGAUGGUAUACUCCAUCCAAAUGAACUUUGUGCACCCAGCAUUAGACCCCUAGCUUCCAGACAUCCACUUCCACACCGUUUGAAUAGUUGAAAGAUUGCACGCCAUGUUUCACCCAUAACCACAUUUUAAGUGGUGCCUACUCUCCAAACCUCAUUCUUCCAAGUUGUUCUGUUGCCUCAAGUUCCUACUGCAACCCCAUUCUUUUUCUAUGGUUACAUCAGAUUGCCUUUCCCUAUCCAUCAUGCACUCAUCAACAUAUAAAACAUGCAGGCCUACCAAAUCCUACCUCACAGCCUCACAACACUCAACAGAACAAAACACAUAAAACAUUACAACUUCCUACUAUAAGGAACAGUGAUACUGGAGCAGAAUCCUGCAUAAAACCCCAUAAAUCAACAAUUUGGUAUUGCAAAAAGACAGAUGCAGAGGAUAUACAGUGCUUCCAUGUGCCAGAAACGCAAAAAACUCCCUCCUUCCUUCAAAUACAAGCCUCAUGACUACUCUUGAUGUUACCUCCUCUGCAUUUGACUCUAUUCCUGCAGCAUCUAGAGCCUCUCCUCAGGAACACCUACCAGCAUCCAUCACUUAAAGCUUCUGAUGCAGAUAAGGGGGUUUAGGAUCCAAUCAGCCAGGGAAUAGCAGCAGCGGUGACCUCUAUGCUUUAGCCAUUGCCAUGAUUUGAGUUGAGCCAUCGAAAAAGUCUCUUCCGCAUCAACAACACCUUGUUUGAAUACAGCUGAGUUCCUAUGCUCCCAAAUGCUCCUUACAACACACGCCCAAACUCCUUUCCACAAGAGGUUUUGUUGGCUACUCAGAUGAGGCAAGGAGAAAUUUUCGAAGUGCAUCAUAGGAACAUUAUGCUGCACAAAAGAGAUGCCAAUCCAAUUAAAACAUAACCUCCACACUUUCUGGGCGAAGGUGCAUUCUAGGAAGAUGUGAUGGCAGGAUUCCUCCUUUGCUUGACAAAGCUCACAUAGAGUUGUGUUAAGCAACACUCCUCUCCUCCUCAAGUCGACUCUAGUUGGGAUUCUACCUAGGAGGACUCUCCAAGCAGUUGUAAUACUAUUGGGGAAAGCUUUGAUUCUCCACAGAUGCUCGAACACUUCGUGGCGCGGACUGCUGUCCUGUUUUGCUAAGCAUUCAUAAGCAGACUGGACAGAAAAGGACCCCGAGCCAUCACACCCCCACGUCUGAACGUCUUGGUGACCCCUCAACGGGCUUACUCGGGAUAGGAGUUGGACAAGGUUUGCUUCCAACGGGGAUUCCCAUUCAAACCUAUCCCUUCUCCACCUUAAAUCCCACCUCCAAACAGCGCUUACCCACUCCCCAACCUCACUCACCAUCAGGCCCUGGUCCAAAGAUAAGGAGAACUACCUAGGGUAGAGGGUUUUGAGGUUGAUAUUGCCAAUCCACACAUCCUCCCAGAAGUUCACUUUUUCUCCUCCUCCUAUCUUCCAUACAAGUUGAUUUUUGAACCACCCUCCUCCUUCUCCCUCUGUGCAUACUUUUUUCAAAUCUCUCCACCACCAUGAUUGGAAUUUCACUGGGCCAAGCGGACAAUCCAGAUUCAUCCCAUACUUUGAGACCAAUAGGUCUUUCCACCUCCCCUUUUCUUCCGAUACCAUCCGCCAUCUCCACUUGGCUAGGAGGGCGUAAUUAAACUUCCGAAUAUCUCUGAUCCCCAAUCCUCCCUCCUCCUUCGGUUUGCACACAUUUUCCCAGCUAACCCAGGUUAUCGACCUCUUCUCCUUUCCCCAUCCCCACAAAAACCUUCGCUGAAUGCUGAUAAUGCUUUUAUAUACAGAUUCCGGUGCUUUGAAGAUAGAGAGAUAGAAAAGCGGGAUCGCUGAGAUAACCGAUUUGAUUAGGCAUAUUCUCCCUGCCAAUGACAAAAAUCUUCCUUUCCAGACAUUGAGUCUAGCUUUAAGCUUGGUUAACACCGGUUCCCAGAACUUCACCUUCCUUGGGUUCCCUCCCACUUCUAAUCCAAGGUAAUUAAACGGGACUCCCAUCUGGGCACAACUCAGGGUCUUUGCAUAGCUUGACAGAGCAAAGUUAUCCACAUUCACACCUGCAAUCUUAGACUUAUGGAAAUUUAUCUUUAAGCCUGAUGCUAGUUCAAACCCCCUUAGGAUCGCCUUCACGGCAACAACAUUGCUAUGCGACGCUUCGCAAAGAAAGAGGGUGUCGUCUGCGAAUUGCAUGAUACUAAUCUCCCCCUCUCCUCUACCAAACUUAACACCCGAAAGCAGAUUGGCCUUGUUCGCUUGCCUAACUAGCCCAGCUAGGCCUUCAGCUACCACAAUGAAGAGGAACGGGGCUAGCGGAUCGCCUUGCCUCAAGCCUCUAGAAGGUUUGAAUUCCUCCGUAGGACUCCCGUUAACUAAAACGGACACUGAGGCCGAUUCCAUGCAGUGUAGUGAGGAUUGAGGAUGAAGAAGGGUAUAUGGAGGCUGGUGUACCUAUGGACUCGUGUUUGGUCAAUCUGGUUUUUUGAAGUGUGGCCUUUGCCCAGGUCACGCUGGUUAUAGCUGAAUAAUACAACCGGGGAGCUGCUGGCCACCAUAGUGGAGUUAGCUGCUGUAGGAGUCUUUGGAGUUCUCUUUAGCUCAAUCUUUAUUUUACAAUAAUCCCUCUUGUCAGAGUUACAAUCUCUGGAACUCUGCUUGAGGAAUCUGUUGUAAUGGAGAGUGGAGAGGUGGAUGUUCAGGACUUAGUAGAGAAAGCUGGAUCAAAAUGGUGGUAAAAAAUGGUGGAAAAAGGCUACACUUGAAUGUGUCACAGGAAUAGCCUCUGGAGGUGAGCUUGGGGUUCUACAAAUCUUCUCUAGGUCUCGUUUAUGCUGGUGUUAUGCAGUCUCAGGUAUUGGGACUGAGUGAAAAAGAAGAAGGCUGGAAAGUUUGCGCAAAAGGUCAAAGGGAAGGUCUUGACGUUCGGUCGUCCGUCCAAGUCCACGAAGGUCUUGACCUUCGGUCGUUCGUCCAAGACCUCGAAGGUCUUGCCACCUCUGUCGUUCGGCCACGUCCCCGAGGGUCUCGACGCCUCUGUCGUUCGGUCAACUCUCCGAAGGUUUCGACCAUCGGUCGGUCGGCCUUGCCCAGUUCUGGUACUCUAUCCUUUUGUAAGUCGAGACCAACAUCGCCAACCACCAGUUUCUGGCCAUGAUGCUGCAAAAACACAAUGCUGUACCCUAGCUUUAAGUUUUUGAGUUAAGUGGGGAGCCGCUUAACUUUGUUUUAAUUGCUAAAUGCUUAAUUAGGAGGGCUAUGUAUAAGGGUUGGAACACCCCUAAAGUGUUUCAUUUAAUUUUAUUAAUUCGUUGCUGAUCAAAAAAAAAUCCACAUCACCCACUUGCAGUGGAAACCCAUUUUGUAGAGCAUAUCGUACAUAAACUCCCACCGCACCGAGUCAUAUGCUUUUUCAAAAUCCACCUUCAAGCAGAGACCACUCCUCUCACGCCUUCUAAGAUCCUCUACCACCUCAUUGGCCAUGAGAACACUGUCUAGAAUCCCUCUCCCCUUUAGGAAAGCAGAUUGACUUUCAUCAAUAACGGAGUUCAACACUUUCUUUAUUCUUUCAGCCAACACCUUUGCUAUAACUUUGUAUAGAGCCCCCACUAGUGAGAUGGGACGAUAUUGCUCCAGCGAGAAGGGGUCCUUCACCUUUGGAACCAAGGCUAUGAAGGAUGCAUUACAUCCCUUAGGAAUAGACCCUGUAUCAUGGAACACAGCCAAGGCCUUAACAAACUCGUCUUUUAUAAACUCCCAACUUUUCCUGAUAAAAUUAAAGUUGAAUCCAUCAGGUCCUGGACUCUUUGAUCCUUCACAAUUCCACACCGCUUCCUUGAUCUCAUCUUCCUUAAAGCCAGAGAUAAGAAACAGGUUGUCUUCUGGGGAUAUAGAUUUGAACUCCACUUCAUCAAGUCUUACCCCAAAAUCCCUUGUUGCUGUAAACCUAUUCUCAAACAACUUCUUGGCCUCUGCUCGCACCGUAGAAGGCUCCUCACACCACUGACCCCCAACCUCCACUCCUUUUACUUCGUUUCUAAGCCUUCUCCAUCUCAAGGAGGAGUGAAAAAAUUUAGUACACGAGUCGCCGUACUUGAACCAACAAGCUCUUGCUUUCUGACUAAUGAGGGAGUCUAUCUUUCUGUCAACCUCCCCUAGCUGGUUCAGUAACUCCAGUCUCUCCACCCUCCCACUAACCACCGAACCUCCAUCCUUAUCUUGGUUGUCACAGACCUCAAUUUCGCGCAGGAUACCAUUCUUAAUGGUAUAAAGAUUACCGUACACAUCUCUAUUCCAGAUUUUCAAGUCCCCUUUGAGCAGCUUCAGCUUAACCUUAAGGUUCAAAAUGGCAUUCCCUUGGGCUGGAUAAGAUUGCCACUUUCCCUUCACCAUCCCGUUGAAACCUCUAUCCAUAUGCCAGGCAUCGAUAUUUCGAAAGGGCUUGGGACCCCAGUCCUUAUCCAAGGUCUUCACCACCAGAGCACAGUGAUCAGACACUUCCCUCUGUUGGACAUAUUGUUUACAGUUUGGCCAUAAGCUCAACCACUCCUCAGAGACAAGGAUUCUAUCAAGCCUGCUCUUAGCCGACCCAUUUGCUCUAAACCACGUGUAAGCUUUCCCUACAAUAGGGAGAUCCAGAAGCAUAUUAGAUUCAAUAAAACAAUUAAAACCAUAUAUCUCGCUCGUUUGGCCACUUGCCGUUGCACCCCGACUGCUAGCACCUUUCCUUUCCCGUCUACUUCUUACAGCAUUAAAGUCACCACAGAGACACCAAACCAACUCCUGUGACCCUCCUUUGAUUCCAGUUAUCUCCUCCCAGAGAAUCUUCUUUUCUCUUAGACUACAGGCUGAGUAAAUAUUAACAAUAACACACUUACGUGUAGACCGCAGGUGUUGGCCAAAGAUAACUAUGAAUCCCUUCCCCAUCACAUGACUCUCAUAGCAGAACAUAUCUUUGUGCCACAUGGACAGCAAGCUUCCACCUCCAUUUUCACCUUCAUAGUGAAUCCACCCGACUCUAUUGUCCCCCCACAAAGCAAAACAUCUAGCAUCGGUGAACCCCUUCAAUUUCGUUUCUUGAAUGCAAACAAACUCUGCUCCUUCUCUUGAGAUCAAAUUUUUAAGAUAUCUGCUUUUUGUUCCUCCCCCCAAACCUCGGAUGUUCAAGCUAACUAUCAGCAUAGGAGACCUUUUGUUACCCCCUCUUCUAGCUUCUGUGCAAACUCUACAUCUCUCGUUUCCAUACUCUGAUAUUCCUUCACAACCUCUUCUUCGAUCCUACGACAUACAAUUCCCAUCUGUUUGCCCAUCUCCCACAACUUUAGUGGUUUCUCCGUUACGUCCAGGUCCCGGAACCUUGAGUUACAAAUGAUUGUAUCCCCAUCAGAGAUAGUUGCAGAAAGAGUUCCAGCUUUUGAGGCAGAGUCCCUUACCUGGGAGGGCCAUACUCUUAUUGACCUCCGUGGAAGGGUGCUUGGUUCCGCCAUUUCCCCCAGCCCCUUCAUUCGCAGUCUACCCCUAGGGGAUUGGUUCCUGAUUCCACUUCCCCCUUUGCUGACCUCAUGGCCACGUAUUUCCAGGACUUCCCUUGGCUCCAGCUCCCGACCGACCGAAGCUCCCUCAUGGAUAUGCUGAUUUGUUCGGCCGAACGACCGAACGACCGACACUCCCCCCUCAAUGUUCGGCCCGUCGUCCUUACUCAGGAGCACUCCAUCUCCUACUUCCUCUUGGACUAGCGAAUGGGAUAACCCAUUGCCAAAAAGGGCCGACCGGUUUCCUUCGUGGCCCAAGAAGACAGAGGGUUCGCGCUGAGUGCAACUUAACUCCUCAUCCACAACUAACUUGGCCACGUCAGCCCGAGGGUUGGUACUAUAGUGCAAAGCUGUGGGCCCGUUGCUACAGGUUUUCAGGAUCGCCGCUUCGUCAGAGGCUAUCUGAUUUACUGUUUCCACAUUGGUGAAACUCUUAGCACUGACCCUCUGACAGACUAGACCCUUAGAGGUUGCUUCCCCACGAACCAAGCCUUUUGUCGUAUUCUCUUGACCCUCACCGUCACCUACCACCUCCCUUCCGACUUGGACUUCUUCACCGUUAACUUCACCACCGAUCACCUCCCCCCUAGGCCACUGCCUUAUCCGACCCCGAACUUUUCCUUCCUCUUCACAACUAUUCACAGAGGCAGUAUCCUCUACAUAGGUUUCCGACGAGGAAACACUAUCCGAGGAGCCACCAUCAUCAUAGAUGCACCUGCAUGAACCUCUAUUCCCACAUAUAACUUCUUCUUCUAUACGGAUACUAUAAAGAUUAUUGUUGAUCUUCAUGUCUGCCGCCAUCCCUACACUCUGGCUCUUUGGCAUCCUGACUUGAAGAACAGCAUACUCCAAGUUCUCCCAUAGGAGAGUGGCUUUGCCGAUAGACACUAUAGUUGCCUUAUCUCCCACCACUUUAGAGAAGCACUCCUUGUUCCAGAGAGAAAGGGGUAGUCCAUAGCACCUUACCCAGACGACUUUGUGGCUCGCUAUGCACUUUUCCGACCAUGGUUCAAAGCUUGUGAAAACACUCUCAAACCACUCCUUAUUAAGCUUAAUAAGAGCCUGCAUACUCUCCCCUUCCCUUGGCAUAAGCAGAACUAGAUUGUCUCCUAAGGAAUGCAAAAAAACCGUGCUCAACCCUCCUUUCAGGAACUCUUCGCGUAACUGAUCAAGAUCUAGUUCUGCACGCAGCUGACCAAUGACACUUGCCUCCAUCCACGGUAGGAUCUGUUUUUGGACUGAGAACGUUGGUCCCUUCCACACCUGACGAGGACCUCCCCUUACUAUAUCAGCAUAUGACUCUUCCCCUUUCUUUUUCACCCAUACCUCCUUCUUCCUCUCCCUCCGUGUUUCCGCCAGGCCUUCCCCUCCCCUCCUCCUUGACUCAGAAUGAGGCACCCCCGGGGGAAACUUGUAGACCCUAGACUCGGGUACAAGCCUCCUGUACCUCGGGAUAUUGACAUGGAGCUUCACAUUGCCAAUGAAAAUUUGGUCAAGCUCCUUCUCUAAUCUUGUCGCAUUUCCCACUUCGAAGAAACGAACAAAACCAAAUCGUCUCCCCCACUUGUUCAGCCUUCGAGCAAUGAAAACUUCUUUCACUCUAGCCCAUUUCUGGAAGAUCUUGUGCAUGUCCAGUUCACCAUACCCGUUCGGAAAGUUGGAGAAGAAGAAUGUUGUGGCGUCGCCUGUGCUAUACGCAGAAAUACCUGUCUUCUCUUUUACACCAUGACCACCUUGACCAUUGUGACCACCAUAACCACCAUGAGAAGGGCGAGUUUCUCUCCCUCUCCUUUCUCUCUCUCUCCCUCUCCUUUCUCUCUCCUUUCUCCCUCUCCUUUCUCUCUCCAUUAAAAUUGAACGAGGCAUAAAUAAUUCUGAUUACCUUUUUUUUGAUCAGCAACGAAUUAAUAGAAUUAAAUGAAACACUUUAGGGGUGUUCCAACCCUUAUACAAAGACCUCCUAAUUAAGCAUCUAGCAAUUAAAACAAAGUUAAGCGGCUCACCACUUAACUCAAAAACUUAAAGCUAGGGUACAUCAUUGCGUUUAAGUAAUAAGAUAAUUCUGAUGCCGAACGAGGCAUAAAUAAUUCUGAUUACAUUAAAGUAAUAAGAUAGUUCUGAUGCCGGACGAGGCAUAAAUAAUUCUGAUGCCGAACGAGGCAUAAAUAAUUUUGAUUUCUGACCAAGGUUGGUGAAUAACGUUGAAGUUAUAAUUCGUUAUAUAUUCUGGCCGAACGAACGGUUAAUGAAUUAAUAGAUAAUUCGGAUGCCGGACGAGGCAUAAAUAAUUCGGAUUACCUUAAAGUAAUAAGAUAAUUCUGAUGCCGAACGAGGCAUAAAUAAUUCUGAUUACGUUAAAGUAAUAAGAUAAUUCUGAUGCCGUAGGAGGCGUAAAUAAAUCUGAUUACCUUAAAGUAAUAAGAUAAUUCUGAUGCCGAACGAGGCAUAAAUAAUUCUGAUUACAUUAAAGUAAUAAGAUAGUUCUGAUGCCGGACGAGGCAUAAAUAAUUCUGAAUAAUUCUGAUGCCGAACGAGGCAUAAAUAAUUUCGAUUUCUGACCAAGGUUGGUGAAUAACGUUGAAGUUAUAAUUCGUUAUAUAUUCUGGCCGACCGAACGGUUAAUGAAUUAAUAGAUAAUUCGGAUGCCGGACGAGGCAUAAAUAAUUCGGAUUACCUUUUUUUUUUUUGAUCAGCAACGAAUUAAUAGAAUAAAAUGAAACACUUUAGGGGUGUUCCAACCCUUAUACAUAGACCUCCUAAUUAAGCAUUUAGCAGUUACAACAAAGUUAAGCGGCUCCCCACUUAACUCAAAAACUUAAAGCUAGGGUACAUCAUCGCGUCUAUGUGAUAACCUGGGGUAACUUUUUCCUUAAGCAGUAACAUGGCCAUAAACUGGUAGUAGACGAUGUUGGUCUCGACUUAUAUAGGAUAGAGAACCGGUACUGGGCGAGGCCGAACGACCGAAUGAUUAGCCUCAAUACCCCGAUGUGUGAGCAUGAAGCCUAAGAACUUCCCACCUUCGACGCCGAACGCGCACUUUUCCGGAUUUAAACGCAUGCGGUAUUGACGCAAGGCUUGAAAAACCUCUUUUAGGUCAGAAACAUGUUGCUCGCAAGAGUCUGAUUUGACGACGAUGUCGUCAACGUAUACUUCCACAUUCCGACCGAUCAUGUCGUGGAACACGUGGUCCAUGAGUCGCUGGUAUGUGGCUCCUGCAUUCUUGAGACCGAACGGCAUGACUUCAUAGAAGAAAUUAUCAGAGUCCGUUCUAAACGCGGUUUUUUCCCGGUCACGGUGGUACAUUUGUAUUUGAUUGUAACCCGAAUAAGCAUCAAGGAAACUUAGGAUUUGAUGACCGGCUGCACCGUCGACCAGUCGGUCGAUAGUAGGCAGGGGAUACGAGUCUUUUGGGCACGCCUUGUUAAGGUCUGUGUAGUCUACGCACAUUCUCCAUUUUCCAUUCGCCUUUUUUACCAUCACUACAUUGGCUAGCCAUGUCGUAUAGUGGGCCUUUUGAAUGAAACCAGCUUGAAUUAACUUUCUGUUUCUUCUCGUGCGGCUUUGCGCCGUUCUUCACCUAGUUUCCUUUUCUUUUGAGUGAUCGGCCUGGCCUCUGUAUACACAGAUAAUCGAUGGGUAAUCACAUCUGAUUUUACCCCUGGCAUGUCUGCAGCCGUCCAAGCGAAAAGAUCAGCGUUCUUUAUUAAUGUUUUUCCGACCGCCUCUCGGUCGUCCGGAUUGAGAGAUGUUCCCAUGUAUGUUUUUCGGUCUUUGUCUUGGAGGAAUAUGGGUUGAAGAUCUUCCCCUGCUUCCAUCCGGGGAUCAUCCAGUCGAGGGUCUAGAUCGACUAAGGCGACCAAGUGUCUUCUAGUUUUAAUAUUUUUCUCCCUCAAUAGAAAAUUUGGUCAACACACUCGUUUAACUCAUAUCAUAGUAAUCAUCACUAUGUUGAAACUCUUGAGUUGUAAUUGUAAGGGUGAGACAACCUUCUACAACAUAGAGUGGAAUUGCAUAAAACUAAGGAUCAUACUUUAAUAAUUCAACUGGUUUUAAGAGAAGGAUUGUCUUUUCUCAGUCGGUAUCUUUUUCACAUAACGUUUUUGUACUCUUCUUUAACUCCUUUACUUUUCGACUUCUUGAGCUCCAAACUCGGAUAAUAUCUGUAAAAACAUUCUGACGUUCAAGUCAGAUUUCCAAUAUUUGAUACUCGGUGCUAUUAGUCCUGAAAGAUGACUACCUUAUUUUCAAAAUCUGUGCAUAUUUAUAUAAUUAUCAUGAGUUUUUUGUUAUUGGGUUCGCAAGUGAUAGAUUUUAGAAAUACCUUAUGCAUGCAUCUUAUACAUAUUAUCUAUUUGAUGUUUAUAUUUGUUCACAUGUUUGUUCAUAUGGCUCACCUCCCCGGGCUUUUUAGCAGAACUCUAGUACUAUUUCAGCCUCUGGUGGAGCUAAGCUGUUAACAAGAAUGUUAGUGAGUACGUCGCUCCCAUACAGGGGUCUUCCUUUGUGCCUGAGAUUGCAGACAAUACUAUGAUGAUGCUAGUGUGAUCCAAUAAUUUUCCAAACAUAAACUGUUUGGAGUGCCAAUGAUCCGUGACCAACUCCAUUCUUUCUCCUCUCCAACUUCUAAUUCUGCUAACUGCCAUAAGUCAUGAUGUUACCAAAACACAAUUNNNNNNNNNNNNNNNNNNNNNNNNNNNNNNNNNNNNNNNNNNNNNNNNNNNNNNNNNNNNNNNNNNNNNNNNNNNNNNNNNNNNNNNNNNNNNNNNNNNNCUUUGCUUGUGAGAGAGUUUUAAAUGGCAGGUUUGAAAAGGGUAUUGCAAAUGCCAAAAGGGGUAGAAUUCAAGCACUAUGGUCGAAACCUACGGAAAGAUGGCCGAACGACCGAGAUGUCAAGACCCUCGGGGACAUGGCCGAACGACAGGAAUGACGAGACCUUCUAGGACUUGGGCAAACGACCGAGAGGUUAAGACCUUCCCGUACGACCGAAGGUCAAGACCUACGCUUUGACCUUCUGCGCAAACUUCCAGCCUUCUUCUUUUACUCCAAAGCUCGAACCUCCAGCAAAGUCUUUUAUGCAGUCCCAAUACCUGAGACUGCAUAACACCAGCAUGACACAAGUCCUAGAGAUGAUUUGUAGAACCCCAAGCACACCUCCAGAAGCUAUUCCUACUGCAACCCCAUUCUAUUACUGAAGUUACAUCAGAUUGCCUUUCCCUAACCAUCAUGCACUCAUCAACAUAUAAGACAUGCAGGCCUCCCAUUUCCUACCUCGCAACCUCACAACAACUGAUUUAAACAAUCAGGCUGUCCCUUACAGCUCCAUCAACGACCAACACCCUGCAUUUUGAAUCCACAUUUGAAAAAAAGCCAAAAAGAGAACCUGCACGCCUGCAUUGUCUUAAGCUUUGUUUGUAAAAAGAAGCUUUUGGCUUAGAGCACCUUUAACCUACAAACCAGCAGUCAGCAUUCAACACCAGCUUCCUCAUCAGACCAACAUACUCACCUAGUCAACAAAACAAACGAUGCUGUUUUAUCUCCUGCAUACCAUCCCAAACCAUGUUCCACACCAAACCAUCAUUCCCCAAAUCUGUUUUACUUCCUACAACUUCAGAGCACCUUUAACCUACAAACCAGCAUCCAGCUUUCAACACCAGCUUCCACAUCAAUCCAACAAUCACACCUAGUCAUCAAAUCAUGCGAUGCUGGUUUAACUCCUGCAUACCAAACAACCAUUAGCAGAAACUAGAACCACUAUCAGCAGCUCGUUGCCACAGGAUGCUGCACAAACUGCACUAGCCUUUGCACCAGAUGCAAAUGGUACUCUCCAUCCAAAUGAACUAUGUGCACACGAGAUUCGGAGGAUGAAACACUGUCAAGAGUGAUUAUAAUAAUAUUUUGAGAGAGAAAACAGCAGUGGAGAUUCCUUCAACAGCAGAGAUGGAGACCCUCGGGACUUAGGCGAACGAAUCGAGACCUUCGAAGACUUGGGCAAAUGACCAAAAAGUCUUGGACGGACGACCGAAAGUCCUGCAGCCUCAAAACCUCUCCUCAAGAACACCUUCCAGCAUCCAUCACUUAAAGCUUCUGAUACAGAUAAGGGGAUUUAGAAUCCAAUCAGCCAGAGAAUNNNNNNNNNNNNNNNNNNNNNNNNNNNNNNNNNNNNNNNNNNNNNNNNNNNNNNNNNNNNNNNNNNNNNNNNNNNNNNNNNNNNNNNNNNNNNNNNNNNNUGCUUUAGCCAUUGCCAUGAUUUGAGUUGGGCCAUCGAAAAAGUCUCUUCCGCAUCAACAACACCUUGUUUGAAAACAACCGAAUUCCUAUGCUCCCAAAUGCUCCUAACGACACACGCCCAAACUCCUUUCCACAAGAGAUUUUGUUGGCUACUCAGAUGAGGCAAGGAGAAGUUCUCAAAGUGCAUCGUAAGAACAUUGUGCUGCACAAAAGAGAUGCCAAUCCAUAUAAAACAAGACCUCCACACUUUCUGGGCGAAGGGGCAUUCUAAGAAGAUGUGUUGGCAGGAUUCCUCCUUUGUUUGACAAAGCUCACAUAAGGUUGUGUUAAGCAACACUCCUCUCCUCCUCAAAUCAACUCUNNNNNNNNNNNNNNNNNNNNNNNNNNNNNNNNNNNNNNNNNNNNNNNNNNNNNNNNNNNNNNNNNNNNNNNNNNNNNNNNNNNNNNNNNNNNNNNNNNNNGUGGCGCGGACUACUAUCCUGUUUAGCUAAGCAUUCAUAUGCAGAAUGGACAGAGAAGAACCCCGAGCCAUCACACCCCCACGUCUGAACAUCUUUGUGACCCCUGGACGGACUUACACGGGUUAGUAAUUGGACAAGGUUUGCUUCCAACGGUGAUUCCCAUUCAUACCUAGCCCUUCUCCACCUUAGGUCCCACCUCCAAACAUCACUGUCCCACUCCCCAACCUCACUCACCAUUAGGCCCUGGUCCAAGGAUAAGGAGAACAACCUUGGGUAGAGGGUUUUGAGAUUGAUAUUACCAAUCCACACAUCCUCCCAGAAGUUCACUUUUUCACCGCCUCCUACCUUCCAUACAAGUUGAUUUUUGANNNNNNNNNNNNNNNNNNNNNNNNNNNNNNNNNNNNNNNNNNNNNNNNNNNNNNNNNNNNNNNNNNNNNNNNNNNNNNNNNNNNNNNNNNNNNNNNNNNNNNNNNNNNNNNNNNNNNNNNNNNNNCACCGCCCCUCUUCUUCCGAUACCAUCCGCCAUCUCCACUUGGCUAGGAGAGCAUAAUUAAACUUCCGAAUAUCUCUGAUCCCCAGACCACCCUCCUCCUUCGGUUUAAAGUAAUAAGAUAAUUCUGAUGUCGAACGAGGCAUAAAUAAUUCUGAUUACGUUAAAGUAAUAAGAUAAUUCUGAUGCCGAACGAGGCAUAAAUAAUUUCGAUUUCUGACCAAGGUUGGUGAAUAACGUUGAAGUUAUAAUUCGUUAUAUAUUCUGGCCGAACGAACGGAAAUAAUUCGGAUUACCUUAAAGUAAUAAGAUAAUUCUGAUGCCGAACGAGGCAUAAAUAAUUCUGAUUACGUUAAAGUAAUAAGAUAAUUCUGAUGCCGAACGAGGCAUAAAUAAUUUCGAUUUCUGACCAAGGUUGGUGAAUAACGUUGAAGUUAUAAUUCGUUAUAUAUUCUGGCCGAACGAACGGUUAAUGAAUUAAUUAACUUCUGACCAAGGUAGGUAAUUUAAAGUGCCUCGUUAAAAGCUUCUCGGUAGAAAACCCUCCUUAGGGAUAAAACUACCGAGCGAGGAAAGAGUGCACUGAGUUUAUUCAUCAACUGUAGUAGAAUUUGAGAUGCGUGGCAUUCCAUGUUCUCGGUAUAGAUUUUCCUGACAAAUAUUCUAAGUAAUAAGCUCCUCCUGUUGCUGUGUCGGAGAUUCGGAACGGUCCUUCCCAGUUGCUUGAAAACUUUCCUCCGUCCUUCCGAGCGUUGCUGCGCAUGCGCCAAACUAGAUCUCCUUUCUGAUAGUUUCGUGGCUUCACUUUCGAGUUGUACCUUCGUGCUGCUCGUAUCUUGCAUGCUUCUUCCCUUAUCUUGCAUUUGUCCCUCAAUUCAUUGAUGAGGUCGAGGCCGACUAGUAGACUUUCCUUGUUUAAGUCUAGGUCUAAUGUCUGUCGGCGUAGUGAAGGCUCGCCGAUCUCGACCGGAAUCAUGGCUUCUGUGCCGUACGUCAGGCUGUAAGGUGUUUCCUGAGUCGUUGAUUGGGGAGUACAACGAUAAGCCCACAGAACCUCCAACAAUUCUUCCGUCCAGUUUCCCUUAGAGGGGCCAAGUCUCUUCUUUAACUCAUUGAGAAUAACUUUGUUGGCCGCUUCUGCCUGCCCGUUGGUUUGAGGGUGUUCGACCGAACUCGUUAUGUGUUUGAUGUGAAGUUUCUCAUAGAAUUCAGCUAGCCCACGGUCGGUGAACUGCCGGCCGUUGUCUGUGAUAAUUAUCUGGGGUAGGCCGAACCUGCAGACAAUGUUUUUCCACACAAAGCUUUGGACGUUCCGGGCGGUGAUGGCCGUUAGCGGUUCAGCCUCAAUCCAUUUAGUAAAGUAAUCUAUGCCAACCAACAAGAACUUGCAUUGUCCCUUUCCAGGUGUGAAAGGUCCGAUAAUAUCCAUGCCCCACUUCACAAAUGGCCAAGGGGAUAGGAUAUAGUGUAGGUGUUCUGGCUUUUGGUGCGAUAGGGUGCCGAACUCCUGACACUUUAUACAUCUUUGAACGUAUUCGGUGCAGUCCCCUUGUACGGUCGGCCAGUAGUAUCCGGCUCUGAAAAUUUUAGCGGACAUAGUUCGUGCCCCUGAAUGGGUUUCGCAUAUCCCCUCGUGCAACUCGGUCAUUACAUAUGUGACCUGUUCUGGACUAAGGCAUUUUAGGAGGGGACGGGAGUACCCUCUCCUGUAGAGGUCUUGGCCAACGAGUAUGUAUCGGGCGGCUUGUAGUUUCAUUGUCCUCUCUAAGUGUGGAUCGCAUGCUCCGUCGGUCAGAUAUUGUUUUAUGGGAGUCAUCCAAUUUGGUUGAGUGUCGGUCGUCAUACAUUCUUCGGUACCAACACUUGGUUUAGAGAGGGUCACAUGUAUGCCCGACCGGUGGACACCUUUAUUUUUUAAGGUAGCCAAUCUUGAUAGAGCGUCCGCCCUAGUGUUAUUUUCCCUUCGUACGUGUUGGAAUGAGAUUUCUUCGAACCUGUUUAGAAGAUUUUGCACAAAAUGAAAAUACUGCUGGAGUAAGGUUUCUCUUACCUCAUAUUCUCCUGUUAUUUGCCCAAUGACUAGACGGGAGUCGCUCUUACAAAUUAUAUUUGUUAUCUCCAACUCAAUCGCCAGAUGUAGACCUGCGAUUAUAGCUUCGUAUUCGGCCUGAUUAUUGAAAGUUUUGAAUUCAAACUUCAUGGCUUGUUCGACAACAAUUUCCCCUGGUCCUUCAAGUACAACUCCUGCUCCGGACGAACGACUGUUUGAUGAUCCAUCUACGUAUAGUGUCCAUCGGGGAGUUCGUUCGGUCGGAUAGGGAGUGAGUUCCGCUGUGAAGUCGGCGAGGGCUUGGGACUUGAUGGCCCCCCUGGGUUGGUAUUCGAUGUGGAAUUCUGACAGCUCGACUGCCCAACCUAUCAUUCGUCCGGCGAGGUCAGGCUUGGUGAGAAUCUUCAUAAUGGGAUAGUUAGUCUUAACAAUAACCUUGUGAUUUUGGAAGUACAUCCGCAUCCGUCGUGCGGUAAUGACUAGAGCUAAGGCAACUUUUUCGACCAUUUGGUACAGGGUCUCCGCGUCGUGCAAGACUCGGCUGACGAAAUAUACCGGUCGCUCUUCCGCUCCGAUUUCUUGUACUACAACGGAACUCACUGCUUCAUUGGAGACAGCGAGGUAAACCACAAUGGGCUCUCGUACGUUCGGUUUCUGGAUGACCGGUGGGGAAGCCAGGAAUGUUUUCAGCUGUUGGAAAUUUUGUUCGCAUUCAUCCGUCCAUUCAAACUUAGUCGUUUUCUUCAAAAGCUUUAUAAUGGGUCUUGUUCGUUCGGCAAGCUUUGGUACGAACCGAGAUAACGACGUGAGACGGCCGACUAGUCUCUGGAUCUCUUUGAGUCCGCUGGGACUUCGCAUUUCGGUGAUUGCCUUGCAUUUUUCUGGAUUAGCCUCAAUACCCCGAUGUGUGAGCAUGAAGCCUAAGAACUUCCCACCUUCGACGCCGAACGCGCACUUUUCCGGAUUUAAACGCAUGCGGUAUUGACGCAAGGCUUGAAAAACCUCUUUUAGGUCAGAAACAUGUUGCUCGCAAGAGUCUGAUUUGACGACGAUGUCGUCAACGUAUACUUCCACAUUCCGACCGAUCAUGUCGUGGAACACGUGGUCCAUGAGUCGCUGGUAUGUGGCUCCUGCAUUCUUGAGACCGAACGGCAUGACUUCAUAGAAGAAAUUAUCAGAGUCCGUUCUAAACGCGGUUUUUUCCCGGUCACGGUGGUACAUUUGUAUUUGAUUGUAACCCGAAUAAGCAUCAAGGAAACUUAGGAUUUGAUGACCGGCUGCACCGUCGACCAGUCGGUCGAUAGUAGGCAGGGGAUACGAGUCUUUUGGGCACGCCUUGUUAAGGUCUGUGUAGUCUACGCACAUUCUCCAUUUUCCAUUCGCCUUUUUUACCAUCACUACAUUGGCUAGCCAUGUCGUAUAGUGGGCCUUUUGAAUGAAACCAGCUUGAAUUAACUUUCUGUUUCUUCUCGUGCGGCUUUGCGCCGUUCUUCACCUAGUUUCCUUUUCUUUUGAGUGAUCGGCCUGGCCUCUGUAUACACAGAUAAUCGAUGGGUAAUCACAUCUGAUUUUACCCCUGGCAUGUCUGCAGCCGUCCAAGCGAAAAGAUCAGCGUUCUUUAUUAAUGUUUUUCCGACCGCCUCUCGGUCGUCCGGAUUGAGAGAUGUUCCCAUGUNNNNNNNNNNNNNNNNNNNNNNNNNNNNNNNNNNNNNNNNNNNNNNNNNNNNNNNNNNNNNNNNNNNNNNNNNNNNNNNNNNNNNNNNNNNNNNNNNNNNNNNNNNNNNNNNNNNNNNNNNNNNNNNNNNNNNNNNNNNNNNNNNNNNNNNNNNNNNNNNNNNNNNNNNNNNNNNNNNNNNNNNNNNNNNNNNNNNNNNNNNNNNNNNNNNNNNNNNNNNNNNNNNNNNNNNNNNNNNNNNNNNNNNNNNNNNNNNNNNNNNNNNNNNNNNNNNNNNNNNNNNNNNNNNNNNNNNNNNNNNNNNNNNNNNNNNNNNNNNNNNNNNNNNNNNNNNNNNNNNNNNNNNNNNNNNNNNNNNNNNNNNNNNNNNNNNNNNNNNNNNNGCUCCAAACUCGGAUAAUAUCUGUAAAAACAUUCUGACGUUCAAGUCAGAUUUCCAAUAUUUGAUACUCGGUGCUAUUAGUCCUGAAAGAUGACUACCUUAUUUUCAAAAUCUGUGCAUAUUUAUAUAAUUAUCAUGAGUUUUUUGUUAUUGGGUUCGCAAGUGAUAGAUUUUAGAAAUACCUUAUGCAUGCAUCUUAUACAUAUUAUCUAUUUGAUGUUUAUAUUUGUUCACAUGUUUGUUCAUAUGGCUCACCUCCCCGGGCUUUUUAGCAGAACUCUAGUACUAUUUCAGCCUCUGGUGGAGCUAAGCUGUUAACAAGAAUGUUUGUGAGUACAUCAAAGUGCUUCUGAGCAGAUCUCUGUCAUGUAGUGAGAGAUUGCAGACAAUACUAUGAUGAUGCUAGUGUGAUCCAAUAAUUUUCCAAACAUAAACUGUUUGGAGUGCCAAUGAUCCGUGACCAACUCCAUUCUUUCUCCUCUCCAACUUCUAAUUCUGCUAACUGCCAUAAGUCAUGAUGUUACCAAAACACAAUUUCAGUAUCUUUGCUUGUGAGAGAGUUUUAAAUGGCAGGUUUGAAAAGGGUAUUGCAAAUGCCAAAAGGGGUAGAAUUCAAGCACUAUGGUGCAAGUUUUCAAGCUACUUAUUACAGUAUUAUAUAUUAUUGCUAAUGCUUUGUAGUGGAAAGCUAUAGCAGACAAUAUCAAAGAAGUUUGACAAAUGGGAACUUAAAAUGCAUAGAACUCGAAUCUUUAUAAAAUCCAUCCUUCAAGUUUGACAAAUGGAUGAUAUAAUCAUUAAUUAGAAACUAUUUUUGAGAAAGAAAAAAAAUAGUUUCUAUAUUGAUUAAAUUAGAUAUUAUUUUUUGUCUCUAAAAUUGUUUUUUAUUUAAUGAUUUUCUUGUAGUGAGUUAUAAACUUAUUAUAAAAGUUUUCCAUCAGAUAAUUGGAAUCUAUCUCAGUGUGAUAAGGUUCUUACCCUGCCAUCUCUGAGCUCAAAUAUGACAGAACCUUCAGAAAAUGGAAUUGGUCUUGUUGAUGCCACCUGUGUUGCAUAAGAUUCAAUGUCAAUUCUAUGUUCUUGUUACUUUUUAUUUUAUUUCAAAAUAGAACUUUGUCAAUUUUAACCAACCAGUAAUCAUACACUAACUUUUACCUUUGGUUCACAAUUUAAGUUGAGGUCAACAAGGUUGUCUUGGUUCUUGUUCAAGCCAGAUGCACAAUUUCCAUCACUCUGAACUGGUUUCUCCUCAUUGAAUCUUCCACUUUGUGCUUCAACAAUUUUAUUUCCCAUAUUGGGGAAGCCACAAUCCUUCCACUUCCAUGCAUUGUUGUCCAUGUAUCUCAGGUAUACUUUUCCAUCUGAGCCAAUCAAAAGUAGUUGAUUCCCUUCAAAGCUUGGACCAGGUGAACCAACCAGUGUAACACCUUUAUAAGGUGUUCCAUGUUCUAUCCAGUUCCAUCCAUGCCAAGUAUUCCACUGGUACUCAACAAGACCACCUUCUCUUGAAAGCAUGAAGAGAGAACCUGAGAGUGAUUUUGUUGAUGGUCUUAUGACUGUUCCAGGAAACUGUGAUAGAAUCAAAUGUUGAGACUGGUAAUGCUCAUGCCACAAUUCAGUCACUUUGUUAUACUGAUAUAGACGACCAUUUCUUCCAGUGACAAAGACUAUAUUUUCCCUGAACAAUUCCUGGUCAACUAUAGUUGCAACUUUAACAUUUUGAGGAUUUUUGCAAUCUUUCCAUUUGAACUUCCUCAUGUACACCUGAGUAAACAUGUAAAUUUUUACUUCACAUCUAGCUAGUGUAGCAGUAUUUCAAGUCUAAAGAGUUUAUUCCCUGAAAAUUUUAAUAUUUAAUCCAUGUGUGUUAUAAAUAAGACUUUAGUUUCACUACUUUCAACUAAUUCAUUUUGCUAGUUCCUUUGUUUCGUGAGGUUGCAACUUGUGGAAAGAGUUCUUAACGGUUCAAAGGGCAUAAUUACCAAUGUUUAAGGCACAACUGUAAAAAAUAUACGGAAGUGUUGGAGAUCUUACAUAACUAGAGAUUAAGAUAUUUCAUAGUAUAUAAGUGGGUGUUGGUGCAAACCUUUAUAGGUUGGUUUUACGAGGUUGAGUUAGACUUAAAGUCUACUUCUUAAUAUAGUAUCAAAGUCAUUUCGGACCUAUUCUAAUGAGAGUUUAUUGGGUAGAAUUACCAAUGUUUAAGGCACAAACUGUAGAAAAUAUACAGAAGUACAAUCAUAUUUUUGUUAAGAGGCAUGCAAUCAUCUUAAGCUUUUUGAAAUGUUAUUCAUUCACACUUCUAGCAUCUUUUAUCAAGGCUUGUCUCUUAAGUAUUCUAACUUCUAAGCAAUUAAAAAGUGAAUUGGUUGCACCUAUAUCAUCAUCUUGUACCAUACAUUUUAGUUUGAGAAAUUGUGUUGCUGUUUACCUACCAUGAACUGCAGUAAUCCUCCACUUUUGCUCACAAAGAAGAUUGAAUCUUCAGUUGUAGCCCUCCUUGCUUUACCUGGUAAUGUAUCCCAUGGUUGACCUCCAAUAAUAUGUCUCCCUUUCCUCGUAGCAGUGCAGUUUUUCCAUGCCAUCUCGUUAUCACUCCAUUCUCUAAGGAACAGACUCCCAAAUGAAUCAACCAUAAACAAACUUCCAUUAUAGUUCCCCACUAUACCACUCAUAGCCGAGGAGCUAUCAUGCUUCAACCAUACCCAUACAUUCUCAAUACAAACGUAUUCAAAAACAAAACCAUCAUUGCUUAUUAAGAAGAAUGACUUGCCUUCAUACAGCAGUCUUAAGCGAAAGUUACUACUAAUCCAAUCAUCUGGCAGAUUGUAUUCUUCUGAAGACUUGUUCAGUUCACCACCUUUGCCUAGAGACAAGUAAUGACUCUGUGUUUGGCUUUGUUUUCUUCUACUUGUUCCUGAAUCAUUUGAGUCAUCUUUUGUACCUGUCAUACAAUUUCUGGGGCCACGUUCUUCUGUACAAUAUUCUGCAUUCCACCCUUCACUCUCUGGCACAUCUAAUAUAGUCCAAACAUAUCUGUUUGAUGCUUUCCUUCUAGAGUUUUGUGGUGCAGAUGGUCCUGAACUUUCACCCCCUAUUCCUACUAGAUGCAAUUCUGCAAGUCUACCAUCGUCUAGUGCAUACAGUAUCCUCCCAACUUGGAAUGCUAAGCCAGCUAUACCUCUUGCUGCUUUUGCUUGUGAGGGAUGCUCAUGACUUCCCCAUGCUUCUGGAAACUGAUUAUUAUGAACACUACCUGUUUUCAUUUGAGAAUUCAAUGUCUAAAACGCAGUAUUCAGAUAGAAAACUUUGUUGGAACAGGAAAGUUUGAGUCUUUCACAGAUGGGUGCAGAUAAAUUAAAACCUUUAACAGUAAAAACAUAUACUUCACACCUUAAUAAAUCAAUAUUUUAUUCAUUUUCAUUUUAUUUUUAAUUUAAAAUUAUUAUUAUAUUAUUAUUAACAGUAUCAAAUGUAUGUCAUUUACGGUUCAGAGUGUCAACAAAACUUUUCUCUUCUCAAUAUUAGUAUUCCAUGUCUUAUUUUAUUCUGCAGAAUAUAUAUUGCAAAUACUAGCUAUUUUUAUGAGUAGGAAUUAUGUUUACUGAUGUUGAAAUAAUGAAUCUAAUCCACAAAUAAUAUUGUUAGUCUUUUCGUUGCUUGUGUAUAAGCUUCAAUAAUCUUUCAGGUUCUUGACAGAUUAUGAAUUUGAUUACAUAACAGUUAAGUAUCAAUUGAUUACUCUUGGUUCCUAAUUAUCAAACAACUAGAGUGAGGUAAACUAUCUAAGAGACACAAGUAAAGGUAGCUGGGAAUGAUAAUUGUCUCUUAUUUACUUCCUAGGAAUAGGAAUCAAAUUUCAGAUGGACGAUAGGUUUUGGUAAUGGUGAUAACUAUUCCAAAAAGUUUGAUAGAUAAAGAAUGAAACUGAAAAUCCCAAAUAGUAUGUUGCAGAUUCCACGUCAAAUAAAGAUAAAACAUCUCAUAAUAUAUGAUAAUAUAUGACUGAGUGUAAACUUCACCUUAUCAGCCAAUUUUAUAAGAUUGAGUUAGGAUUAAAAUCCACUUCUUAAUAUAAUAUAAUAUAGUAUCAUAAAGUUCAUAUUUAGUAAAAAUAUUAGUAUAGUCAUAGAAGUAAAUAUCAAUCAUGGAUGAAGUUAAACAGAUUUAGAGCAAUUGGAUGACUCACCUAGUUGUUUUGGCAUUUGAUAUUCAAAAACAGAUCCAGCUGAAGUAGUAAAGAAUAAAGAAUUGAAUGUUUCACUUGAUUCAUCUUGCAAAGCUGGUGUAAUAGACGUCAAAGUUUGCUGUUCAGGGCUUCCAUGAACUACCCAUUUCCACUUCCUUUGAUGCAAUCUUCUCUCCACCAAAGUGCCUUCCUGUAUAAUUAUCAUUUUUUUUAAAUGGUGUCCAAGAGAGACAUGGUUUUUAGAUUCUUAAAGGACCUCAUUAAGAUGAAAUUCUAAAGUUUAACAACAUGCCCAAUUGAUUUUAAAGUUAAUUGGAACCAUGGUUUUACUUUACAUAAGUAAUUUUGAUUAAGCUUAUGUUCCUGAUUAAUUGGGCAUCAACUUGAGAGUAUUCACCAAUAUGUUCUUUAUUAUUAUAGCACUCAUAUUCUGAUAAUGGAAGAUAUGUUCAUACAGUACUUUCAUUAACAGUACCUUGGUUAAAAGAAACAGAGAUUCAGAAUGAUCACCACUUAAUCCAUGUAAAAUGCACCCUUUAGAUGGAAUCAAAGGUGAAAAUUUUGCUGUUUUUUCUUGCCAUAUGUGCUUCCUCCACGACGGUUUUGAUUUUCGAUUAUAUUCAAAAAGAUCUCCCGAAGAACUACAUCACCACAUCAUCCAUUAGUUAGACUCUAUGCAACAUAGACACUAACAAAGACACGACAUAGAUACGAACAUGGAGAUAUAUAUAAUCUCUAAAAUGUAAGACACUGAGACACGAAUCUAUAUAUUAUAUAACUAUGAAUUAUAUAAAUUGGUAAUAAAGAUUUAUAUGCACAAAUGUAUUUCACAUUUUUUUAGCAGCAAUAUUUUUUGAAUUGGACACUUCAUUUAUACAUGUCUUAUUACGUGUGUCCGACACGGUCAUGUCAUUUAAGAGGAGUGUCCGAAUAUUAUAGGUGAAGAAUGAUGUUUGGUACUACUUAAAGACAACAGGGUUUUGUUUUCUAUCUUUCUUUACUGUUCUGUUUGUUAGUCAAAUUGUUUCAAGCAACAUACACAUCACCCACCUUAUGGUGUAUACUGCUUCUCGUGUAGAAGCAACAGCAGCUAUUGCUGCAACAUUUGCUCCUGCUGGUUGCCCAUGAUUUGUCCAUCUGCUCUAUAUAUUGCCAAAAUAGGACCGAAAUUAGUAAUAUUUGCUUAGGAUUUAACUUAUGUACAAUUAUGUGCUGCAAAACUUGAGUUUUACCUUGGAGACUCAACCACAUCAAGUUCUACUAGAGUUCCAUUUUUUGUACAGAAAUAACCUCUUCUGUGGACAAUGCAAGAACACAAACGAGACAUUAAGAGUUUGAUUGGUUUCAGACUUUAAGUAAUCAUCCAAUUCAAAUACAUCCUUGUGUUAUGUGUUUAAUCUCAAACUAAAAUUUCAAUGUGUACUCACUGCCCAUCAUCUGACACCACACCAGACUUCAUCAAUGUCAAAGUAUUUUUCUCCUGAUCAUUAUCUUCAAUUGGACCAAGUGCAGGUGGGAAUUCAACCCAAACUGGUUGUGAAGUUUCACCAAGUUGCAAAUGCAUCUGCUAAAAUAAACAAAGUCAGUAGAGAAGUGACCGAUUUAAGUGCAGAAUCAGAUCAUAUUAGUGAGUGAUUUAAGUUACAAUUCAAGUUGACAAUCUGUAUACAUAUAAUCACUAUUAGAUUCGAACACUCCUCUUACAUGACGUGUCCGUGCCAGACACACAUAUCAGACGUCUAAUAAGAGACAAAUUCUUUUGAACCAACCAUGAAAAAUAUUUCUUUUUUAAAAAAGACCGAAACAUACCUGUGCACAUAAAUUUUUAUUGUUAAUUUAUAUAAUUCAUAAUUAUAUAAUACAUAGAGUAUGUGUUUCCAUAUCCUAUAUUUUAGAUAUUAUACAUAUCUCCUGUGUUUCGUGUCUGUAUCGUAUAGAUAUAGUGCUUAAAAUGUAUCCAAAUAGAAGAGUAUAUAUUCCGAACGAAAUAUAAUUCUGAGAACUGAUAUAUAUAACCUGAUACAGAUUUCCCGAUUCAGAUAAAGCAAGAAUCAUCUGACUGAUGAUAAAAACUGCCACUGCACGUCCUGCUGAUAUUGGUAAGUCAUGAGGGGCCAUCACCCAUUCCAAUCCAUUCCAAAACCUCUCAUAGAUAGACCCACUUUCACCAGUGAUCCACACAGAUGUCUCAGACAUUUUGGUCAAUGAAACUCUCUUUCUCAGAGGCCUCAGAACCACAUCCAAGGGCUCCACAGCUCCUACUUUAUCAUUUUUUCUGUCCAGUCUCUUCUUUUUAUCAUCAACUCCCUGUUCUUGAUCCAUGCUUUCCUCCCUUCUCUUCACCUUACCACACUCACUAUCACCACCAGAUAUCAGAUCACAGGGCAGUUGCACCUCAACCCAUCUAUCAGCUUCUUCACUGAACUUCCAAAACCUAUCGGUUUUCUGUUCAAACCUUCUAUUGCUCUGCUGAAACAGCUGAUAUUGACAGCAUGAAGCACAACCCACACCAGUACAAAAGCUCACAGACACGAGCCCCCAGAUGCCACAUAUCAAAUGGAACACUGACAUGGUGGCAUGGGGAGCCAGAUAACAGAAACUCCAAAAAGUCAGGAUUUUUAAGAUAUUCUAAGACCAAGUUUGGUAGUUGCGUCCCACAUGAGGGUUCCCUUAUGAGUCAUGGAUCUAAAGGCUUGGAUCAUCUGAUAAAAAAUCUCAAAUUUAUUGGAUAGAUGGUUUUUUCAUAGCCUCCAAGUAAAAGGGAAUUCAUUAUACUGGUGUAGGGAUGAAAAGAAGGGAAGAUAUUUUGUGGGGUACCUACCAUGUAGUAUCAGGCGCAGGUAUUGAUUCUCAUAUUAUAACUACCUCAGAUGGCUUGUGUUUAUUUUCGUCAACUUUGAAGUUAAUUCUUUGGUAAAAUAACAUGAAACAACCUGUUUUUCACGCAGCGGUUUAACCACCACGUUUCUUUCUUUCUACAUCAAAAGGGUAAGUUGAGUUCUCAUUCAUUCUAAGUAGCUGCUUUAUCUGACCAAGUUGGAUUAUUUCUUGCCCUUGAUUUCAUCAUCACAGUGAUGUUUAGGUGAAAGAUUUUGAUGAAUUGUUGGUUUGUGUUUGUAAAGUAAUGCUAUUGAGAUUCUAUAGUCGACUUUUACUACUAGGAAGAAAAGAAUACGGAUUCCUCUGGCUCUACCUUGACAUAGAUGCAACAACGAACAACUAGCCAUGAAAAUAAUAUUAUGAUAUGUGGUAACUGUCAUUGGAUCAUGAGAACCCUCCAACCGAUGGCUCUGAUGUUCUGUUGCACUUUGACUAUGUGAUUAGAAAACCUUACAAGUUUCGUAUCAAAGGGUUUUGUGAGAGUGAGAGGUGGAUGACCUCAGAUACCAUUAAUUUUCUUUUGAAGACAUUUAGUGUUGAAAAGACAAUGAACACAUCACCAUUAGAAAGUGGUUGGCCUAAUAAGACAUUACUUAGAAACGUACUACUCAUGAUUUUACUGGUUGUAAGAAAACUUAAUUGUGGCUGUUUACACUAAGUAAUAACAUCAUAGGACUCUCAAAAUUUGAUUAAAAGAUGGUGAAACCGUGGAGAACGGUGCUGCUGAAGAAGUUUGUCCCUGUUGUGUAAGCAAUUCCAUCACUAUCACUUUAUCAGUUACAAAUUAAGAUCAUGCAAAAUUAAAUCAUGAAAAAUGUUAUGUCAACAACUCCUUUCUCCUUUGUGCCUGCAUACAUUCUGAGGUGGCAAAGGGCAGUUUUGUCAAUAAACAUUGCUGAGUGGGUGAUGUGGGGCCAAGAGCAGUUUCAGGUGAUGAUAUUUUAACACUCUAAUUCACCUUCCACCCACAAUAAAAUAUUAAUAUUUAUAAUAUUUAUAUAUAUAUAUAAAUAAUAUAACAGUAACAAUGUCAAAAAGAAAAAGGAAAAUAGAUAUUUUUUCAAAUGGUAUAGAGAUAAACUUUAGUAUAUUUAUCUUCAUCACAACCUCCUUUGAUAAUAUUUUGAAUUUUAUGUAAUAAUGUGGGAUAAAAUUAAAUUCACUCAUAUAAUGUAUUCAUCAUUUUUUAUUCCGCAGUCUAAUAGUUGUAUAUAAUUUAGAAAUUGAUAUUAAAGAUAAUUUAAAUGCACAUUAUAAAAAAAUUAUUAAAUAAAAUUUAAUUUUAAAUAAAUAAAUAAUUUAUAUAAAAUUAUAUACUAUUUUAAAAACUAAAAAAAUUAUUAAUAUCUAAAUUAAUUUUUAUUAUUGAUAAAUAGUUUUUAAAUUGAUAUUUAAGAUAAUUUUUUUAAUUUGAUUUUUUAAGAAAUUCGUAAUUAAACUUUGAGUUUUAAAAUAAAUAAUAUCUUAAAUACUGUGAUUUACUCUAAUAGUAUUACUUUAUCAAAUUUAAAGUCGAAUAUUGACAUUUUAUGUGAUUAGAAAGACAAAUCCUUAAGAGAUCCAUAUACAAUUAUUAAUUUAAAUGAUAAUUAAAAAUUCAAAUUUUAAAAUGGAUAAUACUUUAAAUACACUUAUUUACUCUAUUGAUAUUAUCUUACUAGAUUUAAAAUUAAAAUAUUAAAUAUGUAUAUGGUUUCAAAGAUAAAUUUUCAAAAUAGAUAAAUCUUCAAAAAAAAUUAUUAAUUUAUUUUAAACAGGGAUUUGAAAUCGAAAAAUAAUCCAAUAUUAAUGUGAAACUGAUCCACCAAAAUUAAGUUGAAACGAAGCUAGUAUAGUUACUAGGUCGGCGUAGUGAAAAUAGUGGUAGUUAACUAUUAAUUACUCUUUUUCAAGUUUUAAUAAAUCCUUAAAUAUAAUCACUGCGUCAAUAAAUGUUUAGCUAACACCACAACUCAAUUUACUAACAAUAACAUUUAGUUUUUGAAAGUCACAGAUAUCUUACUUUUCUAAAUUAAAUUUAUCUUUAAGGUCAAAAAACAAGGACAAAUCUACUUUCGAUUUAAUUUAAAGUAAAUCAUUAUUUGAACCUACUCAACUAUUUUAUUCAAGAAACUCUCUUAGAGUUAAAAAAAAGUACUUUUUUAACAUUCCAUAAAGGCUUAGAGCUUCUAUUUUUGGGUGUUUCUUCCUCCAACCCUAUAAUGUUUUUUCUGCACCCCAUCAAUGGGAAAGAAGAUCAAAAUGUCUAAUCUAACCCGACCUUACUUCAAAAAGUUUUUUUUUUUUUUAACGUGUAACUGGAUUUCAUAAAGCCGAUUUAUAAUUUAUAAUAUGAGGUUUGCAUCUAUUUAUAAAUAAUGAAAUAUCUUAAUUUCUAGUUGAUAUCUCCAACAUACACCUCAAACAAGGAUACUAUGGAAAUAUAUGUUAUGCACCCUACUUCAAAAUGUCCAAUAAACUCUCGUCAAAAUAAACGAAUAAAAAAAUCAAAAUGUCUCAUUUAAUCUAGCCUUACUUCAAAAAGUUGCUUUUUUAAAUGCGUAACUCGACCUCAUAAAACCGGUUUAUAAUAUGAGGUUUGCACUUACUUAUAAAUAAUAAAAUAUCCUGAUCUCUAGUUGAUGUAUUAUGCAUGUUUCAUAAAUUUUAUUCUAGGAUUUUUUUUGAAAAAUGCUUUCCAGAAUUUUUGAAAGUUAUUUUCCAAAAUACACUUAUAAAUUUUGGAAAGGAGUAUAUGAGAAGAUUUCAAAAAAACUAUUCCAAAAAAUCAUUUAAAAAAAAGAGUAAAAUUGUAUUUUUAAAUAUUGAUCGGGGGGUGAAGGAAGAAACACCCUCAUUUUUUAUAUAGCAGUUGUAUGAUUCUAACACCGUUCAUAUAUAUAACGUUUUCAUAUAAUCUAUUGCUCUCUCAUUUCUAAAUUAUAAGUAAUUUAUUUAUUUAUUCAUUUUCUUUAUUUGUUGUAAUUUUCAGAUUUCAAGGCAAUUAUGAUUUUUUUUUUCAAUUAUACCUUGUUUUCUUUAAUUAAAUAUAAUUCGAAAAUAGAACACUUAAUCUUCUACAGAGUAGCUAAGAUCGAAAAUAGAUUACGAUUUUAUUUUCUGGAUUGAUUUCAGUUCAAAUCUAUGCCAGAUAAUAAAAAUGUAACAUUUGAAGCCAUGCUUGGAGAGUUGUAAGUAAGUUAUUUGAUCAUUGAAUUGGAGUUAUAUAUGCACUGAAAAAUUAAGGAGGAAAAUUUGUUUUGCUAAAUGUGGUUAGAUAUCAAAUUUGGCAGCAGGAAUAGCUACUGGUGGUGUGCUUGGGUUUCUAUAAAUCAUCACCAGGAUUCGUGUUAUGCUGGUGUUAUGCAGUCUCAGGUCUUGGGACUGAGUUCUAACUAGCUUUAAGUUUUUGAGUUAAGUGGUGAGCCGCUUAACUUUGUUUUAAUCGUUGAAUGCUUAAUUAGGAGGUCUAUGUAUAAGGGUUGGAACACCCCUAAAGUGUUUCUUUUAAUUCUAUUAAUUCGUUGCUGAUAAAAAAAAAAAUCAAAUUUGGCGAAGAUGGAGAAAAUUAAAGAUAAUGUGAAAUGAGUGACAGUGAUGGAGUAGUAGUAAUAUAAGGAAGUGAUUAAAAAUAAUAUUAAGAAAAUUAUAUAACCAAUAUUUUAAAAAAUAAAUUAUUUAACUUUUUUGAAAUAUAAGGAAGUGAUUUAAUUAUUUACUAAAUAAAUAAAUAAUUAAAUUAUAUUUUAUUUAUUAAAGGAUGAAAUUGUUCAAGGUAAAGGAAAGUUACUUCUCUUUAUAUAAUGGUAUAAAUAAUAUUGAAUAGAAAAGUAAUAGUGUAUUAUAAGCAUAGAUGAUUUUUAAUUAGAGAAAACAUUAAUACUCGUUUAAGUAGCAGAAGAAUAAAUAAUUAAUAGAAUUACUUUUUUUUUACACGAUAUUGUAAUUGUAUUUAUAUAAAUUGUCGGAGAGAGUAUUCUUAGAAUCCAUUUCCGCUUUACUCUUUUUGUUCCUCUGUUAACAUCUUCUCUCAGUUAGCUUUUUCUACUAGUCAAUUCUUUCUCUCAAUCAACUCCUUCUUUGGAAUUACUUUAUGAUCUCUCUCGAUAUGAGAUGUAGUACCUACAGGAAUUCUCCGAUGCUUAAGUUAGUCUUUGUAUUAAUCACUUAAUAGAAAAACUAAAAAAUUGAACUAAACAUUCUAUCUAUUUAUACUACUUGUUAACGAGUCACAUCAUUUUAAUCCUUCUACUUAUCUCUUAUUAAUUGAUUAUCAACACUUAAUUAAUUUUAUUUAUCUUUCAUGCGUGUCUCUUAUUAACACUGACACUUGUGCGUUUUUUUCACGUAAUAUUUCUACUAACACUUUUGCUUGUUCUUUACUUCUUUCGACCUUUUGGUUUCUCGGUCUUUUGACGUACAAGCUUUCGACAUGACCGAUUCAAUAACAAUUGUUAACUUAUCUAUUUUAUUCAUAAAUUUAUUCUUAAAUAAAUAAAAAAUGAGGAAGUAUUUCAUUAGACCUCACGUUGUCAAAAUAUUAAUAUUCUAGCUAAAACUCUUAAGUGAAACAUUCACCAUGUCUUAUCUAUUCAUCAUUAGUGUUUUCUCUUUUUUUUUAUUAUGUCAUUUUGUGCUAUGUUGUGUGAAUUUUAUUAUCUAAUGAGAUAUUAUUUUUAUGAUAUAAAUAGUAGUCAUGACUAUGGAUAAAAUACCAUUGAAUUUUGUUACCUUAUCAUACAUUUUUCAUCGGUAUUAUAGUACUUUUCCAAGCGCAAGAGAAUUGUGGGUCACAUUCUACACAAAGUUAAAGUGUUUGCGUCUUCCUACGAACUUAGUGUCAAUUGACAUGAUGUUAAAAUUGAGUAAUUAAUGGUUGCUUGAAUUGUUCUAUUUUUAAAUUAAAAAAAAUUAGGUUAUUUUCUAAUUUAAAAUGUUGGAUACACUUUAUAUAAACAAAUGCAAGAGAAUGAGUGAUUCAAAAAAUGAGUGACAAUAAACAUUUUGUACAACCAGUCAUCCAUAUUUUGAUGCUAAAUAUAAACAUGGAAAUUUCUUUUUGAAAAAUCUCUUGAGAUCCAAAUGGGCAAAUUUUUACUAUACUCAACCAUUUUUAAUCUUCACCCUACACAUUUUUAAGUUUCGGUACAAGGUACAAUACAUUUUCAUUCAAUCACAAAACUGAUACAUUCUCACUCAAUCACAAAACUAAUACAUUCUCAUUCAAUCACAAAACAGCAUCAUUUAGGAUAACUAUUAUAAACCUUAAACCUAAAAUUUUAAUGUGGUGUUAAAGCCUAACCUUUGACAACAGCAGUGAGAGCUUGUUCUUCCUUUUCAAGCUGUUCAACAUCUACUAGAGGCUUAGCAUCCACAGCAUGGAUCUCCCUUUCCUGUUCCACAUCCUCUUCCUCUUGGAAAGCAAACACAUCCUCUUUGUCUUCUUCCUUCAAGUUCCAAGGUUUGAAGUCCUCUCCUGCUCGAACUCCAGAAUUCCCACCAUCAAAAGCACCACCUCCACCACCCGCAUCUCCACUUUCCUUCUCGAUCCCUUUAAAUAUAGCAUCCUCGUCUUGCUCAUCGAGACCCUUCUCAUGCAACCACCCCUGUCCUUGAGCCUGGGGGGCAAGUGUACCGGUACGGCCGAGAGGCCGAGACCUUGGAAGGCUUGGCCGAGACGACCGAGAGGCCGAGACCUUAGAAGACUCGGCAGAGAGGUCGAGACCUUGGAAGGCUUGGCCGAGACGGCCGAGAGGCCGAGACCUUAGAAGACUCGGCCGAGAGGCCGAGACCUUGGAAGGCUUGGUCGAGAGGACCGAGAGGCCAAGACCUUAGAAGACUUGGCCGAGAGGGCGAGACCUUAUAAGACUUGGCCGAGAGGGCGAGACCUUAUAAGACUUGGCCGAGCGACCGAGACCGUUGAAGACUCAACUGAUAAGGCCGAAGGCCACGGGUAUUUGGCCGAUGGCCGGCCCUCACCACGAGACUUUGGCCGAUGGCCGAGUCCCAUUACAAUUAACGCUCAAACCGAGAUCAGUGAAGCUAAUCCAUCAUCAAGAAUUAGGUAAUGCAACCCUAAGCUGUAUCCACCUCGAUAAACGGGUCCAACAAGGUAGGCCCACUAGAAUAAUAUAAAUAGCAUGCAUCCCAAGGAGUAAGGUAUGUCAUUUAUCACUCUGAGAGCUGACCACCCGCUUUACUGACUUGAGCGUCGGAGUGCCUUCGCAGGUACCCCCACCAUCCGGUGUAUAGCCGAGGCCGAGGGCCGAAGGGGAAGCAGGAGGGCGAGAAGAACCCCAGCUCACUACCCAAUCACCUGACCGACCGAAGGAAGGAGAAGAAGACUUCAAUAGUUCUCUAGGUCCCAUCUCCCUAGCAGGAACAAUAGGCAUGCAUUUCAUGUUAAAAAUCAUUAAUAUAUCAUCUGUGUUACUAAAAAUAGUCUUUACAUAUAAUCAUGAUGUGUAGCAUUAAAGGGAAAAGGGUUCUUUAGAUGAAAGAGCUACUUCAACCUUGGAAAGCAAACAUGUGGGUGGCCCCAAAUUAAAAACAGUGAAUCAUGGCCAAAUAUGUUGCCUUUGCUUUAAGAUCCACAAACUCUAAGAGAACCAAUUCCAGCUUGCUAAUUUGUCUAGCAGCAAAAGUAACACAAACAAUGACAAAAGUGUUCCAAUUAUUGAUGAAAUCUAGUAAGCGUUUCCACCAAAUUAUAGAGGAAAGACAUGAACAAAGAAAAACAAGCCCACAAAGGGUGUUGUUGUUUUCUUUUUACUUUACAAAAAAAAUAAAGUGAGUGAAGAUCUCACCUUUUCAAACUGAUUUUGUUUCAUGUUUUCCAAAACCAUAUUAUAACACUUUCAUUUGUGAUUUAUAUUUUAAUGGAUUUGUAUCAUAGAACUUCUUUUUAUAAACUAUUGAAAAUUUAAUCGAAUAUCAUCUUAAGAAAACCCUAAUAAUUAUAAUUAAGUAUAUAGUUUGGUUUGGUUGAUUGAGUAUGAUGCAUGAGUUAGUGUAAACUUGCUUACAUGUGUUCAAUUCCUAUAAUCCAAUGCACCCUUGUUUGUACUUUCAUCUUAAUUAAUGUCAUAAAUUGAUGGAAAUUAUAAAACUUGGAGGCUUCAAUAAUUUUUUUUUCUAAUUGUACUAAAAUUUCAAUUAUUUUAUUUAAAAUGAUCUACUGGCACUUAUUUUCUCUUUCUUAAUUCCAAUUUUGGAGAGUAUUUUUUAUAAUGUUAUGUAAAUAAAAUAUCGUUCUGUAAAGUACAUUUUGAAAUAACAAAUGGAUACAAAUGUUUUAGAAAUAAGGUAAAUAAAAUAUUUGGAUUACUCACUGCAAUCUUCUAAUUUAUAGAUUUCGAAAUGUACUUUUCCAAAUAAGUUUUGGCUUUCUUAAAAGUUAGAUGAUUCUUUUGAUAACAUGAAAAUCAUUAGUGUUUUGUAAAAUAUUUUUCAGAAUGUAAGAAAUAAAAAAAUGUUUAUGAAAUUAUUUUUUAAGGUGACAUUUUCAACCAAAUUUUUUCCAAAAAAAAGGAUAACAUUAAAAGAGUGGAAAAUAGUUUAAUUUAAUCGGAGAAAACAAACUUAAUCUCAAUUUAUAUUUAUUCAAGAAGAAGCAUUGCAUUGUUGCGAGCUUGGCAGUGAAAGCAUAAAAGUUAAUGUGAGAUAUGAAAGAGAAUGCAAAGAAGAUAAAUAGUUUUGAAAGGGAAAAAUGCGGUAAUAAUAUGUCAUUUUAAAUGAAAAGCAACAAAAGGGGCUGCAUUUCACAAAAAAGGAUUGUAAAUAGUAGGAUCCAACAUGAGUCAACAUACCUAAUGAAGCCCAAGAAAUAGAAACGGACGGCCAGACUAACUUCUGCAAGCGGUAGUAAGACUGCUCUCCUACACCUCCAUACGUCUCUCUCACUUCCAUAAACUUUUGUAUUUCCAAAUUGUCAUUCUAUAUAUCUAUAUUACGUAAUUUGAAAGUCCUUUUUCNNNNNNNNNNNNNNNNNNNNNNNNNNNNNNNNNNNNNNNNNNNNNNNNNNNNNNNNNNNNNNNNNNNNNNNNNNNNNNNNNNNNNNNNNNNNNNNNNNNNCACAUGCGUGAUUAAUUUCUAAAUUACAUAAUUCAGAAAUUUUUUUAAUAUAAGAUUAGCUUUUGGAUUUUGAAAGUUUUUUUUAGAUAACAGAUUAAUUUCUAGAUUAUAUAAUUUAAAAAUCUUUUAUGAAUUUGAAAGUAGCUUUUGAAAAUUUAAAAUUUCAGAUUACAUAACUCGUAAGUUAUUUUUGAAUCCGAUAUUAAGUUUUGGAUUAUAUAAUCUCGAAUAUAUAUAAUUUUUUAAAUUGAUUCUGGAUUGUAUAAAUUUAUGAGACUGAUAAAAAAGGAUAAAAAAUAUUUUCAAGUUUUGUAUGGGUGAUACCCUUACAUUUUUCUUUCUGCCCUCCGAUAAUUUUGUAAAUUCCAAAAUUGACCCCCACAAUUUUGGGAUCUGGGAGUGUGCUACGGAUUCAUCAAUCCAGAAGUGAAUCAUGUUGCAUUCUGGAUGAGGGGUGUUCCAGAAGCAAAGUUUGCAUAAAUUAUUGAUUUCCGGAUUGCUGAAUCCAGAAGCCUAAUUUCUAUUACGGAUUGGUGAAUCUGGAAUGAUUUUUUUCAAUUAUGGAUUUCUGAAUCCGGAAUGCAUAUUUUGAAUUACAGAUUGACGGAUCCGAAAUGGUUUUUCAAUUAUGAAUGUUUUGCAUUUUUUAUUUUGGAUUAACACUACUAUUCAUGUACUACCGAAAGCAUUAAUCCGUGAGAUUACCGAAAAUUUACCGGAUUUCAUAAUCUGGAAUACAAAAAAAUGAACAAUUUAUAUAGGGACACUUUUGUCUUUGCUCAACCUUAUGGGGGUGUAGGAAGAAGAAUGUAGGGGUGCAGAAAGAAACUGCCAAGAAAUAGUCUUUUCAUAAGCAUAUCCCAAAAGGGCCGAAACCGGUUUAUAAAGGGCCCAACUUAAGCAUAAACCCUUUGCCGCCAUUGCCACAGCUCAUUCAUUCAAUUAUUCGUCGCCACCGCCGGCGAAAGCCCAAACCAGUUUCUCUAUCAUCUCUUUCCUCCGCAGGUGCGUUUAUACUCUGGCGCACUCCUUUCUAAAGGGUCGUUGUCAAUUUUUUAUGUUUUUGUGAUUAUGGUUAUUGGGUGUGUCAGUUUUUGAAGCAAAAAAAUGGGGAAGAAGAGAAAGCACAGUGAGAGUAGUGAACUUGUUGCACAGCCCAAAAAGGAAGAUGCUGCUCCAGAGAGACCAACGAGGACCCUUUUGGGUUGGAAGGAUAAGAGUCUAGUCAAUGAUGAAGUCGACGACAGCAACGUUGGUUCACCAAUAUUCAGGAACAAAGAGAAGGUUUUGGUCACUUGCUCUAGGCGCAUCAGUUACAGGUACAAUCUAAUACAAACCCCAUGACUUGUCAAAGUGUAGGUCUUGACAUUCGGUCGUACGGGAAGGUCUUGACUUCUCGGUCGUUCGUCCAAGUCCUAGAAGGUCUCGACAUCUCUGUCGUUCGGCCAUGUCCCCGAGGGUCUCGACAUCUCGGUCGUUCGGCCAUCUUUCGAAGGUUUCGACCAUUCGGUCGUUCGGCCUCGCGAUGAUGUACCCGAGCUUUAAGUUUUUGAGCUAAGUGGGGAGCCGCUUAUCUUUGUUUUAACUGCUAAAUGCUUAAUUAGGAGGUCUAUGUAUAAGGGUUGGAACACCCCUAAAGUGUUUCAUUUUAUUCUAUUAAUUCGUUGCUGAUCAAAAAAAAAAAUAGAUUUUGUGUUUUUCGUUUAUAGUUUGUAUUACUCUAUUUUUUCGUCACUUGCCCGCUUGCUCGAUUAACAUCGCAAGUGCCGGCCGACCACCCACCAAACUUGCUCGAUGACAUUGCAAGUAUUGGCCGAACGCCCGCUUGCUCGAUCAAACAUCGCAAGUGCCGGCCGCCCGACUACCCGCUUGCUCGAUUAACAUCGCAAGUGCCGGCCGACCACCCACCAAACUUGCUCGAUGACAUCGCAAGCAUUGGCCGAACGCCCGCUUGCUCGAUUAAACAUCGCAAGUGCCGGCCGCUCGACUGCCCGCUUGCUCAAUUAACAUCGCAAGUGUCGGCCGACCACCCCCCAAACUUGCUCGAUGACAUUGCCAGCAUUGGCCGAACGCCCGCUGGCUCAAUUAAACAUCGCAAGUGCCGGCCGCUCGUCUGCCCGCUUGCUCGAUUAACAUCACAAGUGCCGGCCGACCAAACUUGCUCGAUGACAUUGCAAGUAUUGGCCGACUGCCCGCUUGCUCGAUUAAACAUCGCAAGUGCCGGCCGACCACCCACCAAACUUGCUCGAUGACAUUGCCAGCAUUGGCCGAACGCCCGCUUGCUCGAUUAAACAUCGCAAGUGCCGGCCGCUCGACUGCCCGCUUGCUCGCGGGCAAAGUUUAAGAACAGAGAAACCUUGUGCAGUGAGUCAGUUUUUGUAUAUUAUAAUGGUAUUUUUUUGGGCGGAGUAUUUAUUUUCCAUUCAUUUGUAGGUACCGGCAUUUGAUGUUGAACUUGGUGUCACUUUUGCCGCAUUGCAAGAAGGAUAACAAGGUUGAAUCAAAGGAAACUAAAGGCGCCACCCUGAACGAGCUUGUUGAGCUCAAAAGUUGCUCCUCGUGUUUAUUUUUUGAGGUAUUUUAUUUAUAUGCCACAAGGUUUUUCAGUGCCGUGUUACUUCGAUUUAGGAUUGAUGUGUUGUGCUGUUCUCUAGACUAGUAUUUGCAUUAUGUUUGCUAUUUGGAAAAUCUAAAGCAUGCUUGUAGGUAGAGGGAUUCGUUUCUUGGUUACAAAUGUUGAUGCUAUUUAACUAUGAUAUGGUAGUCAUGAGUUUGUGUCUGGUCAACUUGUUAUAUUAUGGUUAGUGUCUUCUCCUCUCAUUUUCUAUGCAUCAAUUUCAGGCAGGAANNNNNNNNNNNNNNNNNNNNNNNNNNNNNNNNNNNNNNNNNNNNNNNNNNNNNNNNNNNNNNNNNNNNNNNNNNNNNNNNNNNNNNNNNNNNNNNNNNNNAAAAGAUCUUUAUCUCUGGAUGGCCAAAUGCCCCAGUGGCCCAUCUGUAAAAUUUCUAGUUAGUGCGGGUAAUAUUCUGAUCUGAUCAUUGUCGUAAUGUUUAUAUAAUACUAAUUUGCUUGCUCUGAUCAUGUAGAGUUCUGAUGUCUGUAUACUCUAGGCAUCACUGGUCAUUCUUCCCAGUGAAUUAUGAUUUUGUGUUUCUCUCUCUCUCUCCCACCCAAUUUUUUUAUAUACUUUUUCCACCACUGCUUUUCAGUGCAUACUAUGGAGGAGUUGAAGCUAACGGGAAAUCACCUAAAAGGUUCCCGUCCUCUUUUGACGUUUUCUGCAAAUUUUGAAAAAGAUGCACAUUGGAAACUGUUAAAGGAGAUGUUGUUACAGGUAUGUGGUCUGUUUCUUUCCUUGCAAGUUUUUUCAUCUUUGUCCACCUAGUUUCAUCCGAGUAAAACUUAAGUUGAUUACUCUCAUAUGUGCCAUUUCAUAUACAAGGUAAAGGUUAGCUUGAUGGUUUCAUCUUAGUUUGUUGAUUCAUGAUGUUGCCUCCAUGAAUUUCCAGUCUAAUUAUGAUCUGCUUCAUGUGCUCUUUCCUGAUGUUAUUGGGAUCUUACAUUGUGGUUGUCAUGUUUCUUCCUAGGAGUAUUUUCUCAAUUUGUUGUUUCUGAUUGGAGAAAAUUCAAUUAAUGUUAUUAUAUCUCCAUCUAUUAUUACAUNNNNNNNNNNNNNNNNNNNNNNNNNNNNNNNNNNNNNNNNNNNNNNNNNNNNNNNNNNNNNNNNNNNNNNNNNNNNNNNNNNNNNNNNNNNNNNNNNNNNACCAAUUUAGAAACUAAAUUCUCUAUAGCAAUUGUUUUAAUAGUCUAAUCUCCUAGAAAACUGGUUUAAAUCAUUAUCUAUUUUUUCCUGUUUAUUAAUCACAAUUCCAUUUUAUUAUUAUUGUUAUUGCUAAUCCUUAUUGCUUGCAGAUAAGUUUUGAAUUUUGUUAACUGGACUCAUUAUUAGAUUCUUUGGGAGACGACUUGGAAUCAUCUGACCACUUUUAUACUAUCAUCUUUCUAGCAUUGGACAAGUCUACACUGGAAUCAUAUUAAUUUGAUAGCAAAACGACGACUAUCAACAUACAAAGAAGAUAAGAUAGGGAGAAAGAAGACAACUGGCAGGUGAUGGAGGCGGGACUGGGCAACAAAGGGCAUUGGAAGGCGGCAACGGAGGCAGUAAGGGUUGCGACGAAGUGAAAGCUGAAAUGGAGAAGAAGAACAAAAUAAGAGAAGAGAAAAGAAGAACCGGAGAAGUAGGAACACACUGGCGGUGAACAAUGCUGGAUUAGUGGCAGCAAGACAGAGGCAUUACAGGGUGGGGGCAACGAAAUGCGAAGAAUGAGCACUGCAAAGGGGCACUGGCAAAAUGCGAAGAGGGUAAAAAAACGCAUAGGUGGAAACAAAUUUUGCGUCAGUUGGCCGACGCAAACCCCUACAUAUAUAUAUAAAAAUUAAUUUAAGUCAAGAUAUAAUUAAAAAAUAUUACAUAUAAAUUUAUAUUUUUAUAAAUUCUUUCAAAAAUACAUAAAUCACUAAAUUUACUAGAUAUUUAAUUAAUCAUUUCCUUAAUAUAUAUUUUAAAUAUUUAAUAAACUUAAAUUAAACUUUAAGAAAAUUAAUUUAGAAUACAACAAAAAAAUAAGUUAAUUUAUACAACAAAAGAUUAAUUUAAUUUAUACAACAAAAAUAAAUAAAUAAUUCAAUUAAACUUUGGUUUGGAAAACCAUUUAUCGUUUAGUGUUGUUUAUAUCUACUAUUAUCUAAAAAUAAUCAAUUUAUUAAUGUCCGGGAGAAACAAAAAAAAUAUCUCUUAGGUGCGAUAUUGAAAAAAAAGGUUCCAUUUCCUAUCAAAUAAUUUCAUUGAAGUAAGUAUAAUUGUAUCCGUGCUAGCAUCUACUAUACUCUUUUUUAAUCUUUACCGUUUGUUUCUUAGUUCAACUUUUACCUUACUAACUGCAAUAAAAAAAAAUUAGUACAUAUGCGCCACCCAAAAUGGUAAUAGGCUAUGGUUAUGAACUUAUAAUCCAAAAUCUGAUGAACCUUCCAUAUAAUGAUCAAGGUGGCCCAUGACUAAGUAAAAUCACUACUAAAAAAAUCAUUAAUAGUAACCAAAUUUAGGGACAAAAAAUAAUUAGUCACUAUAUUAACUAAAUUAGAUACUAAUUUAGAGACUAAAAAAUUAUUCAUAUCUAAAGUGGUCUCUCUAUAUUAUUAAUAAAAAUUUAUAAAAUGGUUUCUAAAUUUGUACCUAAAUUAACUACCUAAGUUUUAGCGACUAAUAUUUUAAAUUUUAAAUUAGACUCUAAAACUAAAAGACUAAUAUAGACUAAUUUAGAAUGUAAAAUACUAAGUAGCUAAAAUCUUGGUAGCUAAUAGUUAGAUAUCAAUUUAGAAACCAUUUUAUAAAUUUUUAUUAAUAAUAGAAACUACUUUGAUACCAAUAGCUUUUUUAGUUUAUAAAAUUGUAUCUAAUUUAAUCAAAUAGUAAGUAACUAUAUUGAUUUCUAAAAUUAGUUUCUAUUUAAUGAUUUUCUUAUAGUGAAUUAACCAAGGUUUACGGGAAUAUUAUGAGAAUCAAUUUUGUUAACACACAAUUAAUAUGUUUUCCCGUAAUUUGAUUUUUGGACACAAUAUCUCGAUUUCUUUAAUUAUAUUGAUUUUAUCAUAUAAUAUCUCUAUCAUAUACAUAAUAUGCUAGCUCCAUUAAUGCAUUGAUUUAAUCGUACAAUAUUUCUGAUUAUAUUACCUAAACCUUUAUUAUAGUACAAAAUACUCUGAUUAUACAUACAUGAUAUUCAAAUUUUGACAUAAGACUACGAUCUGCUACAUUAAAAACCUGGAAAAGUGAAGAUCCAAACCCAUAAAAAUUUAUAAAUAGAUGAACAUUCACAAGGAAUAGAGUCAACUCAUAUUUUGACACAAUACUUACUAUAUACACUAAGAACAACAUCAAUCAAAAGUAACCUCUUUUAAAUUACAAUGGACAUGAAAGGGGUCUAGUUCAAAAUAAAUUGUUCCUUUAUCUAUUAAAGUGAUAUUAUGAGAUUAAAAUUUAUUUAAGUUAUCAAUCAAUAUUUUAUCCUCACUUUUUUCUUUCUUAAGUUUACUUUCACAUUUUGUGACAAUAAUUUUUUAUUUAUUUUUAAAUACACCCAUUAAAGCUGAUAAGGACGAUUCAUCUUCUUCAGAUUCCUCACACGUUAAUCCCACCAAACAGAACUCCGGCACCAAGGGAAUCAAUAUGUACGGAAAGUUAGUAUCACUUGGACUAGGGCUUGUACUUGUGGCAACAACUAUGCCAAGUUGACGGGGCAGGUGGAUUUGGCACCUAAGGAUUUCGUUUUUUAAGUUUCUUUUUGGAUCAGAGAGAAAAUUUGAAGAAAUGAAUUUAUAAUCAAUCGAGAGAAAAGUGUAAAAAAGUGAAAUUGUUUGGAUUAAAGUAUUUUAGAAUAGAUAUGUGAAGAAAAUUGAUUGAAGUUUGUGAGUAAUGUGAUUGUUAUAAAGGGAUUUUUAUUUUCUUAAAAAUAUAUAAGAGGUAAAUUUACAAAUCUAUUCUUAUUUUUAAAAAUAUUUAAAUAAUAAAAUAUGAGAUUUUUUAUAAAUUUGAGUUAAUUAAAAACUUUUAUUUCAACUUCAAAUAAAUUUUGAUAUGAAAGACAUAAUUUUAUUUUUAUAUUACUAAUUUACUUUCUUUUACUAUUAUUAUAUAGAUACAUUGAUAUUAUUAUUAUAUAAAGACAUUUAUGUUAUUAUAUAAAUAUAUAAUAUAGUCGAUUAAGUUUAAUAUAUAAUCUAUUAUGAUAUAAAAAUUAUAAGUAAUUAUUUUAUGUUUAUUAUAAUAUAAAUAUAUAUAAUAUUUAUUAUAAUAUAUAUAAAGUGUCCUUUUAUAUGUGUAUAGAAAAAUAGGAUAAUUUUCACCUUUUAACAAUGUAAAUUUUUGUAAUUUUUUUUAGCUUUUCUUAAAGGCUUAUAUUAUUUCUUUCCUGCAAAUUUUUGUCUUUUUUUCUUUGUAUUUUAAAAAAAAAUGUCUUUACUUUUCUGUCUAAGUCCGAAUGUAGAGUAGUCAUUCGAAACGAAAACUAAACGCUAAACCUUAAACUUAAAAAAGACGCAUGUUCCUUUUAUAUAUGUUUCGGACUCAGUAACCAUUGUUUUUCAUUUUUUUUCUUGCUGAUAUAAAAGCUAAACCUUAAACUUAAAACACGCAUGUUCCUUUUAUAUAUGUUUCGGACUCAGUAGCCUUUGUUUUUCACUUUUUUUUUCUUGCUGAUAUAAAAACGAUGUGUUAGUUAAGGAAGCGUUCUCUGAAUAAUGUAAAAGGUUUGCAUGAUUACGGAGUUUUCUUUACUAAAUUAUUUAUUUUAAAAAAAUUUAAAAGCAAAAGUAAAAUAUUACUGUUAACAAAAAAUUUAAGUACUACCAUAGUAUCAUUACAACCAUUAAAAAAAAAUUAAAAAAAAUCAUUAAAUAAAAAACCAAUAAUGAAUUUUUUUUACCGUUUUUAUAAUAAGAAAUUACUGACAGUUUUACGUUGAGAUUUUGUUUGUAUAAAUUCCUGCGCUGAGAGUGAAUACAACACAAGCUUUGAAUUAUUUGGAAGAAUUUGUUGUUGUUGAAAGAGAAGAAGGAAAAGAUGUUUACCACGCUGAGCCAAACUCAUCUUUGUCGCAUUGUCUUGUUCUUGUUCUUGCUUUGCACGCCGAGGUUCAGCAGUAGUGGUGCUUCUAGCAAGGGUAUGAAGUUCUUUCACACCCAUAUACUCUUUCUUAUUGAUUCAACUCUCAUUAACCUUUGUAACUGUAUUUGAUGUCAUGAUAUGAUAAAGUAGAUAGUGAGAGUGGAGAAGGUUUGGUGUCAUCAACGGUUGAACCUAUGUCAAGGCCACCAAUCUGCAUUUACCGGUGUGAGAAAUGCAGGCCCUGCAAAGCAAUUCUGGUAACGACGCCACCCGCCGGCCGCCAGCAAGCCUCCUCUGGCUCCGGCGGACCCAACGACUACUACCCUCAAGCCUGGAGAUGCACGUGUGGCGGCAAGUUGUACAACCCUUAAAUUGAUUUUCUCUAACUAUCACGUGUUCAUUUUAGAUGGAUGGUGUUGGACACUGAAUUUGACACAAAACUUGACUUCAUCUGAAAUAAAUGAUAUCUUAAAACAGGUUACGGAUAAGUGUUUGUAUAAGGAUAAUAUUAUGUUAAUCUGGGCUUUGAUUUUUUUUUUUUUUUGAAUUGUUUGUUCUUCUCUUUUAUGAAUUGUGUUUUAGCCUAAUGAUGAACUAUUUCUUUGUCAGGAAGUGAUCACUUUGAAUAAAUAAUAUAUAUAUUUUUAUUUUACUGCUAUUUUCUAAAUAAGAAUAUAAUAUCUUCAAAAGUUAUAAUAAACUUCCAAAUUUUACAUUCUCUCAUAAAUAAUAUAUUAUAAAUUAAAUUUAAAAUCGUAUAAAUGACAUUUAAAAUUAGAAUUGUAGGUAAUAAUUAUUAAUUAUUCAAAUUUUAAAAUAAGAAACAUGAUAUUGUAGUGGAAUGAUCACUUUAAAUAGAGAAUAUUUUUUUUUACUUUUAUUUUUUAAAUAAGAAUACAAUAUCUUCAAAGAGUGGUAAAAUAGACUUUUCAAAUUUUACAUACUCUCAUAAAUAUUAUACUAUAAACUACAUUUAAAGUCAUAAUAUAAAUGACAUUCAAAACUAGAAUUAAAGGUAAUAAUUAUUGGUUCUUCAAAUUUUAAAAUAAGAAACACUAUAUCUUUGUCAUGGAGUGAUCACUUUAAACAAAUAAUAAUUUUUUUUAUUUCAUCUGUAUUUUUUAAAUAAGAAUGCAAUAUCUUUAAAUAGUCUUACAAUAGACUUAUCAAAUUCUAAUUCUCUCAAUACAAGAAAAUCAUUAAAUAGAAAUCAAUUUUAGAGACCAAAAUAAAUUAGUUUUUUAUUUAUCAGCAAAGAAUAAAUAAAAUAAAAUGAGACACUUCAGGGGUGUCCCAACCUUAUACAAAACCCCAAAAGAAACUAAUUUAGAAACAAUAGCCAAAGUGAUAUGUUCCUAGGAUGCAUCGAAGAAUUCUUGUAAUAGUUUUUUUAGGUGCACAAGUCUCUUAGAUCCUCUAUGAAUCAACUUAUUAUACCAACACUAUGUCAAGACACCGUAGACUCCCUACUACUAGACUGCGGUAUUGACUUGCAUUCACUUGAUCUCCUCCAUCAAAUUUAGAGAGUUUCAUAUUGAGCUCCAUUGAUAAGGUUAUUCACUUGAUCUCCUCCGUCAAAUUUAGAGAGUUUCAUAUUGAGCUCCAUUGAUAAGGUUAUCAUAUUACAAUCUUCCAUCUUGCUUUUUCUUUAAUAUCCUUGGGAUAUGUUUCUUAUCACAAAAAUUCCAAAAUAUUUUUGUCUAAUCUCAAGGCCAAGAACAUAAUUCAUCAAUCCUAAGUCUCUCCCAAAGGUGCCUAAAAUUGAUAAAGACGAUUCAUCUUCAUGUAAAGUGUAAGGGGGCAGGUGGAUUUCACUAUGAAUUUCGUUAUUUAAAACACGCAAGUUACUUUAUAUACAUUGUUAUUUUGUUUUGGGACUCAGUACGAUGUGUUAGCCUAUGGAGUUUUCUUUCAUCGCCAUUUCCUGCAAAACAUUCUUUCACAUACAUUUUCCAUCCUCAUAAAAUCAUACAAAACCAAAAAAGAAAGCCGAGAAAGUAUUACGAGAAAAAAUAGUUUUAAAGGGGGGUUUAUUUUUAUAUUAUUUAGGGUUAAAACCUUUAUUAAGUCAUUUAUUUAGGAUUAUAGUUUCUCUCGCUAAACCAUCCCUGGGAAAUGUGUUCUCCGAGAUUUUUUUAAACCUCAUGAAAAGUCUUUUAGUGCUCAUGUUAAAUACUAUGGGUUUAAGAACCUUUGUAAAAUACCAUUAGUUUCAAAAAUUUUGUAAAUACCAUGAGUUUAAAAACAUUCAUUAAAUAUAAUGGGUUUAAAACAUCCGUAAAAUACCACGUGUUUAAAAACCUUCAUUAAAUACCAUGGGUUUUAAAACUUCGUUAAAUACCAUGGUUUUAAAACCUCCAUAAAAAGUCCUGGACCAGAUGGUUUUAAUUUUGGAUUUAUAAAAUUUUGUUGGGACAUUUUAAAAGGAGAUGUGGUGAGUGCGGUACAAAGGUUUGGAGAGGGUGGAAGUUGGCCGAAAGGCACUAAUGCUUCUUUUAUUACUCUUGUCUCAAAGGUUGCAAAUCCACAACAAUUGAAUGAGUUCAGACCGAUUUCUUUGGUGGGUUGCGUGUAUAAAAUUAUCUCUAAAAUCCUCUCUUUAAGAUUAAAAAGGGUUUUAAACAAAGUUAUUGAUCCCAGGCAGUCUGCUUUCUUGGAAGGAAGGGGUUUGUUGGAUAGUGUACUAGUGGCUAACGAGACACUUGAGGAGGUAAAAAGGAAAAAGAAAGAAUGUGUGGUGUUUAAGGUGGAUUAUGAAAAGGCAUAUGACUCAGUAAGUUGGGAGUUCAUCUACUACAUGCUGGGAAGAUUGGGAUUCUGUGAUAAAUGGAUUGAUUGGAUAAAAAACUGCUUAGAAUAAUCCUCAAUAUCUGUGUUGGUAAAUGGAAGCCCAACAACUGAGUUUAAACCUUUGAAGGGCCUAAGACAAUGGGAUCCUUUAGCACCUUUCCUUUUCCUAAUUGCGGCUGAAGGUCUUGCUUGGGUAGUCAGACAGGCGGAAGAAAAGAAGCUACUAGAAAGUAUUGAGGUUGGGGAAAAACAAGUAAAGGUGAGCAUGCUGCAAUAUGCAGACGACACGUUUUUUUUCUGUAAAGCCUCAAUCCAAAGUGUUAUGAUUUUAAAGGCUAUUCUGAAGUGUUUUGAACUUGCAUCUGGCCUUAAGGUUAACUAUUCCAAGAGUAAGGUUGGUGGAGUGGGAGUGAAUAUGAAUCAGACGAUGAUUUUUGCCUCUAUCCUUAAUUGCGACAUUAUGAAGGCACCUUUCAGUUACUUGGGGAUGAUGGUAGGUGGGAACCAUAAGAGGUGUGUUUUUUGGGAAGGUAUGCUCAAUAAGUUACGGAUGAGGUUGAGCGCGUGGAAAGGGAAAUCUCUCUCUUUGGCUGACAGAUUAUGCCUUAUCAAAUCGGUACUUACGUCCUUACCGCUCUUCUAUGUCUCCCUAUUUUGUAUGCUGAUGACUGUGAUGAGGGAAGUGAAAAGGAUACAAAAAAAACUUUUUGUGGGAUUGGGGGUCAGAUAACAGGAAAAUUGCUUGGGUGGUGUGGGAUAAGAUUUGUCAAUCAAAAGAUAAAGGCGGUUUAGGGGUCAUUGAUAUAGAAAAGUUUAACUUGGCUCUUCUAGGGAAAUGGAUUUGGAGACUUAAGUCUGAAGAGAGAAGCUUUUGGAAGGAUAUUCUAGUGUCUAAGUAUGGUGGGUGGAGGGGAUUAAAAUCUCAAGGUAAGAUUUGUAAGGAAUCGUUGUGGUGGAGGGACCUUAGGAAGGUAUGGUACUUAGAGGGGUGGGGUAAUGAUUUUGAAGGCAGAGGUCGGUGGGAAGUAGGAGACGGGAAAGAAAUCAGGUUUUGGGAGGAUAAAUGGUUGGAAAAUUUUCCUCUAUUACAUAAAUUCCCUAGGCUCUUUUCAAUCUCCUUAGAUACCGAUUGUACUCUUUCACAAGUUGGGGUUUGGAAUAAUAAUACUUGGUCGUGGAAGCUGCGGUGUAGAAGAAAUCUUUUUUAGUGGGAAUCCAGUUUGGUUGCUCUUUUGAUGCAGUUGUUGGAUAACAAGAGGUUAACAAGAGAGGGUGGAGUUAAACCUGAUAAAUGGAUAUGGGGGGAUGUGGAUAACUUGGAUUUAUCUGUGAAAGCAGCUUAUAAGUGUCUCAUGGGGGAGAUGUCUGUAGUGGAUGAGGAUUUAUUCGUGAAUUUUUGGUCUCUAAACACCUUACCUUCAGCACAAUUUAUGGCUUGGAGGGUGUUAUGUAAUGUCAUUCCCACGAAGGACAAUCUCUCGAGACGCGGCAGAACUUUGAUGAGUGAUCGGUGCCCUUUGUGUGGUGUGGAAGAAGAGUCGGUAAGACAUUUAUUUUUUGAAUGCAGAAUCUCUUGAAGAAUUUGGGGUAUGUGUCUAGAGUGGUUGGGGUUCACCUCGGUGCUACAUCGUGACCCACAAAUGAAUUUUAGGAUGUUCAAACCUAUAGGCUUGAAACAUGUAGUUACCAGGUGUUGGGGGGUAUUUGGGUAGGUAUUGUGAGUGAAAUUUGGAACCAUAGGAAUAAGGUUGUGUUUGAGAACGGGCAGGUGGAUCUAGUGGAGGUUUUUACCGUGGCACAAAGAAAGACUUGGUCUUGGGUCACAGUAAAAGAAAAAUUGGUUGUUUUCUCUUACUCUGACUGGUGUUUGGAACCUCUCUGUUGUAUGAGGUAUUUGAAAGACUGAUUCCUUGUCUUAUUUAACUAAUGUUUUGUUUCCUGUCCUGGUAGUUGUGGUGUGGUUUUGUGCAGGUCUCAUCGGUAAAUCCUAUCUGGCAAGGUUGAAUUGAGGUAUGGAAAGUAUUGUAUGUUUGUGCAGGUUGUCUUGGUCUUUUCUUUUUGGCAGGGUAGGAAUGUUGUUCUGAACUGCGAUAAAGGAAGUGACUUUAUGCAUGAUUAUCGGUUUGGUGUUGGAAUAUUUAUGAAGUUUGAGCUGAAGCAAAAGGAUACGUGGUUCUUUUUGGUUACUGGUGUGGCCAGAUUGGGAAGCUAUUAAGUGUUUUUUGGGGUUUUCUGGCUUAUGCAUAUUCCUCAUAGGAUUGGGUUGUUGCUGUUCGUAUUUGGUUUAGUUUGGUACAACUCAGCUUGCUACAAAGAUAUGGUUUAGCUGUUGUGAUGGUAUGCCUUGUAUUGGUUUGUUGUGCUUAUCACUUGGGUAUGGUACUCCAACCUGUUGCCAAAGACUAUGUUGUAGUUGUCAGAUGUAUUUAGUUGUUGGGUGUAUUUCUGUAUCUUGUCUGGAAUUCUAUCUUUGAUCUGUAGUGUAGUGUCUGUCGGAUUCCUGGUUGGCAGGGUACUAGAAAACUUGGUUUUGGGGUUUUGUAUAAGGGUUGAGACACCCCUGAAGUGUCUCUUUUUAUUUUAUUUAUUCUUUGCUGAUAAAAAAAAGAGGAUAAUAACAAACUCCAAAGACAACUAUAAUUUAAUGUGCUCAAGUACUUUUUCAAAAGUAAAGCAUUUAAUGAGAGAAAAGAAAAACCAGGUCAGAUUUUCUCCCCACCAAAAAGUCCAACCUAUCCACCCACCCCCAAAACAAAAAGUAAAAGAUAUAACAAUCAUAGAGAUUUUAAGCAAAGAAUAGGUUUAAAAAACAAAUUAGAGAAAGAACACGAAAUUACUUACCCUUUAUAUAUUCUUCAACCAUAAUCAAGAUUUAAGUGAGAUUUAUUAAGUGAGAUUAUGCAAAUAUACUUAUCCUAUGGCUUGUAUGUUGUCAAUUAAGUGAGAUUAUGCAAAGUUUGUCUCUUUGACUAGGAUGUUAUUUAUUUUAAGGAUAUAAGGAUUAGGUAGGUUAGAAGGGGUUUAGAUUAUGUAUAAGGGUUGAGCCACCCCUUAAGUGGUUCAUAUUAAUUUAUUUUUUUCUUGCCGAUAAAAAAAAAAAUUUAAGUUGAGACAUAUGAAUAAUUUUCUUGACAUCUACAACUUCUGGUCUAAAAACAACGUUGUUGCUAUGAUUCCAAAUAUUUCAUAUAAGUGCAAUCAACAUAGCCUUCCAGAGUUGAUUUUGCUUAUGGUUUAAAUGAGGUAAGAUAAAUUGUUCAUAAUGUUUAUAAAAAUUAUUGUGUUAAACAACCUAUGUAUUAACCCAUAUAAAACAUUAAUUAUUAACCCAUAUAAAACAUUAAUUCCAAGCAUAUAAAGAACAACCAUAUUCAAGAAACAUAUAUGGUUAACAGAUUCAACAUGAAGAUUAUAACGAGGGUACAAAACAUUUGCUAGAGACACUCCUCUCCUUGAAUAAUAUAUCUUCAAACAUAUAUAUCAUGAUAAAGAAUGAUAAAGAUACAUCAAGAGAUUUGAAGAAUCCUACAUCACUUACAAUAUAGAUAAUGCAUAACCUCUUUAUCAUUCAUACCUAACUACAAGAAUGUCAAUCUUUGAAUCUUUUUCUCCUUCGAAAUAAUGCAUUUGUAAAUCAACUUGACCGAAAGCACAAAUGUUCUUAUUUUGAAACAACCUUGUUAUUAAGACUCUUACUGCCUGCCAGUAUACAUCUGAUACAGUUCUUCGACCACUCUAUCUAAGUAUUUUGGACAAGUAAUAAUAUUUUCACAUGGAAGAAGCAUUGGGAUUAUUCUUGCAAAGUUGUGUUGUAUAUGGAGGAAGUGAUGUAGAUUGUUUCUUCCCAAUUAAUAUUCUAAGAAAACUACACCAGUCAAGAUUCAAACUCAAGUUCUUCUAGUGAAGAGGGAAGCAUUAACCACUAGAUCAGACAAAUUUUUUGGUCAUAUUAUUAUUUUUAUUAUACUUAUUAUUAAUAUAAUUUAUACAUAUUAAUAUAAUUAUUAUUAAUAAUAAUAAAAUAUAUUAUACUCAUAUUAUUAAAUUAUUAUUAACAUUAUAAUUAAUAUUAUAAUUAACACUAUAAUUAAUAUUAUAAUUAACACUAUAAUUAAUAUUAUAAUUAACACUAUAAUUAAUAUUAUAAUUAACACUAUAAUUAAUAUUAUAAUUAAUAUUAUUAUAAAUAUUAUUAAUAUUAUUAUAGAUAUUAUAGAUAUUAUUAAUAUUAUUAGUAUUAAUAUUAAUAUUUAAUAAAUUUAAUAUUAUUAUCAUCAAUUUAAUAAAUUUAAUUUAACUAAUUUAUAUCAUAAUUUCAAAAAUAAAAUAGUUAUGACAAUAUAUAAAUAAAAUAAAUAAUAUUUAAAAUAAACAAAUAUUUUAUAUAACAUUUAAAUAAUUUAAAUAUAUAUUUUAUUUUACUCAAUUAAUUUUAAAUCAAACACUUAUUUAAUUUAAUAAAUCUAAUUUAAUUAAUUUAUAUUCAAAAUUGAUAAAUUAAAUAAUUUAUUAUAACAUUAAAGAAAUAAUUCUAAAAUAAAUAUAAUAAAGAAUUAAAUAUUAAAAUAUUUAUUAUAAAUUAAAAAUAUUUAAAUUUUAAAAUAAUUAGAAGGUGUUUAGAGUUGCCUUCAUUAAGAAAUUACUGACAGUUUUACGUUGAGAUUUAGUUUGUAUAAAUUGAUGCAGUGAGAGUGAGUAGAACACAAGCUUUGAAUUAUUUGAGGAAUUUGUUGUUGUUGAAAGAGAAGAAGGGAAAGAUGUUUACCACGCUCACCCAAACUCAUCUUUGUCGCAAUGUCUUGUUCUUGUUCUUGCUUUGCACGCCGAUGUUCAGCAGUAGUGGUGCUUCUAGCAAGGGUAUGAAGUUAUUUCACACCCAUAUACUCUUUCUUAUUGAAUAAACUCUCAUUAACCUUAGUAAUUGUAUUUGAUAUGAUGAUAUGAUGAAGUAGGUGGUGAAAGUGGAGAAAGUUUGGAGUCAUCAACGGGUGGAGCAAUGUCAGAGCCACCGAACUGCAUUAACGGGUGUGAGAAAUGCACACCCUGCAAGCCAAUUCUGGUAGCUACGCCACCCCCCUCUCCCCGCCACCAAACGGACUCUGCCUCCCUUCGAUCCCCGGACUACUACCCUCAAGUCUGGAGAUGCACGUGUGGCGGCAAGUUGUACAUUCCUAAAAAUAAUUUUCUCUAACUAUCAUGUAUUCAUUUUAGAUAUAUGAUAGUCGACAUGGAUUUUGCCACAAAACUUUACUUUAUCUGAAAUAAAUGAUAUCUUCAAACGGGUUACGGAUACAUGUUUGUAAAACUAUACUUAUUCUGUUACUCUCUGCUUAGGUUUUCAUUUUUUUACCAUUAAGGAUUUUUUUUUAACAAAAUGGAAAUUCUUUUAAAAAAAUACAAAUUUAAAUAAGUCAUGUCAAAUUGACAUGAGUUAAUGUGAAGAAGUUGUAUCAACUUGACAGACUUUACCACCUCAACUUGAACUCGUGUUAAGUUGACACGAAUUUUGUCACGUCGUUCUAACUUGAUAUGACUUUGUUCACGUCAUAAAUUUUUUAUUUUGUUGACUUUAGUAAAAACAUUAUUGUUUUUAAAUAAAUAAAUAUUACUAAUUAUUUAAUUAGAGUUGAAAUUAAUUAAAAUUGGUAAGUUAUGUAAUAUUUAAAAUUAAUUUGAUAAAUAACUUUUUAAGAGUGUUAGCUUUAAGCAAAAAAUUGGAUAAUCAUGCAUGAAUCAUGUUUGACGGUAAUGUAAUAUAUUAAUUUAAUUUUUUUAUUAAUAAAAAAUAUGAUGAAAAUUGUUAUUGCAUUUGGAAAUAAAUAGAGAAAUGAGAAUUAUUAUUGUAUUUGCAGAACACGUAAUAAUGAGGAGAUUAAUUAUAACUAGACAAAUUAGUAAGAUUCAUUACAAGAUAUAAAAUAAAAAUAAAAAGUUGAACUAUUGGAAGUAAAUUAUUUAUGGAAGACGCAAUUGCUAUACGUCUCCCUUAUCCACACACAAUUGUUGUUUGUUCAUUUUGUCAUUUACAGCUAAUGACAUUUGUGGUACAGUCUCUGCAAAUAUUUUAAAGGUUAUGAGGUCCAAUUUAAUCCUGUUCGAAAUCAAGAUUAUUCGUCUAUUUACACGGACCAAAAUUUUUUACCUGACCCCAUGAUGUGUUGACAUCAAUCAAGAAAACGUAUAAACCCUAAAUUGUUAUACGGUAGGACCAAAGGUCAUAAACAAUUGUUUGCACAGACAAACUUGAUAAUAAAAUUCAAUCUCAACUUUGAUUAUUAAUUUUCUCAUUUUCUUUACCUAUGUAUUUAUGCCUUAUUUAUUUUAUUCAACUAACAACCUAAAUUAACCAAGAAUAAAUAUUCCUCCAUAAAAAAUUAUUUGUUAAAUUAAUUUCAAAUAUUACAUAACUUACUACUCAAUUUUAAUUUUAAUUAAAUAAUUACAUGAAUCGUGUCAACUUUUUUACGUUAACAUUAGAGGAAUCGUGUUAAGUUUACACGACUCCAAAUUGAGCGAACAAAGUCAUAUCGUACCAAAUUAUUAUGACUUCUUUCAUAUUAAGUGAUAGUUUUUUUUUAUAAAAGGAGUCACAUCAUUUUGGUAAAAGAAAAAAGAAACAUCACCAUGGUGGUAAAAAACCUGGAUUUUCUUUCUCCCUUCCGUCGUUUGUUUCUUCUUCUGCUUUAUGAAUUGUGUUUUAGCCAAAUGAGGAACUGUUUCUUUGCUGUGGAGUAAUCCCGUUCUAAUUAAAAGCAACAAUUUGCAACGUUCUAAAAGUAGCAGCAUGUUCUGACAGAAUCUGAGAAGACUAUUUGUAGUGUGUUUUACGUUCUACGUAUUUCUAAAUAUUUUAUGAAAAAAGGAAACUCCAUAAUCAUGCAAACCUUUUACAUAACGCUUCCUAGGCUAACACAUCGUACUGAGUCCGAAACAAAAUAACAACGUAUAUAAAAGGAACAUGCAUGCGUGUUUUAAAGAACGAAAUUCAUAACUGCGAAAUCCACCUGCCCCCAUCAACUUUACAUAGUUGUUGCCACAAGUGCAAGCCCUAGUCCAAGUGACACUAACUUUCCGUACAUAUUGAUCUUGUCGGUGCCGGAGUUCUGUUCGGUGGGAUUAACGUGUGAGGAAUCUGAAGAAGAUGAGUCGUCCUUAUCAGCUUUAGGCGCCUUUGUUGCGUCAGUAGAAGGUUGUGGAGCCAAUGAGGGAGCCUUUGCAGGUGCUUUAGCAACAGUAAAAAAGUCCAAAGGAAGAAGCACCUUACCCACCUUGUAAAUAGCGAGAUGCUUAUCCGUAUAUACAAUGCCUGUGAUGGUGGUGUUAACCUCACCCGUUGAGAUGUUCACACUCCCUCCGUAACUUAUCACAUUCAGUUCCACUUUUCCAGGUUUAGCCCCUGCAAGGGUUCUCACUGGGUUGGUUAGAGUAUCAAAGUUAGAGCUAGAAACAUAGUCUGAAAGAACAUGGAACUGUAAGAGCUCGAGCUUUUGGCCAUCAGAAAGAGAGUUGAGGAAGCCUGCUUUGAGUUCAGAGAAGGAACUGUCAUCAGGUGCAAGAAUGGUGAUGCCACCUGAUUUAGUAGUGAGGAGCUGUGCAUUGAGUUGGUUGAUCAAUUGGGUGGUUUUCAUGAGGCGGAUUAGGAUGUUGAAUGACUUAGCCUGCCUCAGGAUUCCAACAAUGUCAACAGCUGCAGUGUCAGGAGUGGAAUCACUUGGUGACUGUGGCAAUGAGGGAACCAAUGGCUGUUUAGGAGCCUCAGCUGGUGGGGUAGGGGUAGGUUGAACUGGUUUAAGAGGGGCAGAAGCUGGUGAUAAUUGGGCCAAAGUGGUGGUGGAAUUAAAAAAUGAAAGUAGCAGUGCCAGUGAGAAGGACAAGACACAUUGCUUUCUCAUCAUCCUGGUUUGUUAAAUAAAGGUUUGGAUGAUAUUAGAAAUGAUUGCAAGUGAUAACUAUUGUAAUAACAGUGUGCAGUUCAUGCAAUGAUGAAAUGCAUGAGUGUAGGGUUUUUAUAUAUUGAAGCUGAGAAAGGAAAGGUAGGUGAAGGGCCAUGUUGUACAACCUUUAAUUGUGAUUUAUGAACUAUCUUGUUUGAUAUUUAGGUGUUGCAUUAAUCAAAAUAUAUACAUAUAUGGUAUGUAAGAUAACAGUGAGUUCUUGCUUGAAAGGUACACAAAAGAUUGAGUGAGACACUGGUGUGAGACAUAGUCUCAUUAUUGGACAAGGAAAUUACGGUGGCGCAUCAAUGAAGAUUGAAACGUUUUAGCUCAUCAGAACUCGUUUUCUAGUGGAUUUGGAUCUAGAGAAGAAUGAUUAGUAUCCUCAAUGUAAUUAUCAAACAUUAGUUAAUUCAUUUUUUUUUAUAAAAUAAUGUACAAAUUUUUUCUACUUUUUUAGUUGCUUAAUUGGGUUUUUUUUUACCAUCAUGGGUUAUUUUUUUUGGUUUUUACCAAAAUGAGUCCGUUUAAAAAAAAUUACAAAUUUAGGCAAGUUGUGCCAAUUCGGCACGACUUCAUAUGCAGAAGUCGUCCCAAUUAGGCAUGACUUCUGCCAUGUCAUACUAAAGUCGUGCCAACUUGGCACGACUUCUGCCCUCUCAUACUGAAGUUGUGUCAACUUGGCACGAUUUCUGCCCUGUCAUACUGAAGUCGUGCCAACUUGACAUGACUUCUGCUACGUCAUAAUUUUUUUUAAUUUUAUUGUUUAUAUAUUGGGUAGUAAGUUAUGUAAUGUUAAAAAUUAAUUUGAUACAUAAUUUUCUAAGAGUGUUAGUUUUAAGGAACAAAAAAUUGGAUAAUUGUGUAUGGAUCAUGUUUGAAUUGAAUGAAUAAAUACAUAGAUAAAGAAAAUGAAUGUUCUAAGAGUGUUAUGAAUGAAUAAAUACAUAGAUAAAAAAAUGAGGAAAUUAAUAAUCAAACUUGAAUUGAAUUUUAUUAUUAAGCUUGUCUGUGCGGACAAUUAUGACGUGGCAGAAGUCGUGCCAAGUUGGCACGACUUCUGUAUGACGGGGCAGAAGUCGUGCCAAGUUGGCACGACUUCAGUAUGACAGGGCAGAAGUCGUGCCAAGUUGACACGACUUUAGUAUGACAUGACACAGCAGAAGUCGUGCCUAAUUGGGACGACUUCUGCAUAUGAAGUCGUACCGAAUUGGCACGACUUGCCUAAAUUUGUAAUUUUUUUUAAACGGACCCCAUUUUGGUAAAAACAAAAACAAUAACCCCAUCAUGGUCAAAAAACCGCUUAAUUGGCUGAUGCUAUUUCACUUUUUAUACUGCGUUAUACACAAAAUGAUUCUGUCAAUUGUUUGAAAUAUCAGUAUAAACUAUAAUCAUAUGUUGUUUAUCUAAAUUUAAAAGAACUGUGUAUGUUAUACCAUAUUUCACAACAAUUUCUCCUGAUUUCAACCAUAGUUAAGGCUACCAAAUUCACUUUGAUGUAUUUUUUUAAAAAAAAAAACUAUCAUGAUUAUUGCUCAAUGAAAAUAUAAGAAUAUUUGUGAUUUAAUUUUACUAAGAUUUUUUUUAUAUGUUUUAAAUUUUAAGAUAGUGUUUGGAAAAAAGAAAAGCAUAUGAUCAUUUUAUCUUUUAAAUUUAAGAAAUUAUUAAUUUGAUUUAAAUAUAAUGCUACUAUUUUAAAGUUUUUUUUUAACUUUGUUCUUCCCAAAUAAUAUAUCUUUUAUUUUGUAAAUAUAUUUUAUAUAAAAAAUCAAUAAUUGGUAUCAUAGUUUUCUAACCUAUGAAUUUGAGAAAUUCAGUGAGUCUACCUUUUUUUUUCAGCAGUGAGUCUACCCAUGAUCCUAAACAAACACUUAAUCUCAUCAUAAUGAAUCCAAAAGGUUCAUUUAUUCCGAUUGAACUUUCCAUUCUUAAAGGAAAACAUGAUCUCUUCUGGAUGUUAUAGACUAGAAGUCCAUCUUGGUAAAUGUGAACAAGUUUCAUUCCUAUUAAAUAAUCUAACUAUUGUUCAAAUCAAAAUUUACAAGAGAGAAAACAGGUUGAAGAAUUAGAAACAAUUAAAGAAUACUCCCACAUUUUCUAAAUCUCAAUUUUAACGUCACAUUUUAUAUAAUACGGACACUUAAACGAUACGAAUAUAUCAGUGUUUGAAUUUUAUAGUUGGCAACUCAUUCACUAACGCCUUCAAAGUUAUUACUAUUAUAUCAACAUAAUGGAAGAUAAUGUUACAGACAAGGUUGGAUUUGCUUUCGAUUUACUAGGCUGAAAAUCAGACUCCAAGCUUGUAAUAAAAUUGUACUUAUAUGAUUUUAUAAGGAUAAAAAGAAUAAAUAAAUAUAAAACAUGUGAGGAAUAUGCUCCAACUUUAUUAUAAUUUAUACAAGUUAAGUUAUGAUUCUUACAUAAUUCCAAAACCAGUCAAAAGAAUAGUAUUUUUUAAGUUACAAUUAGCAAAUCUCUGGCUCAGUUGAAUAAAUUACAUUUAUUAAUGUCUAAAUACAGAAAACAGAUAGUUUGUAUUGAACUUAGAAUUUAAAAAAAAAAAAAAAAAAAAAAACUGUAGCUAUGAAUGACCUUGUCUAUAUGAGAUGCAUUGGAGCCAAAAAUUGCAGUGUAUUGUUGAAUUAUAUGCAUUGUUAAUCUCUAACUUUUCAGUUUAGUAUGGUGAAAUGUAUUGUGGUGCAUGGUCGAUGUUUGUUCGUGUUGAAGUCCAGGUGAUUAGUGAUGAAAUAUGAAGUCUAGGUGAUUAGUGACAACUUUCUUAAUACUCAUCUCUCAUUGAUUCUAAUAUCAUCCUUAACAUAACAACAUUUUACCUCCACUUUCAUUCUUACCAAUAUCUUUCUCAAAUAUAAAUGGAACAUCAUCCACAUUCAAAACUUGAAAAAAAUAAGAAAAACAGUAAAAUCUGACUUUUUUUAUACUUAAAAUUAGCUCGUGUAUAAAUUAAAAAUUAGAAAAGUUACCUAAGAAAGCUUCUAUAAAUUAAUUUUAAAUUAUGGAAAAAAUAAUUUUAAUUUUUUUUCUUAUUUUGAAGGAGAAAUUCAUCCAAAGUCACCCUACAACCAAAUUAUUCAUAUCCAUGAUCUCUAAUACUGCAACAGAGAUUCAACACUGAGAGUUGCCCCCAUGUAAGGUUAGGUUCUGUACUAGGUUAGGAGUUGUGAAACAUGUGAAUUCAUUGUUGGUCUUUCAUGAAAACCAUAAUUUUUAGAAACAGUUAUGGUUUAACUUGGUAAUCAUUAACGGAUUCUUGAUAUAACACGAAUGCACAAGAAACCACAAAAAGAGACAGCAAAAUUUAAACAAGAAAUGCACAAAGCAAGAAAUUAAUGACAUAGAAAACUGUACUGCUGCCAGAUAGAUCAACUCCAUAUGUUUGCCACUACCAUCAAAGCUAUCCCAACCGACAUCAGUGCAUGAAUGCUAACCAAACUCGCUGCCCCAGAUUUAUUCUGAUCCUGCUUUGUUUCGCCUUGAUCAUUCUCGGAAGAGUUCUCCUUAGCAGCUUUGGGGGCCUUUGCAAGAGAUGAAGGAGCCAAAGCUGGAGCCUUAUUGGUUACAAAGAAAUCUAGAGGAAGAAGCACCUUGUCCACGUGAUAAAUCCCAAGUUUAUUAUCCGCGUAUACUACUCCAAGAAUGGUGGCAUUGACUACCCCAGUUGAGAUGUUGACACUGUUACCUAAUGCAUUCACAUUCAGUGGAAGCCUUGCAGGGUCUUUGCCAGCCACUGUCUGCACAGGGUUGCUCAGAGAAUCAAAGUUUGAGCUGGACACAAACUCUGGCAAUAUGUGAAACUGCACAAGUUCAAUUUUCUGGCCUGCGUUUAGGGAGUUGAGGAAGCCUGCUUUGAGGUUGGAAAAGGCAGAAUCAUCUGGUGCAAGGAUGGUUAUGCCCCCACUCUUGGCUGUUAUGAGCUGUGAGUUGAUGUUGUUCAUGAUUUCUGUGGUUUUGAGGAGGCGGACCAGGGUUGAGAACAUUUUGGCCUUUUUGAGGAUUCUGGUGAUGUCAUCAGGGACAGAGUCAGGAGAGUCUGGAGACUGAGGUAAUGUGGGGACUAAUGGUUUUGGUGAUGGUGCUGCAGCCUUUGGGGUAUGGGGAGUUUUUGCUGCAGGGGCUUUUGGGGCUGCUGCAGGUGCAGGUGAAAUAGCCAAGGUGGUAGAGGAAAAGAGUAGAAAGAGCGAGAGGGAGAAAAGGGUUGCUUGUUUCAUCUUCCAGAUGCCAACUCAAGCCUAGAUGGCCUUGAUGAUUUUGAAAGAAUGUUAAAAUGAUUGUAGCAAUUUAUUUUUGAUGUGUGGGAGCUGUGAAGGAGAGGGGUUAUAUAGAGAUUGGAGGGCAAGGAAAUGAUAGGUUGGUGAAAUGUUAUGGCUGUGAAAUUUGUUAGCUGGGGAGUCUGAGGGUGUAUCACGUCUGUCAUGGAGAAUAAGGAUCCUUUAUCUAAAUAUUAUUGGCAUAAAUUAGUGUAAGUAUUGAGUUCGGAUAUGGUGAACUGAGAAUGGACACAUUAAAUACCUGCUUUUAACACUUCUGUAGUAUGUAGUUGAAGAAGGGGAGUGACAAUGCAGAGAGGCUACAGAGGACCCCCUUAAAAAUAUCAGGGAGCAGCUACAAAUGUUGAGUUUAUGUAUAUCUAUAAGAUGUAAUUUAAUAACUUGGAUCAGAAAACAGAGCUGGAGCCAUCCACUUGAUACAAACCAAUUAAUGAAGUUCAAGAACUUUGUGAGUUGAGUGAGUAACUGGAUUGAAAUUCUCCUCCUGGUGUUUUGCACUUCCACUUCCAAUGGUUUUAUUUGGGAGAAGGUUGGUUUUUCUUUAUGCUGUAUUAGCUCCUAAACAUCUCACUCCAUUAACAAAAAUUUCUAUGUAUAGUUUAGCCCUGAAACAGAACAUUGGAAUCCAAAACCAUGUUCUGGAUACCUUUUAGUGCAAAUAAUUCAAGUUUUUAGCUUUAAUUUUUGCUCUCAUAUUCAAACUCUUAAAAAUUUGGACUUUGAACAUAAUAUCAUGAAUUACAUUUUCACUUCUAAAAUCUUGAUAUUUCAUCCUGUUCGUGAAUAUUAUAUAAACAAUAAAGACUUCGCAACUUUUUUUAUCACAAAUGGAGAAGAGACAUUUUACACCUCAUAUACGAAGUCUUUAGCAACAAGUAUAUGGUUUUCUUAAAGCCUCCAUGAGACAUAAACAAAAACUAAUUUGGAAAAUAAAAAUUUCCCUUCUUUCAUCUUCAAUUUCUAAGUCCAUCCUAUAGAUGACUUUUAUUAAUUCUACAAAUACCCAUUUUGUGUAUUUAUACAAAGAGGGACAAUUAGUUGUGAUUUUUACAAUAAUAAUAUUGGUGAAAAAGUAGGGUUAUGCAGAGGCCAAAUAAAUGAUGUGCUGGUGAAAUGUUGUGGUUAACAGGUUGCAAAAUUUGUAGCUGUGGAGGGUAUAUCCCAUCUGUCAUAGAGAUGAGGAUUUGUUAUCUAAUUAUUAUUUGCAUCUUUGCUGAUAAUGAUGAGCUGAUAAUGGACAUAUGAUAAUGCUGACAUAUUCAUGGACACUUGCUUUUUAACAUCUUUUGUAAGAAAAAUAAUGUAGUUGAAGAGGAGUGACCCACCUCACACAUACUAAGGAGUUGUUGCAAAUUGUUUUGUAUUUCUAUAAGAUGAUGCAGAGUUUUUAAACUGUGAUUGUGCUCAUGAUUGUUGAUACUGUCAAAAAUCACAUACAAGUACACUUAAUUUAAUUGCAUUUUAUAUUGAGGAAACUUCGAAAACUUUAACGUUCUGGUCAAAAUCGCAGUUGGAUUGGGAACCAUUUACUGAUAAAACUUUAAUAAAACAAAUCUUUAAUAAACAUUUAAUUCAAAAUAUUCAAAUUUACAAAAACUUAUAGCUUAAUUGAAUUAUUAUUUUCAUGACAUGUACUUAAUUAAGAUCCAAAGUAAAAGCUAAACUACGUCACUCUGCUUCGAGAGUAAAAUCAAACUGUAGAAUUUUAAUUGAAAAAUAUAAAAAUUUGAAAUAUUCAGUAAAAUAUAUUUUUUAACAAAAAUUAACUUAAACCUUAAUUAUGUCAUGCUAUAAAAAGCUCAGGUUGUACAGAUGAAGUUAUUGUUUCUGCUUCUGGAUAAAAGUCCACUUUUCUUAAUAAUAAUAGAUGUUAUUGUAAACAACAAACACAAAAUAGUUCGUAUAUAUUUCUCUCCAUCCUUUUCAACUCGAUAACAUUCAUUAUGAAUUAACUAUAUUUGGAAACUUUGGACAGUUUUUAUAUAAAUAGUGCCUUGGAGGAAAAUGUUUGAAAGAAAAAGAGGAUAGGAGUUAUGAAACAUGAAUUCAUUCCUGGUCAUGCAUAUAAAGCAUGAUGAUAGCAACAACAUGGUUUCAGAUAAGAAUCGUUAAUCAUUCAAGCAUUCUUUCCCUUUCCAUAACAUCCAUACACAAGAAACCACAAAGAGAGAAAAAUUUAAACAAAAAAAGAAGCGCAAACAAAGAAAUUAACCACAAAGAAAACUGAAAGUUCAGCUGCUAAAUGAUCAACUCCACAUGGUUGCCAUAGCGACCAAGGCUAUCCCAAGUGACAUCAACUUUGUUCCACUAACGCUGCUCAAACUGAGUGCCCCAGAUUUAUUGUGAUCCUGGUUUGCUUCUUCUUGAUCGUCAUCAGAAGAGUUUUCCUUAGCAGCUUUGGGAGCCUUUGCAAGAGAUGAAGGAGCCAAAGCUGGAGCCUUAUUGGUUACAAAGAAAUCUAGAGGAAGAAGUACCUUGUCCACGUGAUAAAUUCCAAGUUUGUUAUCCGCGUAUACUACUCCAAGAAUGGUGGCAUUGACUACCCCGGUUGAAAUGUUGACACUGUUACCUAAUGCAUUCACAUUCAGUGGAAGCCUUGCAGGGUCUUUACCAGCCACUGUCUGCACAGGGUUGCUCAGAGAAUCAAAGUUUGAGCUGGACACAAACUCUGGCAAUAUGUGGAACUGCACAAGUUCAAUUUUCUGGCCUGCGUUUAGGGAGUUGAGGAAGCCAGCUUUGAGGUUGGAAAAGGCAGAAUCAUCUGGUGCAAGGAUGGUUAUGCCCCCACUCUUGGCUGUUAUGAGCUGUGAGUUGAUGUUGUUCAUGAUUUCUGUGGUUUUGAGGAGGCGGACCAGGGUUGAGAACAUUUUGGCCUUUUUUAGGAUUCUGGUGAUGUCAUCAGGGACAGAGUCAGGGGAGUCUGGAGACUGAGGUAAUGUGGGGACUAAUGGUUUUGGUGAUGGUGCUGCAGCCUUUGGGGUAUGGGGAGUUUUUGCUGCAGGGGCUUUUGGGGCUGCUGCAGGUGCAGGUGAAAUGGCCAAGGUGGUAGAGGAAAAUAGUAGCAAGAGUGAGAGGGAGAAAAGGGUUGCUUGUUUCAUCUUCCAGUUGCCAAUUGAAGCCUGUAGAUAUGGCUUUGAUGAUUGUGGAAGUAUGUGAAUGAUUUGAAUUAAUGAUUCUUGCAAUUUGUGUCUGAUGUUUGGGAUGUGUGAAGGGGAGGGUUAUAUAUAGGCCAAGAAAAUGAUAGUUUGGUGAAAUGUUAUGGCUAUGAAAUCUGUUAGUUGUGAAGUGUGAGGAUAUAUCCCAUCUUUCAUAGAGAACAAGGAUCCUUUAUCUAAUUAUUGUUGGCAUGUUUGCAAAACAGAUGCUAUAGGUUAACUAUAUUGGGUAAGUUUGGUUAUGGUGAGCUGAGCAUAGCACAUGUAUAUUUAUAAAUAAAUAGGUUAAAUACAUUGUUAAAAAAUGUUUGUAAUAUAUUGUUGAAGGGGAAUGACUGUGGAGAGGCUAGAGAGGAACCCUAAAAAAUAGGGAAUUGCAUCUGCAAUUGUUAUGUAUGUUUAUUAGAUGUAAUUUAAUACCAUGGAUCAGGAAGAGCCAUUGACAAAGGUUGGAACUCCUACUGGCAUUCUGAACUUCCAAUUCAAAUGGUGUCAAUUGGGACAAGGUAUGAUGAGUUUAUUAACUCAUAAAAUACCUUCUUUAAAAUCAUACUAAUUACUGUUUUUAAUUUAUUGAUAGAGUAAAACUUUUUACACUCUUAAAAUUGUGAUUAUUUUAUCUUGUCCAUGUAUAAUAUAUAAAUAAAGACAUCACAACCUUUUGAUUUUAGUACAAACAAACUAGGACAAGACAUUUUAACCCAUACGAAUCUCACUUUUGGAUAUAGAUCCACAUUUCGUGCUAAGUAAUUGAUGUUAUUGCUAAAAUAUAAAGACAAAUUAAUUUUGAUAUAAUUAUUGGAUUUUGCUCUUCCUCUUCCAAUGGUUUUAGUUAGGAGAAGGUUGAAUUUUCUUUUAACCAAAUAUUACCUCCCUAGCCUUCCUGUUGAUUAAUAACACAGAAAAAUGCUAGAUAGGUUGACAAAAUUCCUACUACACCUUUUUUCCACUUCAACACUCUUUGCAUUGAUUAUUUGAUCAACUAUGUUAAGUGAACAAUCAUCUGACACUGAAUAACAUUAGCCUCUAGCUAAAGAUUAAUAUCUAUAAGUCAUGGCUAAUGAAGCACAUUAUACAUGGGUACUCCAGAAAUAAUGUCUAAUUGUUGAAAGAAGAUUAUACCUUAAACCAUAAAACAGAACCAUAAUAACAUGAAAAGAAAAAAGAAGCAGAACCAUUUUCGAUUUGCUGUUAAACCAUACUAGUCUCCAUACAUUGAUUCAUAUUUAAUUAAAAAUACAAGAGAAAUGGCUUCCAUCAUCAUACCUAUACAUGUCACUAAAAGAUCAUGUACGCACUGUCAUUAAGAGAACAAAUAUGUCCAAAAUCAGACUAAACUCCUAUCUUCUUACUUAACCAUUACCCUUGUCACAAACAAAACAUAAUUACAGCAAUCAAAAAGGUGAUUUAGAAAGUUCUCAUGUCCUUAAUUUAACACUAAUGUACUCAGCAGCCGUACUCAUUCUUGGACAUUCAUUCUCUUUGGUUCCUCCAGCAGACCAGCUUCGACUGAGUACAAUCCAAAAGGUGGGCUAACAUCCGCCAAAAUUGGGAAACAUGUUAGUUCUAGACCAAGUAACAAUUCAUGGAAUUGAUUUUCCUAUAAUUUCUAUUCAGUUCCUACAACCAGCCUUUGAAUCUCUCAAUUCCUUCAGCUCCUUUUUCUCCAAGGUGGAGAUUUGUGGCUUAGUAGUACACCCCAUAGAAACAGAAAAGGCUUCCAUAUAAGGUUUUAAGGUAGCCACCAUAAGGUCCUUCAAUUUUCCAAGAACCUCGAGUCCUUCCUUUUAGUUCAUAAUGAAACUACUUAUGUGACGCAAUUAUGUUCUUGGUCUGUUUUUCAAGUUCUUUAUCAAACUUUUGUACAUUGCCAAUGCAUAGUUUUUACCUUGGAAACUGAGGAAAGUAUUGGCAGAUAUGUUUACACAUCAUAAUAUGUAUCAACUUAACUCCAUGUAGUUUGAGAUGAAAAUUUUGGUUGUCUUAAUUGCAUCAAAAUUCACACAAAACAAUCUUAAUUGUAUCAAAAGAAACACAUCUAAAUAACUCAACCCUUCAGAAUUCACAUGUUCCUCAAACACUACGCAGCUCAGAGAAAGAACAUAAAUUCAAAAUCAUCAAAUAGAUUGUCUGGUCUGGUAUGGUCUACCAGCCUUCAACAUGAAAGAACCACGAAUGCAACUAAAGCAACUCCAAGGGACGCCAACGUUGUUCCUAGAGUACUCAUCAAACUGCAUGCGCCAGCACUGUCCUUGGAUGUUCCAAGGCUAUCAUCAGCAGAUGAGUUAUCAUUAUCAGUUUUUGUCGAUAUUGUAGGAGAGGGUGCAGGAGCUGGUGGCUUAGGCUUGAAGAAGUCCAAAGGAAGAAGCACCUUGUCCACAUGAUAUAUAGCAAGCACCUUAUCUGAGUAUAUAACUCCUGUGACCGUGGCAUUGACCACUCCUGUUGAGAUAUUCACAUUGUUGCCAUAUGCUGUCACGUUUAGUUGCAACCUGGCAGGGUUAUCCCCAGCUAGUGUUCUCACAGGGUUGCUCAGAGAAUCAAAGUUUAAGCUUGAAACGUAAGUGGGAAGAAUAUGGAACUGCAAAAGUUCGAUCUUUUGAUUGUCAGCCAGAGAGUUCAGGAACCCCACUUUGAGAUGUGAAAAGCUACUGUCAUCUGGGGCAAAGAUGGUUAAGCCACCUGAUUUUAUGGUUAUGAGCUGAGCAUUGAUUUGGUUGAUCAAUUGGGUGGUUUUCAUUAGGCGAAUUAGGACGUUAAAUGAUUUGGCCUUCCUCAAUAUUCUGAUGAUGUCAUCGGGGGAAGAAUCAGAGGUGUCAGAAGAGGGUGACUGGGAUAGUGCUGGGACAAUUGGUUUUGAUGGAGCUGCAUCAGGAGCUUGGGCUAAUGUGGUUGAAUAUAAGGAGGAAAAAGGUAUGAAGAGUAGAAGGGAGAAUAAAACUAAAAGCUUCAUUUUCUAUGAGCAAUUACAAGUUGCUAGUGAAGGCUCUAGAGUAAAGUUUUUGUUAUUUGAAUGGUGUUUGAUGUGUGGAAGAUGUGGAAUGGGGUGGUUUUUAUAGGGACUAGGAAUGUGAUAGGUGGAAUAAAUGGAUGAAGCUUUGGUAAUGAAUUUCCCUAUGUAUAAGUUUGUUAUGUGUGAGGUCUGUCUGUGGUGGUCCUGUUGGAGAUUAAGGUGAUGCAUCAAGGUGGAUGAGAUAAAGGUGAUUGAGAACAAUGUUUUUUGCCUUUUGCUUGGCAAUGCAGGAAAAAGAGGAGUUAAAGUUAGAGCUCAAUUGGGUGCCAAAUGCACAUUAAUGAAAUUGUGAUGCUUCUUUCCACUGAUGCAGUAAUGCCAUUUAGAUUCUGAACUUUUCAUAAUUGCUAUAAACUAUAUACUUAUAAUUACAUUACAAACACCUUAAAAAUGUUAAUCUUAAGCAUUUCAGAUAAUAUUAUCUUAUUGGUACAAAAUAUAAUUAAGAAUGUCUCAAGUUCCCAAAUCUCCAAGGCAAGAUAGUUGUCUCAAAUGCUGCACAACUAUGGAGGUACUUUUUUGCAAGAGAAAAAGACAUCGUAAUGACUAAUGAUACUAGAAGAUUGAUUGUAGAACUACUUAAUUAAAAACUUGUGAGUGCUUUCAUACAUGUUACCUAAUUAAAUUGCUGAGGGCCCAGAACUUGGGAGAUUUAAAAAUCUGAUAUUGGUAAGUUGUUAUCACUACAUUAGAUGCAACAAAAGGUUAAUAUUUUGCCACCUUUUGACAGUUCUGAAAGGAAAAGUAUAUUUCUCCCUACUUUUAUAUCAUUUUAUGAAUAAAACAUUUAUCACUUCUUUUUGUUCAUUGAAUCCAAUAUAAAUAGAACUUUGAGGAUAUGAAUCUCAUUAAACCAAGCACCAUUAAUGAAUCUCAUAUGAGGGUGUUGCUUUGAGCUUUGAGCUUUGGAGGCUGAUUCCCACCUCCUUUCAGGUUUCAUAUGUUUAUUAUUUUUAGUGUUAUAUGUCUUUCAUAUGAAUCUAUGGAUAUUGCUUUUAUGAAGGGUUACCUCUUUCUCUUGUGUUUGUUUCCAUAAAAAGGUAUUGAUAAUUUGUUGCAAGCUAAAAAAGAAAAGUGUGUCCUAUUGAUAGAUGAAUUGCAUGUUAAGUUUCUAUUGAAUUCACAUGUUAAAUACCCUCUAACACCAACCCUCUAAUAAUAUAAUACUUAAAAUUAUUUAUAAUAUAAAAAAUAACCAGUAUUCUUUUCUUUUUCUUAAUCUUACUCAAUUUAAAACUAAUAUAAAAUAAUUGAUUUGGGUAUAUUAAUUUAAGUUUAUAUAAAUAAUGUUAUUUUCUUAUUUUAGUCUCUGUAUAUGACUUUUAAAUUUUUUACUUUUGUGAUAGUAUUUUUUAGUACUUAAUAUUAGUUAUAUUUAAUUUAUAAGCAAAAAAUAUGAAAUAUCAAUUAAAAUAAUUACAUUACUUUUAAGUGUGCUAUUUCAAUUAAGUAAUAUAUUUAAUUUUUUUUUAUAAAUGAGAUAAUCACUUUUUUUAACUUCUAAUAUAUUAUGAACAAUAAUUUUUGUAUUAUUUUCAGAAUAAUAGUGAAUUUUUUAUAUAUUAAAAUUAUUUAUAAAAAAAAAUAUUACAUAUAAUAUUCAUUUUGUAUCUAUAUAUUUAUCAUUAUAUAUGUAAACAAUGAUUGUGACGAAAUAUAUUAUAUUAUGAAUAAAAAUAUUGAUAUUAGUUUUAAAUUGUAUAAGAGAUAAUUUAUAUAUAUAUAUAUAUUAAUUUAAAUAUACUGUAAUUAGUAUUUAUGAAAAUAUAAUUAACACAUUUUUUUUAUUUUGUCUUUCAAGAUAAAAUACUUGCCAUGCUAUUAGAAUAUAAAUAGUUAAUUAUAGCCUCAUUCAAAAUUAUAAUAUCUAAAUUAAUAUAUAAAAAUUAAAUUACAAGCUUCUAAAUAAAUUAUAAUUAUUUUAAUAAAAUACAAUGUUAAAAAUCUAUAUUAGUGAAUACAAAAUAACAUAUAUAAAAAUUUUAUUUAUAUUAAAUAAAAAUAUAAUACUUAACUAAAUUUUAAAAACUUAAAAAAUAUAAUUAUCUUCGUUGAAUGUAUUUACUUUAAUUAUAUUAAUUUACAUUUAUUAUUUUUAGGGUUACCAUGAUUUAUGAUUAGAACUACAAAGAAUUAUUUUAAAAUGUCAGAGAUUUAAAAUUAAGAGACAUUUUUGCAGGAAGUAAAAUCAUUAAACCUAACUAAAAUUAUUAAAUUUUGUAAUAGCUAUUUAAAAUUUAUAUUUAAAAUAUUUUUUAAUUGAAUUUCACUUGCAAUCAAAAUUCAGAAAAUUAACUAUAUGCAAAUCAUUGUUUCACUUAAUUAUUCGCAAUUUUGGAAAAUCACAAAGGGAAAAGGCAUCAUGUAUAACAUUAUAGGAAAGGAUUUUUUCUUUUAACUACUUUUUUUACAUAAUUCACCUUCUGAGUAACUGCUUUUUAAAUUUAAAUAACUACUCACAAUAAAAAAAAAUCACCUACACAAUAAAAAAAUUAUAUUUAUUUUUAUAAUUUAAUCAUAUAUUUUUAUUUCAAUAAUUAUUAUAAUAAUAAUUUCUUUUGCCAAAAGAAGGUGAACAGUAUGUGUUUGUACUAUAGUUCUAUUAUAAGUAAAACAAAACUGUAUAAAAAAAAUUAUAAUUCAGCCACCUUGACCUUCCCAUCAAAUAUCCUCUUUGACACACCUUGCAAAUUAUUUUAAAUAUAUGAUAUUAUAUUAAAAAGUACUUUUUAAUACCUUAAAAAUCUUAAACACUUAGUUAAAGAAAACUAUUACUAGGAUAUAUAUUGACUAUAAUAUUAUGAAAAUAGUUUCUUUUUAGUGAAAGAAAAUAUAUGCUUACUUUUAUGAUAUGCUUUUGACAACUUUGUUGAAAAAUCACAUUUUUUUUAUUAAUUUUAGAGCAUUUCUAAUAUUCAGCUAAAAAAUGGAAAACUUGUAUCUUCUAAAAUCUACUUUUAAAUAUGAAAACAUAACGAUAAUGUAAGACUCAAUAGACAAUCAGUCAUAGAAAUAAAUAAAAAAAAAAUUUUUACAUUAAAUAUAAUAUAUAAUUAUUUUAAUCAUUUUUUUAUAUUUUUAAUAUAUAUUAUUAUAUUGUUAGAAUAUUAUAGAAUGAGAGUAUUUUAUGUGGCAAACUAUAAUUUAUUUAAAUUAUAAUCAGUAAUGGAUGAAGAUUCUUUUACACUCAAAAUAUAAAAAUUAAUAUUGUAAAAUGAAUAUAGGUAAAGAAAGUUAACAUUGUCAAAUUAAUAUUCCAUAAUGUCAUAUUUAACAAUAGUUAACAAAACUUCUGUAUGAAUUCUCUAUUAAAAGAUCAUUGUAUGCAACUUUUACACAAUUUUUAAAUUUCUCAUAAGUAGUAAUACAUAAGAUAUAUGAAGUUUUUCUUGUAGGGGAAAGAAGGAAGAAAGCCUUCAUAAAUCAAAUAUAAUUUCCACCACAGCCUGAAACUUGAAUCAUCAGAGAAGGAAAAAGAACAGAAAAAAAGGCCAAUUAUUUAAAACCACUGUAUCUGCAAAAUGUUGAUCGUUCACCUUUCAAUCCACCCUAGAUGGCAUAGUUUCACUUCAAUGCUUAUAUUCUUAACCUUCAACCUCUCAUUGUCACCACGAAAAUGCUGCAACUAAAAGUGCAGCAGCCCAUGUCACAUGCUGCUGUUUCACACUGAUAGCAGCAGAUUCAGCAUCAUCUGCAGGAGUUUCUGUGCUGUCUGCAGAUUUCUUCUUAGACCCUUUAGACUUUUCUGGCGCUGGAGCUGGAGCAGGAGGCUUAGCAACAAAGAAAUCCCGAGGAAGAAGCACCUUGUCCACUUGGUAAACCGCGAGCUGGUGAUCAGUGUAAACAGUGCCACCUAAUGUAACGUUAACAAUCCCCGUUGUCAUGUUAACUUGGUUCCCUCCUGAGCUUGUUAUGUUGAGUGCCAACCUAUCAGGGUUUUCACCGGCCUGUGUUCUCACGGGGUUGCUGAGAGUGUCAAAGUUUGAAACGGAAACGAAUGUGGGUAGCAAGUGGAAUUGGAUGAGCUCGUUCUUUUGUUGGUCGUUGAGGGAGUUGAGGAAGCCAGGUUUGAGGCUUGAAAAGGCAUUGUCGUUGGGUGCAAAUAAGGUUAAGCCACCGUUUGUGGUAAGGAGUUGGGAGUUGAUUUGGUUGGAAACUUGUGUGGCUUGAAGGAGACGGAUUAGGGUGGUGAACCCUCCAGCCUUUUUGAGGAUUCUGAUGAUGUCUGUGGGGGGUGAGGAGGGUACCGGGGCCGGAGUGAUGGCCGUGGUGGGAGUGGCGGGGGCGGUUGGUGCGGCGGCGGGUGACUGGGCUAAAGAGAUGGUGGAAUGGGAAAAGAGUAGUAUUAUAAGAAGUGGAAGGGUAAGAGAGAAGAGUGGAGGGUUCAUGAUGACCAUCUUUUGGAGGUGAGAAAGGAAAGAGUGGUCCUUGAAGUGAGAUUUGAUGUGGGGAUGAUGGAGGGAGGGUAAUAUAUGGAAACCUGAAAAGAGUGAAAGGGGUUUGUCUUUGUGAGUUAGGUGGAAUGUUUCUUUAGAAAGUUCAGUUGUUGUAGCAGAUCUGCAUGCUUACACAUCAAUGAAAGGUGGUUUGUCAUGGAAAUGCAGUUGGAUUUUGCUUGGGAAGGCAGGAAAAGAAUAGUGAGAUCUGAGUAAGAAAAGAAAAAAGAUGAACAUGAUAACGUAGCAUUCACUUGUAAUUCUUGUGAAGUAGCAAAACAAUCAAGUGCUAGCGGCUAAGUUAAGGAAAGAGUUUCUAAUUAACUUUUGCAAGACAAUUUUUGAUGAUGUUAGUAUCUGACCUUACGAUGCAUGGUUUGUGCAACUUGGUCGGUGUUGAAUGCCGGCGGGAUUAUACCAGUUGUCUUUUUUAAUAUCUUUGAUUGGGAAGAACGACGGUUUAACAUAUAUCAUCGUAUAUCAGACCAAGCCAAAGAAGGGUGUUAACACAGAGUCAUCAUAUCUUCACAAACUAACAGUAAAUUUCUACAUAUUAUCUUUAAUUAGAAGGAAAAAUAAGAUAGAGAAAUAUAGAUUAUGAGAAGAUAGAAAAGUUUUAAAAGAUUGUAAAUUUUACUGAUAUUUUUAGUAAAAAAUUAUUUUUCCUUUUAAUUUUAAAAGUUGUAAUAUGUAACAAUUUCCUGUUAUGUUUAUGAAGAUAUAGUUUUGAAUUACCUGCAUGCAGCUAUUAGAUUGGGAAAUACUUUCUCUAACCGUAUGUUUCGCAGAAUCCCACUAUUAUUGUGUAAUUCAUUCACAGACAAUUAUUUGGGUAUCUCACGGCUUGUAUGUUGGGAGGUCCAUUUCAAGUUAAUAUUUUUGGGCAUUCUAGAAACUGAAAAGAGAUGGGCAUCAUCGUUGACAUUUUUAACAAUUUCGUGAUCUACAACAUAGUAUGUCUCUCUUUCGGGUUUUGGUCGAACAUCAACGUAGCUUUGAUUGCUAGGCUACAUCUGAGCCAAUAUUCUAGAAUAACAUGUGAAGAGAAAUUCACUGGGAGUCCAACAUUUUGCUAGCUUUCUGUUGUUCUGAAGAAUAUAUUAUGUGAUAAUACAAAAAAUUUAAAGACAUACAAAUUAUGCUACACCGUAUUUCUGAUUUAUCAAGCCGAAAUGACUUAUUGCCAAGUCAAAAAAGAAGAGAAAAAAUAAAUGUAUUUUUGUCUUGUAAUAUGGAAAGGUAAAAUGAGCUUCCCAUCCUUGAAAAUUGAGGAUUCGAAACAAGAAAAAUUAUGACAGAGGAUACUUAAACUCCAAUGAGUUCGUAGCCAUUACGAAAUGGUGUUUAAGAACUAUAAAUAGAACUUGGUUGGAACUCGAAAAAUGAACACCUGAAAGAAGCAGCAUGUUGCAAUGGGGCUUUCGUAAGUUGCAUAAAGCACAAUGCGAGGAUUAACAAAAUAUGGAAGAUGCAAAAGUGUUUCAGCCUUUCUAGUCUAAACAUUCAGCAAAACCUGCUAAUGCUGUUGUGCAGUGUGCAUGCAAUCAUCCAAGAUGCAAUUUGUGAAAGAAAAGGUAAGCUAGGAAAGAACAGUUCUCACCAUUCCAAUUCUCUCAGCCUCAAUCCUCCCCCCUCAAACCGGUGAGAAAGAGCAAGUAAAAGGUUUUUUAAAUUAAACAAGGGGAAGUAAAAAAUCUCUUUGCCCCCUAGUUUAACUUUAAAUUUCAAGAAAGGGAAAAAGGUUUCCUCUCUUUCUUUCCUCAAGCAUCCCAGAACAAGGGGAAAUACUCUCCCUCCAUCCGAUCACCUACCUUCCUUUGCAUUCUCCCCUCCACUCAAAAUCAUACAAACAUAGCUUAGGCAUCGAUUCCAUCCAGUAGUAAAAAUUAUUUGUGUUUCACAUCUUUCCAUUGGCAAAUUAACUUAUGAUUUUCAACAUAACAAGGAAUUUGGCACUUGCAGCAUGCUACCAAAACACACUCAAGCAUGAAGCACGUCUGGUCACUGGAAAAACAUUUACAGUUAUACAAUUACGGGAAUCGAACUAUUAAGAAAGAGAAGUGUGAAAAUAAAUACAAUAUGGAAAAUUAAAAAACAGUAUUACUCCUCCUGAUGCAUGUUUCCGUUACAAAAUGUGACAUGAUUCUAUAAUGUACUAGUUUAGAUUCCCCACUGGCUCGCUUUAGAUCUUCUGAAAUACUCCAUUGCCUGCUGCAUUUCUCUCUCUUAAUGCAUCCUCAGCUUUCACUUUCUCAGGAACAAAAUCUGAACAAGUAAAAGCAAGGUAAGGUGAAAACAGGGAAAGGUAAACUUAAGAAUAUGAUAGCAUUGCAACAGGGAUAUGAAUUACCGGAAAGAAAGUCGUAUCUCAUCUUCUUACUAACAACAUUUGCUGAAAGGAUAAGCGGGUGACUAAUCAGUGAUUGGAAAAGAAAUAUUUAAUAGACUCAAUGAGCCUGUAAGCAGAUACACAAUCAAACACAAGGAUGAAGGAUCAAUUCAAAUGGCCAUAAAACAUAGUAGUUCAAUAAUCCACCUAGGUUACACCUUCAUACUAAAUCUUAUUCUACAAAGUGGUUUAGACCUGACUCAAUACUACAAAACCAACUUGCAAGAUAAUUGCAGUAUUCCCUAUUUGAUGUGAUGAAAUCAUAUUAUAUUUCCUUUAUUUAAUAUAAUCAAAUCAUAUCUUUAAGACUACCUAUCAAAGUGGAGCAUAUGUAUCAUGGGUCAAGCUUGUCACAAAUGUCAUCAACAUAAGACUCCUUGAGAGACUUAUUGAACAUGUUAGCCAAUCGGUUGCUAGAGCUAACAAAGUCAAUAAUGACAAAGAUUCACGCAUGAAGAUGACAUGUAGGGGAGCUAGUGGCACAUGGUGGCAUUUGGCUGAGUGGAAUAACAUAGUGGUUGCCAAAGAAGCAUGUCUUGGUUCGCAAGGUAGAGUUCAAAGAACACAAUGGCUGUCGAAGAGCAAAAAAUGCUCGAAGGAUGCAGUGGUUUUUAGAGAGCAAAAAAUGCCCAGAGAGAGCAAUGAAUGUCACAUAACGAAAAUGGAUAAAAGGUAUGACGCUGCGAAAGAGAAAAAAAUCUCAAAGGGAAAGCAACUACUAGAGAGAAAGUAUGCUCAAAAAACAAAAGUGCUUAGAGGACGUGGCAAUUGUCAAGAAGAAAAAAUUAUCAGAGAGUGCCACAAUUACCAAAGAGAAAAAAUGCUCGAAGGGCCUAAGAGCUACUAAAGAGCAAAAAAUGCUUGGAGAGUGAGACGCCUCUCAUAAAGCAAAAGUGCUCGACAAGUGCAGUGACAGCCAGAGAGCAAAAAUGUUUGGAAGGUGCAUCUGCAAAGAGCAUAAAAUGUUGCAGCAGAGUGAGUAAUGUUUACUUAGGAGAAAAAGUCAUGGUGACAAAGUCAAGGCCAAUACAUAUAAGGAAAAAGUCAUGACCUAACAAGAGAUCAGUAACAAAACAGGUCACUGAAGAUGGUACAACUUUGAUACUGUUGAAGAUCCCGCAUGAACUAAAGAUAUGGUUAAAUUAUAGUAUAUAAGAGGGUGUAAGCCUCACCUUGCAAGUAAAUUUUGUAACAUUGAGUUAGGUUUAUACCCACUUUCUAAAAUGGCAUUAGAAUCUAUACUAGCAAGUUUGUUGGACCUAAUGUCAUCUACUAUCGGAUCACCUAUAAACAUCGAGUCAUAUGCUCGAGAUAUCCAGUUCUCAUCAUGAAAAGGUGUGUUGAAGAUUCCACAAUUACUUCAAAGAAGCUUAAUGGAAAAAAUUAUUUGUCUUGGUUUGCCCUGGUUUAACUGUGGUUUAUUGGUCAAGGUUUUCUUGACCACUAAGAUGGUAAUGCAAUACCAUCAGAAAAAGUUAAAUAGUGGAAAAAGAUGGAUUUUCAGUUGCCUUGUUGUGGCAAUCUAUGUAAUCCAAUAUAUUGGGAAUUCUUGGAAGCAUAUAUUCCAUACUUCUAUCUCAAGUUGGUAUCAGAUCGAGUUUAUCUUGCUCAAUUUGUCACUGUCUAGUAAGUACAUUGUUGGGCACCAUUGUCUUUUCUCUCCAAUGAGCACCUAGUUGUGUUCAUCUCAUCAAGCAAUGAAAGACCCUACCAUCAUCAUCGCCAUUUGUGCCUGACACAACAGAUUUUUCCUAAGUGCACCAGAUUUAGAGAGCCUCUUCAAGUGACAGAGAACCUCACUAAUCACUAAGGCAAAUUCCUCCACAGAUCGCCACAACCGGCAUCUUUGCAUAGUCAACCUAGGAACAUGUAAUCCAUUCACUGCCUUCUAGUCUCUAUCUUGGUCAGCAUCGAUUAAACUAUGGCUUCUUUGCUAAGGUUUUAAUGACCACUUGGAAGAAGGUGGUAGUACAAUAUCAUCAAACAAAGUUGAACAGGAAGAGAUGGAUUUUCAGCUUUGUGCCAUGUUGUGGCAAUCUAUGAAACCCAAUAUAUUAGGAACUCUUUUAAGCAUGUUUUCCCUACUUCUAUUCUAUCUCAAGUGGUACCAUCUUACACAAUGGUUUAGGCUUAACUCAACCGUACAAAACUGACUUAUAAGUUGGGAUUACCCCCACUUACAUGUUGUAUUUUGACACCAUCUCUAGGGUUUUUCCUAGUACUUACGAUGGUCAUUUUUUAAAAUUUUGAAUGCCAAUCAAUUACCAAUGGUUUCACAAUAUUCACACACUCCUUGUUUUUGCUCUUACUAAAGAGAUCAAUGUUAAUGAAACCAAAGGUCUGUAGCAGAUUAAUAUUGUUUCCUAAUCAAUGGGUGAGAUUAGAGACAUUCCUCUUGACUCUUGCUCUUUUUUCCUUUCUGGGUACAUUUUUCCUUCAAUAUUGCACAGGGAAAGAGAAGGUAGUCUUUGCAAAAGCUUUGAGAGACAGUAAUUUUAAAAACGAUCAAUAGCAUGCAUUUGAAAAACAUGUACCAUUCCUUUUGCAAUUGCUCAGCAUCGAGGAAGUUGAACAAUUUUACCUUAUCUCUGCACCAUUAAGGCAUAAUCUCAUAUUAGUUUACUUUUUAUUAUACAUUAUUAGAAUAUAGAUUUCCACAACCAAGUGACUGUGCAGAACCUGUUGCAGUUAUUAAAUGUAGUUUACUGCCGUUACAAGUUGGAGGUGUGCAGAAUCUUGCAAGGUUUGAUGAUGACCUUCAUAACUGAAUGAGCUGAUAGCUAUAUAGAAGUGAACAGAAUAAAUUAUUCAAAUAGAGAGGUUGUGCUAAGCUACAUAUUAAUUACCUAGUUCACAAAUAAAACUCUUCAGUGUGGAUAUGGGCGCGUGGUAUGCUACUUGGUAAAUAUAUGGUACAUGGGGGUAUAUUUGGUUUAUAUAUUAUUUAAAUAAUAUGUUUGCUAAUAACAUUUAGUACCUAAUGAUAUGAUUCUUUAGAGAAAUUUUAAAAAGUUGCAUAAUAUAUUUUUGUCUAUUUCCCCUCCCAAAAAAUAAUUCUCUGAUUAUAUAUUUUUAACUUCUUUCCUUAUAAACCCCUCUUGAGGCCUCUUCCUGAUUCAAAAGCAUCUGUUUGACAAUUCUAUUCCACCUUGAUCAUCAUCUUCUUCCAACUUGCAUUGUCCUAAUUGAGUCCCCCUUACAUUGUUUUCUUCCAAAAGUGACUUUUCCUCUUCCCAUCUUCCAUCAUCUCUUACUGAUCUUCAUUGACCACGUGUCUAUCUGCACUCAAACUCCUCUUGAUCCAUUUCAAACAAAGGUACGCAACUUCAACUCCCAAAACAUCAAUGAUUGCAUACUAAUGCCAAACACAUUGUGAAUCGGUACACAAGACCAUCCAUUUUUCCAUUUGUUAAGUGAUUUUCUAUUGAUAGCACAGAUCUAAAUGUUCCUUAAUUCACACUACAUGGAAAGAAUUCAAUAUUUACUAUAAUGAAUUUGAUGUGGGAUAGCUACUAGAGUCUAGACUGAGAACUUCACUGAAUCAGAUUGAAAUCAGUAUGAUACUCCCUAUCUUAAGACUAAACCCUUUCAAAAACUUACCACCCUCACCUCAAAAGUGUAACCAACAAAAUGAUCAGGAAUUCUACUCAAGCAGUUCAUCUUCUAAGUAUAUUUUAAAAAAAUGUCAAACUAUAAGUAUAAGCCUAAAACUAAAAAAGCCUGCAAAUUUUCAAUCAAUAUAUAGAAAUAUAUCCUUCAAUUCCCAAAACAUGGAUAUUAGCAUCAAUGUCGGAAAAGCAAUCAGCUAGAAAAUGUUAUUGGACCAUCUAUCUAGAGUACCUCAGACUCACCCUUGAUAGGCUAUUCAACCAAGAAUCAGACAACCUCUAGCCAUAAGAAAACAACCAUCUAGCACCUAAUAUGGACCGAGUCACUCAUAGACCAACCAAGUUUAGACCAACCAAACAUUAUAACUGUCUCAUUCUAUCACAUUGCCGCUUUAGGGCUCAAACAGCCAGUGGGUCAUAGGCCAAUUACAACCAGAUUAUAGAUUCCAUGGCCUCUUCACAAGCAAGGAAGGCACCAUGCACGCCAUCCCUAAAAAAGAAGGUAACGGUCAAAGAACACACUUGUUGAAUAGAUAGUGGAGGCUCAGUUGGGUUUACUGAGCUCAUGUCUAGAUUUAGGACUCCCCAACAAGUGCAUUCGCCUAUUCUAAACAGUUAUAGGGUGUGUUAGCUUUCACAAUUACUUCCGGAGAAGGUGAACCUGUGUGACAGUAUGAUUUCCAUUCAAAGUGCAGUUGAAACUAGGAAUCCAUAAACCAAAACACACACAUACUUCAUUACAGCAAACACUAUACUACAGUAAAUUUUCGUUGAACUCACAUAUCUCAAUCAUAAAACCUUACCCACGUGCUUGUAACUCAGGCAUUUCUUGCGGUCCUGAACACAACAAGCAUAUGAAUCCUGCGUAAAUUGCUCAAGGAACUUCUCCUGCAAGAAAAACGAAACCAAUAAAAAAAAGACACAUAAAAACAUAAACAGAACAAAAAAACGCAAGGAAUAAAAAAAUUACCACAGCUUUGUUGAUGGUUAACACGGCUUCCUGCGAAACACGCAUGUCAGGACCUUCGCCCUUGAUCAAGGUCCUGAUACGAUUCAUUGGAAACACGUUGGUUUUCACAUCUUCACCACUUCCUUCUGCGCCCUUUUCCUGUGGCUGCUUUGAAUUGCCGUUGCUGAGCUUGGGCCUCUUAUUCUUCUUCUUUUGGUUCUCCUCUUUCGCGAUGUCUCGAUUCUUCUUCUUCGUUUUACAUUGGGUUGUGGAGAUUUCUCCUUUCUUGGCUUUGGGAGAUUUGGGAGUGUUGGAGGACGCCAUUGUAUUACAGAGGGGUUUCAGCCUCACUCAGAAGCGCGUCUCCAAGAAGAAGGGUGCAAUUCGAAUUUCUUUGGAAGUCCUUUUAGUAAAAUCGAUUAUUGGUGUUGAAGUGAAGAAAAAUUCCUUUUGAGACUAACUUUUCUCUUACAAUACAACUUUUUCAAGAUGCAUAACAUAUAAAAACACAAUACAAUAUAAAAUAUCUGCGUGAUCAAUUUUAAUUUUAUUUAAUAUUUAAUAUAGAUUAUAUAACAUGGCAACUGCAUGAAUAUAAGAUAUUAUAGUUAUAAUUUUAUGUAUAAUUUAAUAUUCAUCAGAUAACAAAAUAAAUGAGGAUAUACUCUUGAUUUGUUAGAAGUAUAUAUGCUCUAUUUACCAGCUGCAUAUAUUUUUUUAACUUCACACCUUUUCCAUAUUAUGAACAAAUUGUAAUUUUACUUAAAUUAUACAAAAAUAUAUCAUACAAAUAUAUCUUCCUUAAAAAAAUUAAAAUAUACAUAAUAUUUUUAAAUAAUUAUUACCAUUCAAAUAGUUUUUACAUAAUUAUUACCUUUCAAACUAUCAUCAGAACAAUUAUUAUUAUUAUUAUUAUUAUUAUUAUAAUAUUAAACAAUCAAAAAGCACUCUAUGAGAUUAAGGUUCUAUUUGCUUCUAUGGAUGUACUGUUUACAAGGAAAGAAGUGAGAGAAUAUCAGUUGUUUGGAUUUAAGAUUUUAGAGGGAAGAGCACGAAAGGAUAUACUUGUAAAUAGAGUGUCCCCUCAAAAUGAAAAGAUGUAGAGGUCACAUCAGCAUGUGGUAUUUCUAAAUUUACCCUCUGUUUUUAAUAUUAAAAAAUAAUAUUUCUUUUAUUUAUAUACGAUGUGAUUUAUUUUCUAAUUUUAUAGUAUAUAUUUAAUAUUUUAAGAAAUUAUUUGAAGUUUUCUUUUUAUUUAAUUUGUUGUUGUGUUUAUAUUAAUAUAUUUUUUAUAAUUAUUAUGUUUUUGAGUUAGUAUUUUUUUUAUAAUAGUUUUUAUGAAAUUAUUUUCUAUUAUUAAUUACGUAUUUUUUUCUAGUAUUUUUAUUUUAUUUUUCAUUACUAUAGGGUUUUUAAUAAUAAAAAAAUAUUAUUUUUUUAUAUGUAAGAUUUGAUUUAUUUUCUAAUUUAUUUUCUAAUUUUAUAAUGCAUGUUUAAUAUUUAGAAAUUACUUGAAGUUUUGUUUUUAUUUAAUUUGUUGAAUAAAUGUUUUUCUAAUUAUAACUUUUAAAUUAUAUCUAUUUAUAUUUAAUAUAUAUUUAUUUUCUAAUUUUAAUUUUUAAAUCUACGAAAUAUGUGAAAGUUGUUUAUUUUUAAACAAAAAUAACUCAUUUCAUUAUUACAAUUUUUUAAUAAGCAAGGAUAAAUUUGUAACGUAACAUUUAAAAAUUUAAAAAAAAAAACUAAAAUUCUCUCACAACCAUCACAUCACUCACAAAUUCUCAUCAAUUUUUCUCACAUAUUCACCCUAACAUACCUCAAUCCAAACGCUCUCACUUUCCUCUCACAUCUUCACACAUCCAUUCCCUCAAAUCCUCACACAUCCUCUCCCCAAUCCAAACACACCCUAAAAGAUCAUCAGAUCAACAAUGUAUAUCCAAGAUCAAAUGAUCAUCAUAAUAAUUACUAUCUAAAACAAAAUGGCCAUUGGAAAAAAGUUAUACAUAAUCACUAUAUGAGAUUAAAUAAUCAUUGAAUUAAAGCUAACAAAAAUUCUAUUUGAGAUCAAACGAUCAUCGAAUCCAAAUUAUGCAUAAUCGUUAUCUGAGAUGAAAUGAUCAUCAGAUCAAAUUUAUACAUAAUCAUUAUUCGAUAUCAAACGAUCAUGGUAACAAAGCUUUGAAAAUAAGUAACCAUCUAUUAUAAAAUAAAAUAAAAAUAAAAAACUACUGAGAUGAACAAAAGAGAAAAAUGAAGUCAAGGAUAUGAAAAGGAAUAUUUCUUUUAUUUUCUUUUUCUUACUUAAAUCAAAGAAGGUAAUCUGGAUAUAUACAAGCAAUACAUUCAUUUUAGGUCUAACUAAAGAGUCGGAAUGUAAAACAAAUAGUCAAUAAAGGCUAGAAUAAGAAAAGACAUAAUAAAGGCUAGACAUAUGUACAAAGAGAAACAACAAAGAAUUAAAAAAGACAAAAUUAAUAUUAGCUUCCUUUUAGAAGCCUAGUAACCAUAUCCUUUGUUACCAUCAUAACUUGACAGGUCAUUUGAAAAUAAACGACCAAUCUUAAAGUAAUUCAAAUCAGAAAAAAAAAAUAUCAUCAAAUCAAAAUAAUCCGAUGAACUCUUGCAAAACAUUAAAACUCGUUAAUCCAUCAAAUUUUUCCAUCUACACCUCAUUUGUGGAUUUCGAUCUUAAGGGACUUAUGUACCUAUCCUAUCCAAGAUAUAUGGAGAUACACAAUAAUAUAAAAUUCAAUCAAAUCGAGAGCAACCCAAUCAAAUCAGAUGCAAUGUAUCUUACUAAGUCAUUGUCACAAUAUAAAAGAGAUGGUUGCUUAAAAGGAACUUUGUCAUCUUGAAGAAGAUAAGUUAAACAUUGAAUUUCACAUGUAACAACGGUCAUUGCUUUGAUUCAGUUUCACAAAAACUCUUUGAUAUUGUUCCUUGCUUCUUUGAUUUCCAGGAUACGAGGGAAUUCCCAAGAUACACACUAAAAUCAAUCAUUGAUUGUCUUGAAUCACUACAGGUGUUGGGUUUAAUAGUGUCAAAGUUCAAGAGGGGGGGUGAAUUGACCUUUCAAAAGCUUCUCGCAGAAACAGUGUUUAACACAGUUUCCAAAAAAUAAAUUGAUUUAAAUGGAAAUGAAAAGAUUUAUUUUGACACUGUUUGUGUGUUUGAAAAACUUUUAUACAGCAAGGUUAAUCACGAGAUUAUGCAGAUGGAUUUUUCAGAUGCACACACACUGAUAUAAGAACGAAAAAUAGUGAAUCACCAAAACAACAACCUUCAAUUUCAAGCAAGUGAUUAAGGUUCAAUUAAUGGCUUGACAGUUUAUUGAGUGAUUUAUUACAAUCAACCUGUUCUAAUGGCUUUUAAGUGUUCUUAUUGAAAUCAACCAGUUUUCCAUAAAUUAAGAACAAUAUGAACCGUGCCCAGAAAGAACAUAUUUAUUUUUAAUUGAACAUAUUUAUUUUUUUGCUGUUUUAUCAAUUAUGCAGAAACUUAAUUGCAGAGAUUGAGAGAGAAUGAACACAAGGCAUCACUCAACUGAGCUACAUCCAGUCUUCACCUAAACCAAGGUGAAAUUCACUAAAUCACAAUACAAACAAACACAAUUCCCACUGUUCUUGAAACCUACAAGAACUUAGGUACUCUUGCUGAAAAAACAUAUUUCAGCUCACACACUCUUCAAGAAAACCUAUCAAGAAGAGUGUUCAACCAAACUAUUACAAGAAAUGAAAAGUGAAACGACUACACCUGAUUGAGGAUACAAAGAUCUGCCUUAAACCAGUAGGCAAGAUUGCUAGAACAGUAGCAGCACCUCACACCAAGCUUUUGGAACCAAACCAAGAACAAGCACUUUGUGAUUUUCGAAAUCUUUGAAGAACAAAUGCUAAUACUUUGUAAACUCUUAAUUCUCUGCUGUAAAACNNNNNNNNNNNNNNNNNNNNNNNNNNNNNNNNNNNNNNNNNNNNNNNNNNNNNNNNNNNNNNNNNNNNNNNNNNNNNNNNNNNNNNNNNNNNNNNNNNNNNNNNNNNNNNNNNNNNNNNNNNNNNNNNNNNNNNNNNNNNNNNNNNNNNNNNNNNNNNNNNNNNNNNNNNNNNNNNNNNNNNNNNNNNNNNNNNNNNNNNNNNNNNNNNNNNNNNNNNNNNNNNNNNNNNNNNNNNNNNNNNNNNNNNNNNNNNNNNNNNNNNNNNNNNNNNNNNNNNNNNNNNNNNNNNNNNNNNNNNNNNNNNNNNNNNNNNNNNNNNNNNNNNNNNNNNNNNNNNNNNNNNNNNNNNNNNNNNNNNNNNNNNNNNNNNNNNNNNNNNNNNNNNNNNNNNNNNNNNNNNNNNNNNNNNNNNNNNNNNNNNNNNNNNNNNNNNNNNNNNNNNNNNNNNNNNNNNNNNNNNNNNNNNNNNNNNNNNNNNNNNNNNNNNNNNNNNNNNNNNNNNNNNNNNNNNNNNNNNNNNNNNNNNNNNNNNNNNNNNNNNNNNNNNNNCUCAGCAAAAAAUUAUUUCACAUUAACAGGGAUAACUAUUCAUCUUAACUUAAAGCAAAGUAAAAUACACAUGAAAAGCACAUAUAAGUCUUCAUCAAACACAUGUCUUGAAGGGGCAGCAACCAUCUUCAACAAUCUCCCCCUGUUUGAUGGAGACAAAUCCCCAUAGCUCUUGUUGCUUUAAGAACCUGCACUGCACCACAUACUAAACCAGAAAAAACAGAAACAUUGCAUAGCAUGAGAAAUGGUUUUAAGGUGCAGAAUUAACUCCCUGUUUCAACUAGCUUCACCUAGCAUGGUGAGCUAUUUUUCUCCCCCUUUGGAUUCAUCAAACAACAUGUAAUCAUAGGGAAAAAAAACCAAAAGCAUAACCAUAAUAGUCCAAAAGAUAAAGACAACUUGUUCAUCAUUACAGAGAUUUGAAAACUGAUAAAGAAAGCAUAAAAAACAGAAGACUACUGAUCCUUGUAGUAAAGCUCUGCAAGUUGUGCCUGAACCCCUUCAAUCUGAUCAUCAAGGUGUUGAAACCUUGCUUAAGUAGUUUCAAAGUAUGCCCUUUGUUCUGUAGUCAUUACAUCAAGGCGAUACAACACUUGCCUUUCAAACAUAGACAUUGGUUCUCCUCGGUAUUCUGGAGAUUGAUAGGCAACUAUGGCAUUUGUAGCAACUUCCUCAUGCACAGAUUGGGUAGCAGGUGAGUCAUCCUCCAUGGGGACAGCUUCAUGCUCAUCCUCACUGUUGAGGUUUGAUGCUUCAUGUUCUGCUUGAGGGUCCUUCCCUUUGAGAACCACCCACUUGUCCUNNNNNNNNNNNNNNNNNNNNNNNNNNNNNNNNNNNNNNNNNNNNNNNNNNNNNNNNNNNNNNNNNNNNNNNNNNNNNNNNNNNNNNNNNNNNNNNNNNNNCUUGAUAGGGUCGUUUCUCUCAUUUGUAACAUCAACACCAAAGUAAUCAAUCAAUUUGGAAAUAAGUAUAGCAUAGGGAAAGCGGUAAUCAGCCAACCUUUUCGAUUUCAUCAUGUGUUCAUUGAUAAUGAAAACCCAAUUUACCUUAAUCUUGUUCAUGAUGCAAUAUAGAAGGAUUAAAUCCUCUUCAUGUAAAACAACAUGGUUUGUACCUAUUGGGAUAAGUUGUCAUGCUAUGAUGUAGGCAACAAGGCAUGGAGUGAGGUUCAAAUGCCCUGCAUGGAACCUGCUUAUACUCUCUGUAGGAUUCCUCAUACAACUUUUAUAAUAUUGUAGCUUGUUGAAUUCUUGAAUUCCACUGGUGUUUCCCUUUCCUACUUUUAGUCCAGCAUACUUUAUUCCAGCCAUAGAAUUCCACACCUCACUUGUGAUCUUCAUCUUGAUCCCUUUCACAUAAGAGAUGACAUUCUUUCCAUCCAAUGUGAGGUUAGUGUAAAACACCUUAACCAAGUUAGGAUAUACCUUACCCGUUAAUUCCAGCAGCUUUUUCAGUUUCUGGUGCUUCAACACAGCCCUUGUUUCUGCCAGUUUUUCAGAUUUCAACCAAUUGAAAUCCAGCACUUUGGGUAUGUUAAUCUGUUUUCUGCUUGUCUAGUGAAUGUAGGCAUUGAUGCCUUCUUCAUUUCCAGCGAACCAACCUUCUAGCACGCCUUGAAAGGCGGUUUGCUUGCCCUUAUUUUUCUGUUUUUGUCUUGAAGAAGAAGCCAUGGUUGAACCAUAAUUUUUCUCUUAUUUCAAAUGGUGAGAUCAGAGAAUAGGUAGCCAAUGUGGGUAGUAGAUAUUCACACAGAUUUAUAGUAAAAUGAAUGGGUUGAUACGGAAGUUAUGAGUGGAUAUGCAUGAAGAUUUUAUGCUCUGAAUUUAUGCAGAGAAUCUUUGAAAAUAUGCAGCAAAUAUUUAAGGUCACAAUGCACACACUCAUACCUUUAUUGAGCACCCAAACCAUCAAAUCGGUUACAUAACCAUGACCAAAACCGUCAAAGGUACAGAGGUUAAUGCCCACUAAGUCAGUCAAGCAGUCAAAGAUCAAAAUUUCUCUUUCCUAGUCAUCAAUGCAUAUCAGUGCAGAAAAUAAACACAUUCAAUUGCGAAUAAACAGAUUUAAUUUUUCACUGCUAGGUACAAUUGACAUUUGUAAUACCCAAUUCAUUAAGCAGAAAAUUAAACCUAUCUUUAGCCGAUGGUUUUGUGAACAGAUCAGCAAGUUGUAAAUCAAUACCAAUGAACUUAAUCUCACAUGUUCCAUUAGAUAUGUGUUCCCUUAGAAAAUGAUGCCUAAUUUCAAUGUGUUUGGUUCUUGAAUGCAUGACAGAAUUUUUGGUUAAGUUGAUUGCACUUGUAUUAUCACACAGCAGAGGUAUAUGGUUAAGUACGAUACCAAAAUCAUUCAAUUGUUGUUUAGCCAUAUGGUUUGAGCACAUCAACUCCCUGUUGCAAUGUAUUCUGCUUCAGCAGUGGAUAGAGCUACAUAAGCCUGCUUUUUUCAUUGCCAUGAGAUCAAGCUUGAUCCAAGCAAAUGACAGGUUCCACUUGUGCUCUUCCUAUCAAUUUUGCAACCUGCAAAAUCUGAAUCAGAAUAUCCAGUUAAGCUUAAUGAAAUGUUACUUGGAUACCACAAGCCAACUUCUUUAGAUUCUUGUAAAUACUUCAAAAUUCUUUUGGUAGCAUUGUAGUGUGAUUCUUUAGGAGCAGAUUGAAAUCUUGCACACAUGCACACUGCAAACAUUAUGUCUGGCCUGCUGGCAGUGAGAUACAGUAGUGAUCCUAUGAGUCCUCUGUAUUUGGUUUCAUCAACAGAAAUUCCAGCUUCAUCAUGAUCCAAAUGACAGCUUGUUGAGAAGGGUGUGCUGAUUGGUUUACACUUGUCCAUUUCAAAUUUCUUCAGCAGAUCCUUACAAUACUUAGCUUGACUUAAGAAAAUGCCAUUCUUGAGUUGUUUGACCUGCAAGCCUAGAAAAUAGUUCAACUCACCCAUCAUUGACAUUUCAAAUUCACUCUUCAUGACUUUCACGAAAGCUUCACACAAUUCUCCAUUGUUUGAUCCAAAAAUGAUGUCAUCCACAUAUACGUGUACUAGGAUUGUGUCAUCUCCUUUCUUCUUAAUGAACAAGGUCUUAUCUGAUGUGCCUCUGUCAUAGCCUUGAGAGAUGAGAAAAUCACUUAGCUUCUCAUACCAUUGCCUAGGAGCUUGCUUGAGUCCAUAAAGAGCCUUUUUGAGUUUGAACACGUAUUUUGGAUGCUGAUGGUCUUCAAAACCUGGUGGUUGUGAAACAAAUACCUCUUCAUUUAUAUAACCAUUCAAGAAGGCACUCUUCACAUCCAUUUGAAAUAGCUUAAACCCUUUGAUGCAAGAGAAGGCAAGCAGCAAUCUAACAGCUUCUAACUGAGCCACUGGUGCAUAGGUCUCGUCAUAGUCUAUCCCUUCUUCUUGAUUGUACCCUUUAGCUACUAGCCUAGCCUUAUUUCUGGUAAUCACCCCGUGCUCAUCCAUUUUGUUUCUGAAUACCCAUUUUGUCCCAAUUAUAUUCAUCUCAGGUAUUCUAGGAACAAGAGUCCAUACCUCAUUAAGAGCAAAUUGAUUCAGUUCCUCUUGCAUGGCUAAAAUCCAGUUGUUGUCCUUGAGAGCUUCAUUCAGAUUCUUUGGUUCAACUUGAGAUACAAAGGUCAUUGCUUCACAGAAAUUGUUCAAAGAUUUUCUAGUUGACACUCCUUUCUCAAUGUUCCCAAUGACAUUAUCANNNNNNNNNNNNNNNNNNNNNNNNNNNNNNNNNNNNNNNNNNNNNNNNNNNNNNNNNNNNNNNNNNNNNNNNNNNNNNNNNNNNNNNNNNNNNNNNNNNNNNNNNNNNNNNNNNNNNNNNNNNNNNNNNNNNNNNNNNNNNNNNNNNNNNNNNNNNNNNNNNNNNNNNNNNNNNNNNNNNNNNNNNNNNNNNNNNNNNNNNNNNNNNNNNNNNNNNNNNNNNNNNNNNNNNNNNNNNNNNNNNNNNNNNNNNNNNNNNNNNNNNNNNNNNNNNNNNNNNNNNNNNNNNNNNNNNNNNNNNNNNNNNNNNNNNNNNNNNNNNNNNNNNNNNNNNNNNNNNNNNNNNNNNNNNNNNNNNNNNNNNNNNNNNNNNNNNNNNNNNNNNNNNNNNNNNNNNNNNNNNNNNNNNNNNNNNNNNNNNNNNNNNNNNNNNNNNNNNNNNNNNNNNNNNNNNNNNNNNNNNNNNNNNNNNNNNNNNNNNNNNNNNNNNNNNNNNNNNNNNNNNNNNNNNNNNNNNNNNNNNNNNNNNNNNNNNNNNNNNNNNNNNNNNNNNNNNNNNNNNNNNNNNNNNNNNNNNNNNNNNNNNNNNNNNNNNNNNNNNNNNNNNNNNNNNNNNNNNNNNNNNNNNNNNNNNNNNNNNNNNNNNNNNNNNNNNNNNNNNNNNNNNNNNNNNNNNNNNNNNNNNNNNNNNNNNNNNNNNNNNNNNNNNNNNNNNNNNNNNNNNNNNNNNNNNNNNNNNNNNNNNNNNNNNNNNNNNNNNNNNNNNNNNNNNNNNNNNNNNNNNNNNNNNNNNNNNNNNNNNNNNNNNNNNNNNNNNNNNNNNNNNNNNNNNNNNNNNNNNNNNNNNNNNNNNNNNNNNNNNNNNNNNNNNNNNNNNNNNNNNNNNNNNNNNNNNNNNNNNNNNNNNNNNNNNNNNNNNNNNNNNNNNNNNNNNNNNNNNNNNNNNNNNNNNNNNNNNNNNNNNNNNNNNNNNNNNNNNNNNNNNNNNNNNNNNNNNNNNNNNNNNNNNNNNNNNNNNNNNNNNNNNNNNNNNNNNNNNNNNNNNNNNNNNNNNNNNNNNNNNNNNNNNNNNNNNNNNNNNNNNNNNNNNNNNNNNNNNNNNNNNNNNNNNNNNNNNNNNNNNNNNNNNNNNNNNNNNNNNNNNNNNNNNNNNNNNNNNNNNNNNNNNNNNNNNNNNNNNNNNNNNNNNNNNNNNNNNNNNNNNNNNNNNNNNNNNNNNNNNNNNNNNNNNNNNNNNNNNNNNNNNNNNNNNNNNNNNNNNNNNNNNNNNNNNNNNNNNNNNNNNNNNNNNNNNNNNNNNNNNUUAUCACCAUAGGUUACAUGUCCUUCUGCUUUGAGCUUCAAGCUAGUAAAUUUUGUAAGAUCUCCAGUCAUAUGCCUGGAGCAACCACUAUCCAAGUACCAUUGAUUCUUCUUAUUGUUCAUCUGCAAAACAGAGUAAAAAUGAUACAAAUGGUACCCUUUUUAGUAUAGGGUACAACACAAAUUAAAACCUUCUCUUUGGUAGCCAUUUUGCUAAGUUCUUAGGAACAAGAUGCUUUCUAGCAAUGCAAGACCUAGAUGUAUGACCAGAUUUCAUGCAGUAAAAAUAGGUUACAUGAGAUGCCUUUUUGCCACUGUUAAAAGCUGAAAAACUUGAUUUUGCUGGAACAAAAAAACUUGAAAGCUUUUUGACAUUGGUUACAUUUCCAGGGGUAUAACCAAGACCAUUCUUAUUGAAAACAGUAUUCUGUGAGCCAAGGAGAGACUCAAGGUUUUCUCUUCCCUUGGUGAAAUAGGAAAGGGUUUUCAGCAAAUACUCCACUUGUUUUUCUAAUUUUUUGCAGUUUUCACAGGUUUUAAUAAAGGCAUGCAAGCAUGUUAGUUCAAGGUUUACCAAAUCUGUUUUGGCUUUAUGCAAUUCUUCCUUAAGUGUUUUUACUUUAGGUGCAAGCACAUUAUUUACCUUUUGCAGCUUAUUGCAUAUUACAGCUAGCCUAUUUGCUUCAUCAUGUGUUUCCUUGAAAGCAGCAAGCAAACGAUCAUAGUUAUCAGAAUCCACAGAAAAAUCACUUACUGAAUCAGAGAUUGACUCCUCAUCCUUCAUCAUCAAGCACAGAUUGUUUUCUUCAUUCUCAGUUGAAGAGCUGCUAGUUGAAGAUACUUCAUUUUCUUCCCAUGAGAUGUAAGCUCUUCUUCCCUUGUUCCUUUCAAUUCUCUUGCUGGCAUAUUUGUCCUUUGCUUGAUUAUCUGGACAAUCUGUUUUGAUGUGCCCUAUUUUGCCACAGCCAAAGCAAGUAUAUUUAGAGGAAUUUGAAUCAUUGGGUUUAGGAUACCUUCUUUUCUGCUGGUUCCUAUCUCUGCUUUUCUUCCUCAGGAAUUUGCUUAAUCUUUUUGUAAGAAGACUGAUUGUGUCAUCAUCUUCAACAUCUUCUUUUUCCUCCUUGAUCUCACUCUGUUCAGUUGCUUUCAGUGCAAGACCUUUGGGUUUUCUCUCUGUUGUUUCCUGCUCUUUGAGUCUCUUGAGCUCUAGCUCAUGCUCCAUUAGCUUUCCAAAUAGUGCAGCAUUUCCCAGCUUUGACAGAUCACGGCUUUCAGAUAUGGCAGUCACCUUUGGUUGCCAGCUUCUGUCGAGGCACUUCAAUAUCUUUAUGUUGAGUUCCUCUCUGUCAAAUUCUUUUCCCAAACCAGUGAGGUGAUUCACAAUAUGAGUGAACCUUUUCUGUACAUCAGCAAUGCUCUCCUCGGGUUGCAUUCUAAACAGUUCAUAUUCUUGGAUGAGAGAAUGUUUUCAUGACCUCUUCACAUCUUCAGUACCCUCAUGAGUGACUUCUAAGACUUCCCACAUCUCCUUAGCUGACUUACAUUGGGAUAUCCUGAAGAACUCAUCCAUUGUUAAUGCAGAGGUUAUGAUGUUCUUGGCCACAAGAUCNNNNNNNNNNNNNNNNNNNNNNNNNNNNNNNNNNNNNNNNNNNNNNNNNNNNNNNNNNNNNNNNNNNNNNNNNNNNNNNNNNNNNNNNNNNNNNNNNNNNUUUCAUUUUAUAGAAAACAAACUUAUAACAGAAUUUGAAAAACAGUAAAAGCUGUUAUAAAAUGAACAGAUUGAAAAUACAAUGAACAGAUUUAUUUUCAAAAAGCAGUUAGAGAAUCUGUUAAGAGAGGAGACUUAGUCAACCAUUCUGGUGCUGAGAUAAAACUGAAAACGUUUAAGCUAGACAUGGCACCAGAGACAAAAGGAAUCAAUUCAUUUACAGAUGAAUAGAUUUAUUUUUUCAAAACGAAAAGAGAAACAGUUUAACUAUUUAAAACUCAGUCGUUUUGAAAGGUGGAAGACUUAGUCAAAAUACAUGAUGCACAAAAUCUAAUUUUCACAAGACUUAGCCAAGGCAUCAGAUUAAAAAAGAAUCUGUUUAUUUAGAAAAGAACAGAUUUAUUUUUAUGCAGUAAACGUGUUUUUUGUAAAACAUGUGAAAAACGGUUUAAGAAACCUUAUGCUUGUUCUUAUCACAUGGCCAGUGGUUAUGAGGUGAGUUACUCAGCAAAAAGUCCACUCUUAAACAACCUCUAAGCACUACCUAAGACACACUUAAAGCAAAGUAAAAUGCACAUGAAAAGCACAUAUAAGUCUUCAUCAAACACGUGUCUUGAAGGGGCAGCAACCAUCUUCAACAACAGGUACUCCAAUCACUAUUACAAAAGGCUUUUAAAUGAGCAGAAAUGUUGGAAGAGAAAAAUAAACAAGACCCGGAGCUCCUUUAAUAUAUUUGAGAAUUCUAAUUGUUGCAUUAUAGUGAGCAAUUGCAGGUUUAGCAAGAAAUUGAGAAAUUUGUUGCACAUAAAAGGUUAUGUCAGGUCGAGUAUAAGUGAGAUACAUAAGUAUUCUAAUCAAUCUUUUAUAGGCUUGAACAUUUGCAUGAUUAUCAAUUGGAGUAAGUGCAAGUUUGCAAGCUAAAGGACCUACAUUUGUUAACAAUUUCAAUGCAUAUUUCAUUGGAUUCAUCACUAUCCCUUUCUUACUUCUUACUAUUUCAAGACCAAGAAAAUAUCUUAAAUCCCCAAGAUCCUUAAUCUUAAAUGUCUGAUUUAAGGCUUGUUUGAUUUGCUCAAUCUCCUUUUUAUCAUUUCCUACCAAUAUUAUAUCAUUCACAUACAUCAACAAUGUUGUAAAAGAUCCUUCAGAAGAAUUAAUUAACAAGGAAUUAUCAUUCAUAGAUUAAAUAUAUCCCACAAAAAGCGAAAAGGAUGACAGUUUGGCAAACCACUCCUUGUUGGCUUGCGUAAUUCCAUAUAAAGCCUUUUUUAAUUAACAAACUUGUCCUGAUUGAAUAGAAGUCAAUCCAAGAGGAGGAAUUAUGUAUACAUUCUUUCAACUCUCCGUGUAAAAAGGCAUUUCUUAUGCCUAAUUUUUUCAAUUUCCAAUUAUAGAUAAAAGCUAGAGAAAGAAGCAACCUUAUAGUGGUCAUCUUUGCUACCGAAGAGAAAGUAUCAAAGUAGUCAAUGUCUUCUGUUUGUGUGUAUCCCUUUGCUACUAGCCUUUCUUUAUACCUUUUAACUAUAUUAGCCAUAUAUUUUAUUUUGAAUAUUCAUUUUCAACCUAUGGUUGUUUUGUCCUUAGGCAUAAGAGCAAUUUCCCAUGUUUGAUUUGACUCCAAAGCGUAUAUCUCACUUUGUAUAGUUUUUCUCCAAUAGUCAUGUUUCACAACUUCAUAGUAAGUGUUUGGCUCAUCAUGUGAAGAAAGAGACAUAACAAAAGAUGUGAUAAUAUUUUAUAAGACAAAACAAAAUUCAAAGGAUAUUUAACUCUUGAAGAUCUAUUGGAAACAUUAAGAUUACAAUAUAAUCUUUUAGAUGCUCAAAUGGUCUUUUUAUUUUGGUACUCAUUUGGAUAGGUUGAUCUGAUUCAGAAUUUUAUUUUGUGUCACAAUUUUUGUUGAAGUUUUGGUCUAUAUGGGAAAAAACUUCUUCUAGAACCUUAAUGUCUGAUUCACAAUUAUUAUUAUUGUUAUUUUAAGCAUUACCACAAGGUGCAAGAAUAGCUUGAUCAUGAAUGUUAGGACUGUUAGUUUCAUUGCUAGUAUCUUGAACCUUUUGAUAUGGAAAGACAUAUUCAUAGAAGACAAAAAUGAGUUUGAAAGUGAGAUAUAAAUGAGAAAUUGAAAGUGUGAGAAAAUGAAAAUGUGAAACAAAAAUGUUUUAAUGUUUUAUUUUUAAUUUUCUCAUUAAAUAACUUAGUGUGGGCUAAGGUGACAAUAAACGUUCACGUCACAUUAAUGCCACCUAGAUCUACGCUAAAUGUAAUAUAAAUAUUAACUUGCAUCUACUUUGUGUCAUCAUUCUCAUCGCAAUAUCAUUUUUGCAACUUAUUUUUUUAUUACAUCUACUUUGUGUCCCCAUUAUAGACACUAACUUAUUAUUAUUAUUUUAAUAAUUUUUAACUCGCAUUCACUUUGUGUCUCAUUCUAAACUCAAUAUUAUUUUGUCACUUAAUUUUUUUCAUUAUUGCAUCUACUAUGUGUCCUCAUUCUAAAUGUUAACUUAUUAUUAUUAUUUUAAUAAUUUUUAGUGUGAGUUAAAGAUCUCCAUUGUGGAUUCAAAAUUUGACAUUUAUUUCUGUAUCCAACUUUAGUAUACUUCACUCAUGCUAGUGGCUUUUUUUUUUAUAGCCUCCACUCUUGUUGACAACUAAAAUGGAUUUUUCUUGUAGUGAAUAACAAAUAUUCAAUAACCAUUCAUGUAUCUCAUUUAAUUUUCUGAAUACCUCAGCUCAAGCCCAAAAAAUAUUUAAGAAUACACAUUAAUUUCACAUCACUCAAUUCUUAUACUCACUUAUAUUCUUAUAAUUCUCUAUACUAUUAAUGACUUGAACGUUGAGAAAUAUUUUACAUCUAUAUCUCCAUUUACCAUCUUUGACAAACUUGACGAUAAUAUUUCAAAGUCAUAACUCAAUAUACAAGACAAACCACGUUCUUUCACUUUAGAAGACCAACACUUUUUUUUAAUAAGAAUAAUAUAUAAUAAAAAAAAUAUUACAUAAAUUAAUACAUGAGUAUAUUAUAUUAUAUAUAUUAUGCUAUAUUACUAUUAUUAUAGUUAAUAUUUAUUGUAUAUUAUAUUUAAAUCUUAUAGAUUUGUACAUAAACAUGUUAUGCAAUAUUUGAAUAUCAUAAUAAAUAUUUCUUAUAAUUAUAUGUAAUUUAAUAUAUUAUAUGAUAAGUGUGCAUGAUAAGGUACGGUAACAUAAUAAGGAUUAUGAAAUUUUUUGUCAAUGAACUUAGAUAUUCUCCUAUUGAGAUACUCAUAGUUAGAGGGCUGAUUUUUUUAGUCUACAUAUUUCGGGAUUUUAUUAAUAUUCAUAUUUUAAUUUUUAAAAUAAAUAGUUAAAGUAUAAUAAAUUAGUAAAUAACAAAUUCUUAAUAAUAAUAAUGUUACUUUUUUUCAUAUAACUUUAUUUUCUAUUUUUUAUUUACUUUUUUAGUUUCUAUCCUUAAUCUAAAAAAUAUAUACAUCACAAUACUUAUAACUCCACUUGUUCCUACUUAUUUUAUCUUGUCCAUAAAGAAUGUAGAUUAGGUUACUAUUGUUGUAACUCAUAACCCAAAUGUUGAAACAUGCAAUAGUCAAAAUAUAUGGAAAUUGAAAUUGAUGACAUAGAGAAAUGGUUUUACCUAACAUUUGUUGGGUUUGCAUUUAUUGGUGUUAGUGUCACAAAUGCAUUUAUUAGUUAUAUCUCCAACUUACUUUUAUAACAUUCAUUGUUCUAGAAAUGCACUAGGCACAUUGAGGAGCUAUAAGUGAAACAAGGCAAAUACAUUAUCUGAGUAUGAACAAUCUUAAUUAGGUAGGAACAAGUGGAAGCUCAAAAUAAAACCUAAUUUUUAUGUUUCCUUGUCGGUUUAGGUUCAAUAAUUGUGGCUAUGAAUGUGACCACAUUGAUAAUGGCUGACUCCUAUCAUCAAUAUUUUCAUGGAAGGAGGAGUGUCCACUAUCAUUGCCAUGCUAUCAUAAUUCAAUCAUGUUUCUCCACUUUCUUUUUAAUCAACUAGUUGAAAUACUUAUUUCUUGGGUGAACAAGUUAAUUUGUUGGUUUUUAAACUAAAAGUGAAAUAUAUUUAGGUAUUUUUUUAAUUUUAUAUUUUGGUAAAUAAUGAUAUAAUGAAUAAACUUGAAUAAGUUGAACCCUUGAUCUAGAAAUGACCUAUGUGUUUAUAUAGAAUUAUCAUAUUUAAUUGGGUGGGACUUUUGGUCCAAUCCCUUCACUUAGCAAGCUUAGUUUACACAUACUUUGUCUCUUAAGGUUUAAGUAAGUAUUUGGAAUUUAUUUGUUAAAAUAUGAUAAGUCAUUCAUAUUUGUUAAAAUAUGAUAAGUAGUUAUUAUUUUUUGAUUUGUUGAUCCAACGAAAGAAAAAUUUAGACCAUUGGAUUUAGGGUAUCACUUUUGCCCUAAUAAUCUCUACACUCCUCAUUUCCUCUCUCUAAUUUUAUUGUGUGUCUCGCGAACACUUUAUCAUUUACUUACGAGACUACUUUAUAGCCAUUGGAUGAAGAAUGUGCGAUCAAGUGAUUGUGAUUUGGUAGUCCUCGAUUCUCACUCCAUCAAUUUUAAUCUGGGUCGUUCAAAAGGCAUAUUCCAUUGAAUUGUUGUGAUCAUUCUUACCGUGUGGUCCCACCUCCACCACACUUGCCCUUUUCUAAUUUUUACGUAGUCAAACUUGAGAAUUUAUUUGAGUGAUAUUUAAAAAAAAAAAAUAUUUGCUUACAAACUAAUUUAAUGUAAACAUGUACUGAGUUCUUAAGUUUACCUGUUUGAAGAGUUAUUUACACUUUUAAGUUUGUUCUUAUGUUAUUGGACCGAAAACACAAUUAUUUUACUCUUUAUAUAGUAUAACAUGUCACUUACGUAAAAAUUAUGUAUAACAAGUUAUCUUAUAUCAAAAUAUGUUAAUAUGAGUGAAUAUAUUAUAAUUCUUUUUAUUAACUUUUAAUAUAAUAAUAUAGAAUUUAAUUGCAUUAUUAAGUUCAUGAAAUUUAAAAUUUAAGGUUAUGAUGGUUGGAUAUUUUUUCAUAAUUCACGUUGACACACCGACAUAUAUUGUUUUGUCAUAGGUGUUGUUAUUUAUACCAACUUAACCUUUACAAUCAUUGUUGUUAAUACAAUAAUGAUGAUCAUAUAGAAGACUUAACCUUUUGAAAUUAAUAACUUUUCUGGAUGUAAUAAUUUAUUGUGUGAUAGGUUCACUAUAACUUCAGUUAUUGCGGAAAGUAUAUCUUUGUUAAUUUUCCCAAUAACUUAUUGGCUUGAAACAAAAUUAACUAAGAAAUUAGUUUUGAUAUUGAGGUUUAGACUCUUUUACUAAAUAAUUAGCAUUUGAGUAAACUAUGAACUUGUUGAAAGAAAGAGUUUUGAAUACUAUUGAAUUGGUUUAUAAAAUUUAAUUUUGAAUAUUUUAAUAUUUUAUCAUCAAUUGUUUUGUAUAUUAGAGUAAGUUUUCUUUUUGAAAAAUUAUAAUUUUUUUGUUUAUUUUGUCUAGGUAAAUAUUAGAAUUGUAGUUAAUUUAUUUAUAUCCGUAUAACUCAAAAAUAUUUUAAGUCUUCAUUAUUAAAUAUUUAAAUUGUCUACGUAAAUUUAUAAAUGCAAAUUUACGUGAGAUAUUCACAAUAUUUAUUUAUACAAAUCAUUCCAACAUGUUUAAGCUCUUCUUCCUUUUUCAUUUAAAAAAAAAAGAAUAAUUUUUCUUUAUCUCCUUAUGUUCUCUUUUUCUUUUUCUUUUUUUCUCUAAUUUCUCACGAUUUUCUCAUCCUUUAUUUGAACAUAUUCUAUCUAUUAGAAUGUGAGUAAUUAUAAUAAUUCCUGAAUGAUCAUAAUUUUUUUUUCAAAGUAAAUUCAGUUUUUAUUCUAAAGUUUUUCUGUCUUGUCUUUCUAUAGUUAUAUUAUUUGAAUGUUUUAAAGUUUACAUGUUCCAUAAACAAGAUGAGAAAGUUACUAUUUCAACUUAUUCAACUUCUGAUAAGUGUUUUUGUUGAUUAGGUGAUAUCUUCUUAUAUUUAUGGAGUUUCUUUUAUGUACUUUUAACUUUAAUUUUAUUUAUUAUUGCUUGAUGGACAAACAAUCUUUAGAUGAGGGCAAUUAAUCCAAAAUUACUUGUUUAUUUAAAAUUGAGUUGUUGUGAUUUAGGUUGUAUGAAGAUGGUUGUGUAUUAUUUCUUGAGUAUGAUUUUAGAUUUGUUAAACUAAGAAGUAUUAGAUAAUUAUAUAUAUAUAUAUAUAUAUAUAUCGAGUCAUAUUAAUAAAUGUUAUCGUGAUAAGAAUCUAUCAAAUUUUUUUGACAUAAACAAGUUAAAUGUAAAAUGUAAUCUAGUAUAAAAAAGAUGUGGGGAAGAAAGUGAUUAGCAACAGUGAAAAAAACUAGUAAUUAACAUUAAAAUAUAUUUUAUUAAAUAAAAUAAAUUUUAAUGAAGCAUGAUGAAAUUAUAUUAAUAAAAUAAUACAUAAUAUUAUUAAAUAUUUUUUUGAUGUAAAGAUAAACAUAUGAUUAAUAUGUUAAAAAUAAGACAAUAUAUUAUUUUGCCAAAAUAGAUUUAUAAUAUUAUUAUACCAGUAAUUUAAAUGUAAUAAAAAUAUUAUAAUACCAAAAACAUGCUAAUCAACAUUUAAUAUUUGUUUAUAAAUGAAUGGCAUUUUUUAAAGUGCAAUGGAUAAUAAUCCUAAGUAAAAUAAUGUUUAAAAGCAUUGAACAUGGUCAACAAGAUUGUGAUCUUCAAUUGGCUAACUGGCCUUAAUCGGGUUUUUCUCUGUCUUUGUGCCACACAUCAAGCACUUCAGACAAAAAAAUAGAUUAAUAUUUUAAAAAUUCUGAAUAUAUAGAUAACAAAAAACCAAAAAGUGAAAUAAUUAAUAUUUAAUGGAGGUGAAUCUGAUUACCCCAUUGUAAUGACACAAUUAUCGUAAUUUAUUGUAAGAAAAUAAUUUAAUUUUGUUAAGUUAUGGGAAAAAUGCUUAAAAAUAAACACUUAUUUCACUCAAAAUAAUACCAACCAAUAUAUAGGAAUUAAAUUUAGCAAAUUACAUUGAUAAAAAAUAAUAGCAAAUUGCAAUUUAAUUAGAUGCCAAAAUCCGACACCAGUACAGCUAUUAUACAAAAAUAAGUGUGGAAAAUCAAGAUAUAUUAUUAUUUAUAUUAAAGAUUCAAUAAUGACAAAAUAAACUCACGAGUCACGAAUUUUGGAAAUUAUUUAAUAAUAAUAAUUAUAUGUUUGAAUUAUUUUACUUUGUUUUAUGCAGACAUACUGUUACUUCGAUAGUCUAAAUUAGAAAUGUGAUUACCAAUGCCAUUCAUUUUUUAACGCUAUUGAUUAUUAUGUGAAUUUGUUUUUUUUAUUUUUAUCAUUUAUAUAUAUAAUUAUGUUUAAUAUUAAAAAUUAAAUAAAAGGUGUUAAUUAAAUUAAAAUAACGUUUGUGUAUUUAUAUUUUAUUAUUAUUUAUAUAAUUAUAUUUAAUAUUAAAAAUUAAAUAAAAAAUAUUAAUUAAAUUAAAUAAUAAGAUAAAAAAUUUAAUUUUUAAGAGAGAUGUGAUAUGAAAAAAAAAAAAAUGUUUUCAAGUUGUAAGAACUGUUUCACGUCUAAUAAAUAGUCUUAAUAAACGGUGUUGUUGUUUCACUUUUGACAACAAACUACUUUACAAUUAAAAUUUAAAACAGUAUAUUUGUUUUUUCUAAAAACAGUUUUAAUUAAUUAUAAGAAUAUUUAGUUAUUUAGUAAAUAUUUAACAAAUAAAAAAUGACUGAAAUAUUUAAAAAAAUUCUACAUCUCUCUUUCAAUUCAAAACUAUUCUUCCACAUAUAUUAAAUAUUAAAAAAAAAAUAGAAAAUGACACAAUGUUAUGAUAAUGAAAUAAAAUCAUCAAAUAUUAAUAUAAGAAUAAAAUAAAAUAAAAAAAUUAUUAAAGAAAAAAAUUCCCUUUAUAUAUAAAUAUAAAUUAUAAAAAAUAUUAAUGUUUAUUUUGGAUGGACUUUUUUAAGGAUUUUUAAGAAAAGAAUUUGAUUUUUUUCCAUAAAUUAAAAUUAGUUUAUAUAAAACUAAUUGGUUUAUAUAAUUUUAUAAAAAUUUAAAUUUAAAUUUAUAAUAAAUUAAUUUUAGCUUCUUAAUUAUUUUUCUCUCUCUUUGGGACUUUCUAUAAAUAAAAUAAUAAUCCAAAUAUAUUUAUAACUAGAAAUGUUUCUCUAUGUGACAAAUUCUCCUAUUUUUUAGAGUAGAAAGAUGGAUUCUCACUUCUAUAUAGCUUUAUUAUAUAAUAUUUUAUUCUGAUUUAAAAAUAUAGAUUGAUUUAAUUUCAUAUAAAAUAAACUUACUUAAAAUAAUGAGAAAAUAAAUUAAAUAUAUAAAUAUAUUUCAAUUAACAGUAAUGUGCGUAUAGCACGUGAGAAAAAUAAAAUAAAAUAUAUUUAAAAUAUAUUAGUAAUAUUGAUUUUAUAUCUUUAUUAAAUAUAUAUAAAAAAUAAUACAUCACCAGCUUAAUUGUAAGAAAAUAAAAAAAGUAACUUUUUAUUAAAAUAAAAUAAUUUAAAAAAUGUAUUAUACUACCUCAUAGUUAUAAACUAAUACAUUUCAAUAUCUAGUCAUUCAAUAUUUUUUAAUUGAUAAGAGUGUUGUUAUAUUUACAAAUCUACAAGAGAUUACGAUAUAUAUAAAUAAAUUUAAAAAUAUGCAUAUAAUAAUAAGUAUUAUUAUAUUGCCAUAUGAAUAAAAUAAACGGUUGUGAUGUGACCGUGUACUACGUUACUGUCGUGCGACAUUCCCUUUCAUAUUUAAUCGCAAAAUUUAUUUUUGAGUUGUUUAUGUUAUUUUUUGUGAGCCAUUUGUUAUACAUUUAUUUUCUAUUUGUUUUUACAAUUUUUUGUUAUACAAAUUGUGAGCUUUUUCUUUACCAAAAUGUUUUGAGAAAAAUAAAUUAUUCACAACCAAGUCAUAUUUUCAAUGUAAAAUUUAAAUAAAAUCUAAAUUUUUAUUCUCAGAAUCUAGUUAAGGACGUGCAAUGGAGAUGCCAAAACAUGAUGUCAUCAUUACAGUGGCUGACGCAAGAUGAAAAAUACCACGCGCAACAACUCUCAUACUAUUUUCAUAAUAAAUAAACGUAAAUUUUAACAAAAUUUUAUUAUUAAAUUAAUUUUAACCACGUCUUGAUGAAAAAUUAAGUUAUACUUUUGCAGUAGAAAAUAAUUUCGUAUUUUCCAAUCGAUUUGUUUGAAACCAUAAUUAUGUGAUAAUCUAAGUUUAUUUGCUUUUGCUGUCAUGAUAAUCUCUGAGUGAUGGUCUUAAUUGAUUUAAUAAUUUAAAAUCGGUCGUAAUGAAAACAAGGUGCUUCAGUUAUGGUUCAUGAUGAAGUUAACACAGUACAAAUCCAAACAGAAACGAAGACAUGCUAAAACCAAAAGCUGCGGCAGAGUGAGCUCAGAAGCAGAGAACAUUACCUGAAGAAGAUGAUCACGACAUUGACAAUUAAAUACUAUAAUACUAUUUGCAUGCGUGUCGUGCCCUUCAAUGCCUGCAAUAAAUACAACCCAUUAACAAAGUUGUUCUUCACUUUUUUUCUCCCAUGUAACUUGAUUCUCUUCCCACCCUCCAAGUUUAUCAAAUUUCAAAGUCAUAACUUCCUCUAACUCUCACUCUUGUCUCUUCACAAAACGGCCAAGCAACAACGUCUUGCACUCACACGCAUGCAUGUGGAAAAAGGACAUAAGAAAGAAACUGUGAUACAUGAAGUGCUUCAAGAGUGCAAGUUUGAUUUGCUUGUCUUAGAAAGCCAACCCCAUUUAAGUUUUCUCUCUCUCUUUUUAACUAUAUCCUAAAGCCAGAUUUAGUAUUUGCUUCAAGACAAAUUUUUUAAGAAAGCCUGUGUCUUUAAAUAUAUAAGAAGUGAAAACAAAGAGGGUAUCUUUCCCUUGUUGUUUUGUUGGUUCUUUUCCCAAAAGGCAAUGAGAGCGACACGUGUUCUGUUUGUUUUUCUUUGGUUCUUCUGCGUUUAUUCCCCUGCUGCGUUUUGCGCAAAUGUCACGUAUGACCAUAGAGCAUUGGUCAUUGACGGCAAGCGCCGAGUGUUGGUCUCUGGUUCUAUUCAUUAUCCUCGUAGCACUCCAGAGGUUCUGCUCAUUACCCUCUUUAUGUGUCUGUUCAAUGUUACACGUUCGCCUUUUUUUGCAUGUGUCCUUGAAGUCUGGACUUAAAAGGGAUGAUUUUUGCUGUUGCAGAUGUGGCCAGACCUCAUUCAGAAAGCCAAAGAUGGAGGACUUGAUGUGAUUGAGACUUAUGUUUUCUGGAACUUACACGAACCAGUUCGAGGCCAGGUUCUGUUCUGUUAAUGUUACUAUUACCAUUUUUGUGUUGUUUCAGUCCUUCACUGUGUCUUGCAUUCUAUUGAGUUUGUGGAUGUGUUUUCUUAUUUUUCAAGCUAGUAAAAAGUGUAUAGAGGGUCCAAAUCAAAACCAAAAGUAAAAUUCUGCAGCUUAGGAAAAUAAAUUAUCAUUGUUUGAAAAUAUUUUUUUACUGUUCAUAAAAGCUUGAAUUUGGGUGGAGAAUUCUUCAGUGUCAAUUAAAAACAACUUAUAAAGUUGGGGUCUUGUGAUCUACUCAAUGAUGGAUUGUAUACUUUGGCUUGGCAGUAUAAUUUUGAAGGUAGGGCAGAUUUGGUUAAAUUUGUGAAGGCUGUAGCAGCAGCAGGUCUAUACGUGCAUCUCCGGAUUGGUCCAUACGCAUGUGCUGAAUGGAACUACGGGUAAAAUAUGAUCUUUAUAUGUUUCUUUUUACAAGGGCUUUCUUAUCUGAUCAUGACCAAACUUUUCUGAGCAGUGGUUUCCCUCUUUGGCUACAUUUUAUUCCGGGAGUUCAGUUCCGAACUGAUAACAAACCGUUCGAGGUAAUUAUUCCUUUUCUUUCUCCGUGUCUCAUCUUGCUGCAUCUGCUUCCUUCAAUCAUGAGAAAUUGAUUUGUGUUCAGGCCGAAAUGAAGCGGUUCACCGCUAAGAUUGUGGAUAUGAUGAAGCAAGAAAACCUCUAUGCAUCACAGGGAGGACCUAUUAUUUUGUCUCAGGUUUUUCUUAAACUUCAUUAAAUACAUGUCUAUUUUCUUUUAUAAGAAAUUGUGGCAUCCACUGGUGGAAGAGUAGUAUAGACAGAGAGUCUCGAAUUCUAAAUGGCCUACUGCAUAUUUUUUUAUAUGAAAAAGUUAUGUAAUACUAGUAUGUAUACUUUCUAAUGCCAGGUCGAAAAUGAGUAUGGAAACAUUGAUGCGGCCUAUGGUCCUGCUGCUAAAUCUUACAUCAAAUGGGCAGCAUCAAUGGCAACAUCUCUUGAUACAGGGGUUCCUUGGGUAAUGUGCCAACAGGCAGAUGCUCCUGACCCAAUUGUAAGUUUUCUCCUUUUAGCCAUCAACAUAAACUGUCAUGUAGUUCAUUUGCUACAUUGUCUAUUUCCCUGAUUCCUGAAUAGAGCAAUCUUACUAUGCUGCUGUCUACAAUUAUCCUACUUGAUUGUUUAUUUCAUAAUUUGUAAUCUUAACUACACUCAGAUUAACGCAUGCAAUGGAUUUUACUGCGAUCAAUUCAAUCCAAACUCUAACUCAAAACCAAAAAUUUGGACUGAGAACUGGACUGGAUGGUUAGUUCCUUUUCUAUAUAAAUCAUUUAGUUAUUUGAAUGUCAUACUCAAAAUAUGAUCUGAUUGUUUGUGUAUCACCUUUCUCAUUCAACUGCACUUUUCUUUUUGUUGUAACCUUUUGAAUUCUGUGAAACUGCAGGUUUCUUUCAUUUGGCGGUGCUGUGCCUUACAGACCAGUGGAAGAUAUUGCUUUUGCUGUGGCACGCUUUUACCAGCGAGGUGGAACUUUUCAGAAUUACUAUAUGGUAAUGCAACUUAAUAUUGUUUAAGGAUUUAAACUAUUCAAGAUAGGAAAAGAGCUGAUGCUACAACUUUUUCUGUUCCUUGCUGGGAAACAGUACCAUGGAGGGACUAAUUUUGGCCGAAGCUCUGGUGGACCUUUCAUUUCUACUAGUUAUGAUUAUGAUGCUCCAAUUGACGAGUAUGGUAUGGAGUCUUUCAACCUUUGUAUCUCAUAUUAAUUGUUGAUUCUGUAGAAUUAUAUAAACUGGUCAAGUUUGAUUCUAUAUGAAGUCAAGAAGAUACGCAAACAUUAUCACAGUGAAAAUAUAUGUUUUCUUUUUUAAACUGUCUGAAGUGCAUGAUGCAGGAAUUGUUAGGCAGCCUAAGUGGGGCCACCUUAAAGAUGUGCAUAAGGCCAUAAAGCUUUGUGAAGAAGCACUGAUAGCGACUGAUCCAACCAUUACAACUCCUGGACCAAAUAUAGAGGUGAUAAGCGGGCAGGAUCUCUGGAUUAUCUUUUGGAACCUUAAAUGUUUCAUAUUUUCAAAUUUUAAUCUGAAAUAUCCCUUGAAAAGUGUGAAGAUCCAUGGAUCUUUGUCAUUUUGUCAUAGAUUUCUCUGAUUACUGUCGCCUUCCCAACUUUGUGAGUGGUACCUUCUAUUGAUUGCAGAAAAUUGUCUGCUAGUGCUAAUCUAUUAUUUUCUGGGUAUAGUUGUUUUAUAUGCUUUAUAAAGGUUUAGUCUCUUUUCUGUAUAAUGUAUGCUGUUUUGUGAACCAUCCCAUGAGCUUAAAUGCUGGAGAAAGGAACAUAAAUGGUUGGUGCCUUAGCGGCAACAAACUAAGAGUUAAAUCUAAUUAUCCCAAAGGCUUAAGCUGUUGAGUGAGAUGAGAUGUGAUGAAUUGUUUAGUUACCUCCUUUAACAUUUACUUUUCAAAUCCAGGCUGCAGUUUACAAGACAGGAUCUGCAUGUGCAGCCUUCCUUGCCAACAUUGCCACAUCUGAUGCAACAGUGACCUUUAAUGGAAAUUCAUAUCACUUGCCUGCAUGGUCUGUGAGCAUCUUACCAGACUGCAAGAAUGUAGUGCUUAAUACUGCAAAGGUUUGCCUCAUCAACUUUCCAAUAAAAAUAGAUGGUUAAAUUGAAUCAACUUACUUUCAAUAUGCUGUGCUUAAUCUAUCUACACUUUAGAUAUUUUCUAGUUCAAGAAAUAGUAUAACCUACAGUUAUAUUCCGGUAUGGCAGAUUAAUUCUGCAUCUAUGAUUUCAAGCUUCAGAACUGAGUCCUUAAAAGAAGAGGUUGGUUCUGGCUCAGGAUGGAAUUGGAUUAGUGAACCCGUCGGUAUUUCGAAGGCAGAUUCAUUCUCAAAAUUUGGAUUACUGGAGCAAAUAAAUACAACUGCUGAUAAAAGUGAUUAUUUGUGGUACUCGUCAAGGUAUAUAGUGUGCCUUCAAGGUUGAGGAAUCAUUCUUCAGACUUGCCUUUCACUACCCCACGUAACACUUCAAUAUUUUUCUGCAGUAUUGAUCUUGAAGAUGAUGCUGAUUCUCAAACUGUCCUUCACAUUGAGUCCCUUGGUCAUGCCCUUCAUGCUUUCAUAAAUGGGAAGCUUGCAGGUAAAAUAAAAUUAAAAGCAACGACAUCUGAUGAUAAUGUUUGGUUUAGUGCCUCCAUGCCUUUUUUAAAUUACUUGGCUAUAUUUUAAGGCCUGACACUGGUGGGGAAACACUAUGCCACAGUCAGAAGAUAAAUAACAAAGGUAUACCGUGUCUCUAUCUUCCAACUAUGCUUGGCCACAGGCCACACAUGAUAGAUCCUUAGCCUGAUUAUCAAGAACACAAUAUUCUUGGCUGCAGAUCCAAAAGCUUUCAAGCUAGUUUGCAAUCUUAAAUAUUUAAACGUAUAAUAUAUAGAUCAUAUAACUAACAUCAAGCAAAAAUCUUAGUACUUACCAGUUUUAUCAGGAGCAAUGUAAAAUAUGUUACCAAAUCCUAGGUACAUUAAAUGCAUAAAAGAGGAAUUAUGAACAUAAUUUUAAUUUUGUGCAUCCUUGGCAACAAAAAUUUAGAGUAAUGAUGCAUAUACUUUUUACAUUCUAUCUCCAUUCGUAUCUCACACUUCUGUCUUUUUUAGUCCCAUGUCAUGUCUCUCUUCAAAUUGUAAACUUCAUUGUAUAAAUUGAUGUAUGAGUAACAUCAUCCCAAAAUUUAAUCCCUUUAAAGAUGUAGUGAAAUAAAAACAAGAUUAACAGAGUAAGAUCAGCUGUUUGUCCUUGUUUCUUCCUAAAAUGUUCAACCUUUUCUUUAUUUCUACGGAAUAUUCUGCGAUUUAUCCAAUAAUACUUAUCUGCGACAUUAUGUACAACUUUUUCAGGGAGUGGAACGGGAAACAGUAACAAAGCUAAGGUCGAAGUAGACAUCCCCAUCAAACUAGUGGCUGGGAAGAACAUGAUUGAUCUCCUGAGUUUAACCGUGGGACUUCAGGUUUGUCUUUACUUCUUAUGUUGUAUAUAAGAAUGUAAGGCUGAGGCAAUUUUGGUUUAUAUAUGCAUUGGCUUUCCCUCCUAAUAUCCUUUCACUUUAUCAUCAAACCUGUUCUCUUACUACAUCAACUAAUGCAAACCUUACGUGCUUCAGAACUAUGGAGCUUUUUUUGACACAUGGGGUGCGGGGAUCACUGGUCCAGUGAUAUUGAAAGGUUUGAAGAAUGGAAGCACUGUUGAUCUCUCCUCCCAACAGUGGACAUAUCAGGUUAGUCUCAGCUUAACUAAAGCCAGUUAUUUUUUUCCCAUUUUGAGUAUUGUUUACUCAUUUAACUGGACAGAUACAACUGAACUAGUAAAUUGGAUUUCGGUUGUCCUCUUUUUAUUGAAGUCAUGCACAGACAGAAUACACCAUCUGUAUUUUUGUAAAUUCAGGUUGGCCUUAAAGGUGAAGAUUUAGGUCCAUCAAGUGGAAGCUCUGGACAGUGGAACUCUCAAUCUGAUUUACCUACAAAUCAACCCUUGACUUGGUACAAGGUAAUCUUUAUACGAAUAUAGCGUCCAUUGAAAUUUUCGAGUUUUUCUAAAUUAUUCUCAUUGUUAUAACUGCAUAAUAGAGUAUCGUUGAACCUAUUUGGUUUCCUUGGUUUAUGUACUGUCCAAAGCCAUGGUUAUUCAACCAUGUUUUUGCAUCUGAUAUCUUCACAAUCACACAUACUUUAAAGAAAACUAAGGGAAUGGUACUAUUAAGACAGAUGAUUUUACUGCUAACUAAUGGUAAUACAUGUUGUAUUAGACAAACUUUGUUGCUCCCUCGGGAAGUAACCCAGUUGCUAUUGACUUCACGGGGAUGGGAAAAGGUGAGGCUUGGGUGAAUGGACAGAGCAUUGGGCGAUACUGGCCUACAUAUGUCUCUCCAAAUGGCGGUUGUGCUGACUCCUGCAAUUAUAGAGGGGCCUAUAGUUCAUCCAAAUGUCUCAAGAACUGUGGGAAACCAUCACAGACAUUGUAAGUAGUUAAAUAUUUUGCAUUAGAGAAGUUGAAACUUGAAAUUAAUCCUGAAUUGUUUGAAGGAAGUGAAGGCAAUCCUGUUAGGUACUAAUUGAGUAACUAAUCAUGCAGAUACCACGUACCACGAUCAUGGUUACAACCAGAUAGCAAUACACUUGUAUUGUUUGAGGAAAGUGGAGGUGACCCUACGCAAAUCUCUUUUGCUACAAAACAGAUAGGAAGCGUGUGUUCACAUGUAUCUGAAUCUCACCCUCCACCUGUAGACUUGUGGAAUUCAGAUACAAAAGCAGGGCCUGUACUGUCACUGGAGUGUCCUUAUCCUAAUCAGGCGAUCUCUUCCAUUCAAUUUGCAAGUUUUGGAACGCCUUAUGGAACUUGUGGGAACUUCAAACAUGGACGGUGCAGAAGUAAUAAGGCUCUAUCCAUUGUUCAGAAGGUGUUGUCCCGAGUCCUCUUGAAAAGUUCAUAUAUGCCUUUUGUGUAGUCAAUUUUACUUUUUUUUCACUUGGAUUAUACUGACUCGUAUUAAUUAACAGGCCUGCAUUGGAUCAAACAGUUGUAGCGUUGGACUAUCACUUGAUACAUUUGGAGAUCCAUGUAAAGGAGUAGCAAAGAGUUUAGCAGUUGAAGCUUCUUGUGCAUAGAUAUUUCGCUUCAAACCUUCCCACUUCCUAGCUCAGACACAGCAGAAAAGCAUUCCGCACUCCAAGUGUCUUGUACUCUUUAUUGAAGAUGAUCUUGGAUAAGCCAAUGUGUAAAAUGCAAUUCUGGUAGUAAACCGGGAAAACAGUGUAUAUUUACUUAAUAUAGAAGGAAGGCCUUGCUCAUGCAUGAUGUGUGAUAGUGGUAUAUUUUACUUGAAACUUGAAAGGAAGGUUUCUAACAAGCCAUACAAGAAAUUGAUCUCUUGAUGAACAGUACGGCUAUUUUCUGAUAAGAUAAGUUAGAUUAAUAAAUCAUAUACGCAGUACAUAUAAUCACUGUUUCAUUACGAACAUGUUUGGCCUUUAUUUGUCAGUAAUUGGUUCGGGAAACUUUAUCAUGAAUAUUGAGGAUAUCAACACUCACCAUGUUCUUCGUUAGUAGUAAACCUCUGUAUCAAAACUAGAGCAUUACUAGACUCUGCCAAAACCCUUUUUUUCAAUUAGAAGAGGCAAGCUGGUGCAAAGGAGAGCCCGAAGGGGACCCAACUAGAUUUGCAUCCCCUACGAUACUCUGCAGGGACAGCAAGCCAAGAAAUAUCAUUAAACCAAAAUGAGUGACAACAAAAAGGCAAGGGGAGGAGAAACCAAACCCCAACACAAACAAAUAUCUACUCCUAUUAGUAGCUAUGAACUGAGGGAGAGAAUUCCACCAACAAAACCCAUUUACGGAGUGAACUGCACAAGUAUUACUCUGGUAUAUAUGACCGACAAGUUUCAUGCUCUUGGUUAUAUCAAUACACUUAACACCUACUUCUAAGUCUCCAGGGACCAAGUUUGAGUUCUUGAAAAAUGGUUCCAUCCUUUCUGCUUUGUUACAAUGGCUAUAAUAAAUUCAUUAAGCUUUGCAAAAAAGCAUGCAGAGACACCCAAGUUAAGCUAGAAGCCCCCAAGAUACUCGCCCUGUGAUUGCCACGGGAUGAACCAUUCGUCUUGCACUUAGUUUAACCAUGCAAAGGAGGGUUCCAAAAGACCGAUAAAGUACAAUUAGCCUUCCUUGGGAUGUCUCUGAUUUUUAAGUUGCUUCCCAAUUUAAAAGAAAGUUUUAAAGAUGAGUGUUCCCAAACUAAUUCGUCAUUAGUUAGUUGUAUGGGGAUGACCAUGUUUUUAACAUCAUGAAGGAUAAACGGGAACCAAUCUCUUAAAAAUUCCGACAGUUAAAAUCACCUAUGAAACUCCAAGGGCCAGCAUGAUUCUGUUGAAUGAAGAAGCUUUUGUUCUUCCCGGAAGUUGUUGGGGCUAGAAUCCUUGCCCCAUUGGGACAAACGAAGGAGACCUGGUUGGAGGUUCUGGGUUCCUUUGGCCAAGAUUAACCUUCCGUGAAGAUUGUUCUUGCAAUUGAGAAGCCCUUUUCUGUAUUCUUCUUUCGUGAUCUUUAUGGAGACACAAUUGCGUUUGAUGCAAGGCUUGAGUAACUGGCUUGAGGGGAAGUCCUAUGAAACAGAGAGAACCUGUGCGAAGGAUCGUUCUUGUUUGGGAGCGUGAGGGGCUGUUGCUUUUGGGGCCCAUGAACAUAUCGCAGAAGCGGGUUCCAUGAGAAUUGGUUAUGGAAAUUGUUUUGCCUGCUCAUGAUGAUGGAUAAACUACUCUUUCCUUCACCUAUCUUCACUGCAGAAAAAAGAUAGUGCUUGGUUAGAAUGGUUUCGGCAAAAGACACUACAGUUCACAAAAUCAAUUGAUAGCGAUUGGAGAUUGGUGUGGCCUUCAAUCAUAAAAACAACACUGCUCCAUGAUUUCAUCCAUUUAUCAUCAUUGAUGCAACAUCUCAAUAUCCUUACCAGCUAGCAACUGUGUGUAUGUUCAGAAAUCACAAUUUAAUGUUUUAAAACAAAGCCUUUCACCUAACUAUCAUUGUCUCACAUUCCCAGAUUUGCUCUAUAAAAUCCAUCUCUGCCAUAUCAUCAAUGCAUCAAGUGCUCGUUGCUAAUACAAAUCCUACAUUUGAUUUGUUUUCCAAAAGCACCUGAGCCUUCAUACAUCAGAACUAAAAUCACGAUGCAAAAGCAAUAUCUCUUUUCCUUCUCACUAGUACAGCUAGUUUCAUUUCUGUAUUUCACCACCACUUUAGCCCAAUUAUCACCAGCUACUUCUCCUCUAAAACCACCCCAACCUAUUCCUACACCACCAGCUGCAGCCCCUAAACCUUUGGUUCCCUCGUUGCCAGAGUCACCAAGUGAUGCCACUCCUGACACCGCAGCUGUUGACAUUGUUGGAAUCCUGAGGCAGGCCAAGUCAUUCAACAUCCUUAUCCGCCUCAUGAAGACCACCCAAUUGAUCAACCAACUCAAUGCACAGCUCCUCACUACUAAAUCAGGUGGCAUCACCAUUCUUGCACCUGAUGACAGUUCCUUCUCUGAACUCAAAGCAGGCUUCCUCAACUCUCUUUCUGAUGGCCAAAAGCUCGAGCUCUUACAGUUCCAUGUUCUUUCAGACUAUGUGUCGAGCUCCAACUUUGAUACUCUAACCAACCCUGUGAGAACACUUGCAGGAGCUAAACCUGGAAAGGUGGAACUGAAUGUGAUAAGUUACGGAGGGAGUGUGAACAUCUCAACAGGGGAGGUUAACACCACUAUCACAGGCAUUGUAUACACAGAUAAGCAUCUUGCUAUUUAUAAGGUAGGAAAGGUGCUUCUUCCUAUGGACUUCUUUGCAGUGGCCAAAGCACCUGCAAAAUCACCCUCUUUGGCACCAGAACCAUCUGCAAAGGCUCCUAAAGCGGAUAAAGAGAAUUCACUGUCCCCAGACUCCUCAGACUCAUCUCAGAUUAAUUCCACAAAGGAUAACUCUGGCACUGUGAAAAUCAAUGUGUACGGAAAGUGGCUGUCCCUUGUUCUUGGAGUAGUUCUCAUGACUGUUUUCUCAUCAUAAACCAAAAUAGAUUCUAAUCCAUUAUAUACCAUGCAGUUAAUAUUCAAGAGUGCUAUGAUUGCGUGAGAGGAGUGAGUAUUGAGUACUAUUGGUGGUGAAUUUAUCAGAGUGGAUUAGGGAUCUGAGAUUGUUAUAUCCCUCUGAUUUUAUUGAGAUAUGCUAUGCUUGUUUCAGUAUAUUAUUUAUGUAAACUUAACAAAGGUUGCUUCAAUAUUUUCUAUGUUUCUAAUGUCAAGAAAAAUAAAUCAUGACUACUGUCUCAAAUUCAAUAAUUAAAAUCUCUAAUUUGUUAGGUGUAUUUCAGGUCAUGCUUCAAUGUUUUUUGAGUUUUAACACUCACUAGUUAUAAACCUUUUGGGUCAUGAAAGGAGGCAGGAAAAAAGUAUUAGGCUAAUUUAAGCAAAAGAAUAGGUUGCAUUGCAAAACAAAAAGGUUUCACUUUGCAGAAAGACAUUACUUGUUUGUUUCCCUCGGGACAAACCUUAAAUAUAAACCCCAGUCAUUAGUUAGCCAUAUGCUUGAAGUAGCUUUUAAAGACAUGCUUUUAGCAAGCUAAUAAGCUUUUACACCAAAUUUUGAUUGGUUUUGUAAAGAGUUAAUAGCUCACGUGGUACUGAAUAUAAUUCUGCUGUCGAGAGUAUGAUAUUUUUAUGAAUAAGAAUAUGGUACACCAUUAGGAAGCUAAAGAACACAGUGUAGACUACCAUUAAAUCUAUUUUAGAGUUUUUGAUUAUUAGUUGGUAAGAAAGACCCUACAACUGUCAAUUAAAAUAAAAACUAACAUUUCAUCUUUAAAGUUUUUAACCAUUUAGGUUUUAAGGUAAUUUUGGACCUUCCUAAGCCAUCCUAACAGUAUAUAUGUUCCCUCUGUUAUCAAAAUUGAUUUUCCAGGCAGGAAAUCAUCAAAUAAUAAUAACCAUUGUAAAUGUUACAAACCAAUUAAAGGAGAAUAACUUUUCUACCUGUUGCAAAAGUAAAACAAAAUGACUUUGACCACACAUUUCUUAUUCUAGUAAGACUUCUUAGCAACUUGUUGUUCAUGUAGUUAUUAGUGAACAGGAUUUUGGAGGAUGUUGGUUUUGGGAUACAAAAGUUUGUAAUUCUUAGAUUUGGUUGGAGGUUCUUUUGUAAUAGUAUUAGAAUAUCCUUCAAGUGUUCCAUAUUAAUUUAUUUAUUAUUUGUGGAUAAAAAAACAUUUUUUAUUUUAAUGAGACUUCAAUCAGUUAUAGAUCUGCUAUAAAUAUCAGAGUAAGCAGAAUGGCCCAAAGAAAAAUGUUUAGGCCAAAUCAUUUCUAUUUGAUGUGAGUACUCGACCUGUAUAAUCACCUUGCACCUCUUAAGUAACAUUUGCAUAGAUACAUGCAUCCAACUAUUGUUUGAUAAUAACAUGCGAAUUGCUGUGUUAAAGCAAAACAGUUCCACACUUUCACAUCUAGAACAACCUAAAAGGUUUUCCUUAUCAACUUUAUUGUCCGUGUCUUAGUCUAACCUUAAAAGGUGAAGACAUAAGCCUAUAUAAUGUUAGGGGAUCCCUCCUUAAUUUUAUUGGGAGAUUAUGACCAAUGAAUAUUGGUAACACUAUUGUGGGGAGUUAAAUUAUUGAUACCCUCAAUUAAGUCAACUAAGGAGAGAAUUAUUGGAAAUCCCUCCUUAAUUUAAUGGGAGAUUAUGACCAAUUAAUAUUAGUAAUCAAUCCAUUGAAUAUAUUCAAUGAUAGUCAUUAAAAAGAUUUUUGGAAAUUGUAACUCUCUUAAAAAGUAAAGAGCAUUAAUUUUUUCACGAAGAAGUCUUUCUCUCAUUAUCUGUAAAAGGAAACUUCUAAGGAAGAGAAAAAUAGAAGCAAGUAAGAAGAGCAACAUAGAGAGAAGAGAUAUCCACCAUAGUGUGAGAUUAAAAAUUCUAGUGAAAGACUUAGAAAUUUUGUAUUCUUUUCUUGUUGGAUAAGAUUGAGUGUUAUCCUCAUAUAAUAAGAAAAACAAAUAUUGUAAUUCUACUUUUAUAGUGAAGGCAUUUUUUAAACUAGGUCCGGUGAAUUUUUAUUUCUCAAGUUGAGAAGGUUUUAUUUAUCUCGUUAUUCUAUUUUUGCUCUAUUUUCUAUUAUUUGCUUAUUGUUUUCAAAAGUGUUCAUCUUGUAUCUACAUAAAAAAAACAAAAAAAAAACCUGAAUUUUCUGAAUUUUCCUAAUAUCUAGGACCAUGGAGUUCACUAUCUACCUUACCUAAGAAUUAAACCUAAACUUGGUACAGGGUAGUCUUAAUAAUAUAUUGAAAUUUAAGAACAUGAUCCACGUGUAGUUAUGUUAAAUAAAACUGCAAAAAAGUUUGCAGAAACAUUUUAUUACAUAGAGGGCUUGCUUAUAACUCUAACCCCGCAACUUAUCUCAAAUACUUGUUUCAUUACUAGAAAAUUAUUAUAAUUAAAGUAAAUAUUAUUUUAAACACUAAAAAUAUUAUUAAUUUUUAAAUUAAUUUUUAGUAUAAAUAAAUAUUUUCUAAAUUGAUAUCUAAUUAGCUACUAAAGUUUUAACUAUCAAUUAUUUAAAUUCUAAAUUUGGUAAUUAAUUAAAUAUUAAUUUAAUUUUUUUAAUCUCUAAAAUAAUAUCUAAUUUAAUAAAUAUAGUAACUAAUCUUUAAAAUUAGUUUUUAUUUAAUAUAUUUUUAAUAUUUUAUUCCUUUCUUCCUCUCUAAAAUGUCUAGUAAUACUAGGUACAGAAACAUCUGGAAAUUUGUGUACUUAAUAACUGUCAUGUCACACACUUAACAAAAACAAAUAAACAUUAAACACAAGUUAAAUUUUUUUAAUCUAUCGGGAUUUUCCAUCUGUUACCAUUUUUUUUAUACAAUUUAUUUUCGAUUUUACCUUAUAUCUUAUUUUAUUAAUACAAUUAAAUAUUUUGUUAUUUUAUAUUAAUUACUUAAAAAAUAAAACUAUUUUUUAAUUUUUUAAAUUAAUAUUAAUAUACGUUUUUAUAUGACUUUCCUACUUUUUCUCUUAAUUUUUUAUUUUAAGUUAAUCACAUAAAAAAAAACAUACUCUGACAUAUCAAACAAAAUAACAUUCAUUUUCAAUCAUUCUUUGUACUCCACUUCAUUUUUACUUUUCAACUCAUCCAAAAUUAUUUCCGUAUAUAUAUUAAAUUUUUAUUAUUGUAAAAGUCAAUUAAAAACCCUAAUAAUAGUAAGGAUUUAAUUAAAAAUACUCAAAAUUUAUGAGAAAAAAUAAAUUUGAUUAAGCCAAAAAAUAAUUGUACCUUCGAUCAACUUGUGUCGGACCAUAUUUGAAGUGUGUGGGAGCCGCAAUUUCUUUUUAUUAAUUUGACACUAUAGCAAAGUGUUUGACACACGCCAUUGAAAAACCAUGUUGGAGUUUUAUAUGAUUCCUUCAAAUGUCUAAACAAUUUCAAUUUGGGGUACGUUAUCGAGAAACUGAUGCAUUGGAAGACUACACUUCUUCAUAUCUUUAAUACUCAUCAAUCACUAUAAUUUAAUGAUGAUCAUGGGCAACACUUCAGGCCCUUAUUUUUUUAAUACAAUUGAAACAAACCAAAUGCAAGAUGUUAAAUAUUUGAUUACUAAGAAAAUCUUAUAUGUUUGAUGAAGCAUGAUAUCAGUACUGAGCAACAAGUCCUUCUUCAGUGCUUGCUAUGGUGGAUGGCCUCUGGAACAUGCACCGUUUGCAUGAUGUUGAAAAGAGAGAGAGAGUCUGGUACUUGUUCUCCCCACCCAUCAUUGGCAUAGCAACCCCUCUCUUCACAGGGCUAACAUACCCUGGCCUGUAAGUCUGACCCAAAACUCCUUCAAAUUUAUCUGUGCUUUUCUUGAAUCUGAAUUGUGUCUCCAAAUGAGCAAAAGCAUCAUUUUGUGGCAGUUGGUAGUUGUGAACCUUGUUUUCUUGCUCUCCAAUAGGCUUCACACUUAUGUCCAUCUCAACCAAACCUGAAACCGUCACUCUCACACUGUUGGUCUCAUCGGUUCUCUCCACAACCACUUCUCUUUCAUCUCCAUUGCCCCUCCAUUCAGCCUCCCCAUCAGUUGGAACAUUGAUCACUUCACCAUCCCACUUCACUGUGAGAGAAUCAACCUUGUCAUUCCAAUGAGACACUCUAUUGGCUGCAAUAACAAGAGUGUGUGAGUCAAACAUGACACCAAGUGCUUGCACCCAUGUGUAGUCACGAGUCCUUCCUUGUGGUCGAGACCCAAUAAAGUGAGCAUUGAUUUGGAACUCCUCAUCAGAAACAAUGGCAAAAUUUCCUCCUUUGGCACCGUGGAAGUAGAACAUCACACCAUCACCUCCCACAAAGCGAGGAUCAUAGCACAGAGAUCCAUACCCAUCACAGUUAGCUUUCCUGACUGUCAAACAAGCAAACUCAACAUAAGUUCCAAUUUCAAUUCUUAGGUUUGUUUGGUGAUGAUUGAGUACAUGGACUAUUUUACUCUUUUAUAUAUACCAAUAUAAAUUUUUUAAACAAAAGUUCAGGUUCCUUGGAACUUACCCUUGCAGGUGGCUUCACAUGUGCUGCUGCUACAGUCAAUGAAACAUGCCUUCUUCUUCUUGUUCUUCUUGGGCUUCCUUUCUGCGCACUCGGAUGGACAAACAAUGGUCUUGAACUCACAGGUGGUGUUUGUUCUGCAGAACCCUCGUUCUUGACCUGAUGGCAGUGCUGACAUCUUGUCAUAAUCUGAGGCUUCAUCACGUUGCUUUUUUGGCUUUUUCUCUUUUGGCUUCUUGUCCUUUCCAUCAUCCUUUUUAUUUUUCUUCCCCUUUCCAUCAUCACUACCCUCACCCUUCCCCUUUCCAUUCUCAUUUCCUUUACCUUUGUCAUUGCCAUUACCUUGACCUUGAGCUAUGGCAGCUUCCAUGGCAAUAAGUAAGAUGAAGAUGGCCACCAAGAUGCUCCACUUUUUUCCACCCAUCUUCGUGAUCUACAAUGCACCUUUCUUUUUGUUUUUUGUCCUCUGCUAUGAUAUGAUGAUCUUCAAGUACUUCUUGAAUGACUCAGAGGAUGUUGAAGAGAGCAUGCAUUGAAAGAGAAUAUAUAGAGAGAGGAAUUGGGUUGAAAAUUAGCCCUGAAGUACGCCUUAAGCUUUGCUACGAUCCUUAUUCUAAACUCUUCAAAAGCUUGUAGUUGCUUAGUAGUGUAAUACGUAUGAAUUUUUAAAGUUCAAAAGUUACUUAUUGACCACGUAAACGCAACGCAUGCAUGAUUAAUAGGGUUGAGUAGCACGUUCUUUUUUGCCAAAGAUAAAAAAAAAAGACUUGUGUAGGAUCUACAGAAGACCCUUGAAGAUGAUAGACCUAUAGUACUAUAGACACAAGAAUUGAGAACCUAGGUAUGAACGAAAGCAUGCAUAACGCCAUGCAUCAACAUAACUUUUGUCUUAUUUUAUUCUAUUUUCAAAUGAUCAGCUUCAAUACUAAGCUACACGUAAACGUUAUGGUUACGUUUGUGUCAUGAAACUAAAGACAGAUGGUGACUUAAGAGUAGAGCAUUAGCUGUAGUAACAUGGGUUUCGAUCGAGUUGAGAAGAAGCAGCUUCUAUUGAUGGCAUUGAGUUAGAACAGCAUCAGCUGCCACUAUUUAUAUGCAAGUUGCCUUUGCCACCUUAAUUCUUCUGUUUAAACAUAAGAAUUAUUGGAUCUUGUAGCCGUCAUAAAUAGAUCAAAGUAUAUGAAACUUAAAUUGGACAACUAUGAAACUCUUAAUUUGACUCAAGAAACAAAUAAACUAUGACUAAGAUUGUGAGUCCACACUAAAUUUUCUUUCACACAACUAAAUUUUAACCAAUACUACAAGCAAGGUAAAAAAAUGCAAAACAAAUAACAUUUGAGAAAUCUCAAUUGUCAACGCUCUAGUUCUUUAGUCACAACUAGACAAUUUAUUUCCUUAUGUUAAAAGUCUCACUUUAUUUAAAAUAGUUUUUAAAUGUUAUUCUUUUAACCAUUUAGUUGUCUUUUCAACAUGAAAUUGUGAUGUAAUACUAUAACCAUCUCAAAACUUCUGAAAGUAAAUAUUUAUAAGAAAAAUUAUUAAUUUCUUUUUUAGUUUAUAUUGUUACUUCAUAUACAUUGCAAGAAAAAAUUAUUUUAGUGGCCAAUAAAAAAGUGGGAGUUAUAAAAAAAGAAGUAAGGGUGUGGUCUACUCAAGUUGGACAAUGGAUGGCAAUGCGGAGCGAGCUAUGUGGGUCAGUCCGCAGCCCGUUAGUAAAAAGUGUGGGAGGACUCAGUAAUUCAACAUGUCGACCCGCUUAAGCCCGUCUCACAUAACUUGUAAUUCGCGCGGGCCAAUAAUGGGAUGGGUCGAGUUGACCCGCUGACCCGUACAAAAAAAAAAGGAACAAAAUUGUUUACUUAUGUCAAUCACCUAUGUUUAGAAAGAAAAAAAUGACAAUAAUGUUUCUUCAAAUUGGACUAAAGUAGUUUAACCAUCAUUUUUGUUUCUCUGUCUUUAUGUUCUAGGUUUAUUGCGGGAGUAUAAUCAUAUUUUCUUUUGUAUGAUGAUAAUUUAUUUUGUACUAUAACCAUAGUUGAACCAUUAAUUUUAAUUAUAUGUUUAUUCUAUAUUUUUUGACAAGAUCUUAAUUUGCAAACACAGGUUCAAUUUUUUAUUCAAUUAUAAUCAAUUUAUAUUCAAUAUUUUUUAUAAUUUUUCAAUAGCCAUGCAAAAAGUAAAAAAUAUUUUGAUUAAAUUCUUUUAUAUUCAAUUUUUCAUAAAUAAACAUUUUUAUUGUAUUUCUUAAAAAAAUAUUGUAUGCGGGUUGACCCGCAAACCUGUGGGCUGACCCUUAUGCGGGGCAGGGUAGAGAAAUUAGUCUGCAUUCACUACACGGGAUGAGUCAACCCAUACCGCAUUUUGCAGGCCAAAUGCGGGGCGGGCCAACUCGCAUUGCCGUCAAGUUGGACACAAAAAUAAAUGUCAAAUAUUGUGUCCAAUAUGGAGACCUUUAACUCACACUAAAAAUUAUUAAAAUAAUUAUAAGUUAGUGUCUGGAAUGGGAAAACAAAGUGGAUGCAAGUUAAAAAUUAUAAUAAGAAUAAUAAUAAGUUAGCGUUUAGAAUGAAGACAAAAAUUAUAUGCAAUAAAAAAAAUAAGUUGCAAAAUGAUACAUGGAACACAAAGUGAAUGCAAGUUAGUAUUUUAUUACAUUUAUAGUAGAUCUAGACAACACUAAGGUGACGUGGACGUUUAUUGUCACCUUAGCCCACACUAAGUUAUUUAAUGAGAGAAAAAAAACAUUAAAACAUUUUUGUCUCAUUUUCAUUUUCUCACAUUUUCAAUUUCGCUCUUUUGUCUUACUAUUAAAACUCAUAAUCCCAAAAUUCCUACGUCUCCUUCGUGGUCAUUUCGCUCUCCUUAUUGUUUGUUAGGCUUGGUUUAUCAAGUCACCCGCUAUCGGGUCAUUAUCAGACCACCCAUAUUAUAUAGUCACACACGAGUUGCUAGCCUCGGCGUAAGGGGUGUGUUGGAGAUCUCAUAUCUUAUAAACUGGUUUUAUGAGGUUGAGUUAGGCAUAAAGUUCACUUCUUAAUAAUUAUUUAAUUUUAUAUCUAUUUUAGUGUCUCUCAAACCUACGCUGUAGUUAAAUAAUAUAUUUUUUAUGUAGGCUUAGCCAACAGUACAUUGUAAAUUUGUGUCCCAUUAAAGGCCGUUUCUAAUGCAUGAUUACCAAAAGAUUAACUUUCAUUUCUAUUGGGACACUAAACCCGCACUAGUUCCAAGUAACGUCUUUCUUUUUCUCUUUGUGUUGUUCUUUUAGAGACUCUAUCAUCCUUAUUUCUGGUAGGGAGAAAAAAAAAAGUGUUUAAGAUUGUAUAAAUAUGCAUAAGAUAUAAAAUGUUGUAUUUGUAUUUUCAUUAAUGAAAAGUUGCAUCUACAUUCACAUUUUGAAAAAUUUAUGUAUAACGUGCAUUGGUUUAUUAAUUUGAUGAUUAUUUUUUCAAUUACUUAAUAUUUACAUUUGAAACUUUUAUGUAAAACAUGCUUUGGUAUAUUAAUUUCAUGAGUAAUUUUUUCAAUUACCUAAUAUUUAUAAUAGUUAAAUGUUAACGCUCUGAAAUAAUUUUAUAAUGUAUUUAUUAUUUUUGGUUUAAAGGAUAGUCAUCUAUAUAUAAAUUUGGCCUAUAGCUAUGAUAUAUUGAAUAAAAUAUUCAAGUUUAUUAUUUAAUGAAAAAACUUCACUAAUUUCAAAAUACGUCAAAUAUAAAUUAUGGAACAAUGUACUUGAGAAUACAUUCUAGAUUUGUUGUUUAUGGAAGUUUGAAAUUAUUGUUUUAAUGAUGGUUUAUGAAUUAGAUAUUUUGAAACAACUUUUUUCAAGCUAUAUUUUAAAAUAGACAAUCUGAAACUACAUCUGAAGGUAUAUUAUAAAAUCUAGAAUAUAUUUUAUGUAAUUUAUAACCAUGUUUUGAAUUCUAAAUUUACUUAAUUUAUAAUUAUAUUAAGAAUUUUAUAAUCCAUAAUUUUAUUAUGAAUUACUUAAUUUAGAAUCAUAUUUUAUAUUUUGAAUUUUAAAAAUUAAAAUUAUAUUUUAUAUUUCGUAAUACAAUAACAUGCCAAAAUUUCCAUCUUGUUAACAUAAUAACAUUAGUCAAAAACACAAAUAGUCCAAGUUUAUUUCUGUAAUUUAUUAGGCCUGAAUUUAAUUUUUGCAUUUCACUUUGAUCCUUCGACAAUUAUUUCACUCGCUCUCAUCCACAACUUAUUUUUAAUACUAAUUUUUCAAAUUGUCGAAGUUUAGUUUAUUUGAUUUAGAACUAGGAAAAGAUGGAUGAUUUAAUCACAAAAUUUAGUUAAACAAAGCCAUGCUGAAGAAUCCAUAAAUAACUUUUGAUUUAGAUGUUAGCUAUAUUUUUUUCAAAUUAUUUAAUGAUUUUUUAAAAUUGGGUAUCUAAUAAAUUAAAUAUUUUAAUUUAACUAUUUUAUGUUUUCUGUCUCAAUUAAUUUAAUACUUAUUAGUUUAUUUCACGUGUCACACAACUUAUAAAUUUUGAACCUUGAUCAUAUUAUUAGGUUUCAUGAGAUUAACAAAAAUGUAUUGGUUGUGUUGAUAAAAUAAAAUCAAAAUAUAAAAAAAAAUCAAAAGCUUAAAUCAAAAUAAAUAUUUUAUUUAAAACCUUAAAUAUGUUUGAUGUAUUAAGCAUUCAAUUUUUUAAAAAUUGGUUAUAUAUUAACAACUUAUAAAUUUAGAUACAAUACCCUUAUAUAUUCUUAAAAAGGAAAAGACUUUAAAUUUAUCCAAAAACAAAUUCAAUGAAAGUUGGCAUAAAAUUCUCCCUGGUAGGAUACUAAUUAUGAGAUUCUAUCAUUAUUAAAUUAAUUGCAUAUAAUUGGGUACAAUAUUAUAUACAAUAAUUGCAUAUAAUUUAAUUAUUAUUAUUUUCUUAAUAUUCCGUCAAGUUGGCAGGGGAAGAUAAUGAACCCCAACUUGUGUCGUAGCGUCAAAAACCAUUCCUUGCUCAGUGUCUUCAUAAAAAUAUAUGCGAGUUGAUACUGUGUCGAUACAUAUGAAGGACUGAUUAUCACAGCUUGUAAUUUUUCUCGCACAAUGUGGCAGUAUAUCUCAAUGUAUUUUGUGCGUUCAUGAAAUACUGGAUUUGUUGCUAUAUGUAAUGCCGCUUGAUUGUCACAAAAAAGUUGAGCUGACAAGUUACAUGACACCUUUAAAUCCUGCAAUAGAUAUCGCAAUCAAACUAUCUCCAAACAAGUAUUGGCCAUCGCGCGCGGUAUUCUGCUUUCGCUGAUGAUCUUGAUACGUUUGUCUUCCCCAGUCUGAGUCGCAAUAAGUUGUCAAUGUCAGAUUGUUUUUGGAUAGCAAUAACCAUCCUUAUCCUGGUGAUCCUUUGAUGUACUUUAGGACUCGAAUUGCGGCAUCCCAAUGAGGUUUUCGUGGAUCUUGUAUAUAUUGACUUAGGGUCUGAACCGAAAAUACUAUGUCAGGCCGAGUAACUGUGAGGUAUAUCAGUCGUCCCACGAGUUGCCUGUAUUUGACUGGAUCCUUUAAUAAUUCUCCACAGGUGUGAGUUUUAGGUAUUGUUUGGAAAUUUGUCUAGACGAGCACCUGUGAGUCUCGUAUCCUACAAAAUAUCAAGCGCAUAUUUUCUUUGGGACAUGUAAAUACCAACUUUGGAACGGGAAAAUUCAAUCCCUAGAAAAUAUUUUAGGUCUUCAAGAUCUUUAAUGCGAAAUUGUUGUAAUAAACAAUCUGAAUUUCUGUCAAAUCAUUGUAUGUCAAAAGAAUAUCAUCCACAUAAAUCAAAAGGGCAGUAAAUAAUGAGUUAUUUUGUCUUGUGAAUAGAGAGUAAUCUGACUCUUGAAAUCCUAUAGAUUUAAUCCCAUGAGAAAAUGUUGAAAACCAUGUCCGAGAUGCUUGUUUGAGACCAUAAAGGAUUUGUUGAGUCGACAUACAAUGUUCUCCCUCUAUCGAUGAUGCCGGGUGGCAAGUCCAUGUAAAUAAUUUCAUGCAAUGUGCCAUGUAAGAAGGCAUUUUGCACAUCUAGCUGGUGAAUAAAUUAAUUGUUGGCUGCUGCAAUGGUGAGGAGACACCUUAAAGUUGUUAAUUUUGUUGUUGGUGAAAAAGUUUCAGAAUAAUUGACACCUUCAAUAUGAGUGUACCCUUUGCGACAAGGCGCGCCUUAUAUCUGUCGAUGUUACCAUCUGAGUUGCACUUUAUUUUAUAGACCCAUUUGCAUCCGAUGGGUUUCUGCCCAACGGGUAACGGUGUCAAGGUCCGAUUUAGCUGCAAGGCAGAAAGCUCUUCGUCCAUUGUUUUUUGCCAAUUUGGAUCAAGGAUAGCUUGAGCAUAAGUGUGAGGUUCUUUGGUGGCUGUGAUGUUAGCAAGAUAUGCACUAUGUGUAGAAGAAAAUCGUGAAUUAGAAAGAAAAUGAUGCAUAGGAUACCUGGUUCCAUUCAGUUGAUCUUGGGCAGUGGUCAAAUGAUUGGCUUGGGAUCCGUUAUGUAGUUUUGAAGCCAGGAAGGUGGGGUUGAUGUGCGACUGGAUCGUCGAACAGGAAGGUCGGUUUGAGAAGGUUUGGUAAUGGGUGUUAGACUUCUUGGCAUGGGAGUAAAAGGUUGGUCUACUGGAGGUUCAGGUGUAUUAUGACGAGUAGGAGAAGAAGGUUGGUUUGAUGGAGGUUCAGGUGCAUUGUGAUGAGUAAGAGAAGAAGGUUGAUCGAGUGAAUGUUGGACAGAAGUGGGUAAGUCAAUGUCAAUAGUGGGCAAAAUACCUUGUGAUGGAGGUGAGGAUUGUGUCUGUGACUGUUGGCAGAAUGGGAAAACACUUUCAUGGAAGAUGACAUCUCGACUUGUAAAAAAAGUGUUUGCAUCUAUAUCAAAUAAUUUGUAUGCUUUUUUAUUGAGAGGAUAACCAAUGAAGAUGCAUUGUCAAGCGCGCGGAUCAAAUUUUUGCUUAGGUGAACCAAAAGUUGCAUAACAUCUGAAAAGGUGAUUUAUUUUUUAGUAAAGGUGUUGGCAAGCGAUUAAUGAUAUAUGUGGCGGUUAAAAUGUAUUCCCCAAAAUUCUAAUGGUAAAUGGGACUGAAAUAAGAGGACUGGUGCUGUGUUAAAAAUGUGUCUAUGUUUGCGUUCUACUACUCCAUUUUGUUGAGGAGUGUAGACAUUCAAUACCUUUUUUGAGAAAAAAAUUACACAUAGAAAUAAAUUUCAAUCCGUUGUCAACACGGAUGGUUUUAACAGAUGCCUGAAAUUGAUUUUGUGCAAAAGUAAUGAAUGAAUCUGAGAGAUGUUGGGUUUCAGACUUGUGAUUCAUAAGAAAUAAUCAAGUACAUCUAGUAUAGUCAUCAACAUAGUGAGAAAAAAACGUUUUCCCAAAAUGAGUUGGGGUUUUAUAAGGACCAAGUGUCACCAUGCAAUAGAUUAAAUGAUGAGAUUUUAUUGUGCUUAAAGGAAAGGGUAGCCUUGUCUGUUUAGCUUUGGGAUAAAUAGUACAAUUAUUUUGAAUGGGAAUGAUGCAAGUUGUAGACACGCCGGAGAAGGAUGUCCAAGGCGCUUGUGCCAUAAAUCAGGGUCGGUCGAUAUUUGAGAUGCGUGGACUUGGUUUGGAAGAGGGACAUGUAAUAUAAGUCUGUGUGUUGUUUACCCGAGUCAAUCAUCCUCCCCGUAGUCAAGUCCUGCAAAAUGCAACCUGUGCACAACAAUUUAGUGAACUGGUUAUCUUACUAACAGACAUGAGAUUUAAAUUAAAAGAAAGAACACAAAGAACAUUUUUUAGAGUGACUUUGCCAUUGAAUUUAAUUGUGUCCAUAGAUGAAAUGGGUGCAGUUGAGCCUGUGGGCAGAUUAACAUUUGAAAUAAAUGUUGAUGAAGUGUGUGUGAAAAAUUGUGAAUCAGAUGAUUGCUCCACUAUCCAAAAUUGUGAUUGGUUGCUCCACUAUCCAAAAUCCAUGGUUUCGUAAAAGCAGACCUGCAGAGCUAACAAACGUGUCACUUUUAAAUAGUCUUUGCCAAUUGUUGAAUUUGCUCGGCACUGAAGCCUUGUACGAGGUUUCUAUCAGACUCGUUAUUGAUGCCUUUUUUGCCAGACGAUCUUUUAUUUAAGGGAUAAAAAUGGAGAGGCUGUCAGGGCACCAAGAUCGGUGCUCUAAUACAAUAUAAGAAAAUGAUUAAAAAAAAUGGUAAGAAGAAGAGAUGUUUCUUAUUCUCUUAUGUGUAUGGUUACAUCAUGAAAUAUAAACUAAAUUUAUAAACAAAAAUAAUUAGUUGAUAUAGUGACUAAAUUAGAGACCAUUUUAGGGACUAAAUAAAUUUUUGGUUUCUAAAUUAAUUUCUAUUAUUGUUAAAUGGUUUCUAAAUUGGUAUCUAAUUAACAACUAAAGUUUUUGUUACCAAAUUUAGAAUCUAAAUAAUUGGUAGUUAAAACAUUGGUAGCUAAUUAAAUACCAAUUUAGAAACUAUUUAACAAUAAUAGAAACUAAUUUAAAAACUAAUUUUUUUUUAGUUUCUAAAAUGAUUUCUAAUUUAGUUACUAUUGCAACUAAUUAUUUUGGUAUUUAAAAUUUAGUUUCUAUUUGAUGAUUUUCUUGUAGUGUACUUAAAUUGACUUUCUUAAGAUUUUUUUAAAAGUUUCUUCUUACCCUGUACAAUUAUUUUAGCAUAAUUUUAGAAUGUUUUCUCGACCAAAAUAUAAAUAAGCUUAAAAUAACUAAAUGAGUACUAUUAUAUUAUAAAUAGAAUACCUAGAUUACUAAAGUAAAAAAGAAAUUAUAUGGUUUUAACUAUAAAUUAUAUAGAUCCUAAUUUUUUUUUAAAAAACUUUGGUAGCUAAUUAGAUAUCAAUUUAGAAACUAUUUAUCAAUAAUAGAAACUAAUUUAGAAACCAAAUUUUUUUUAGGGUCUCUAAUUUAGUCACUAUAACAACUAAUUAUAUUUUGUCUCUAAUAUUUUUAGUUGUAGUACAAUUUUCACUUCAACAAAAAUUUCUUCGCUUGAGUGAAAAUUGGGUUGAGACUAAGCUUAGUUGAAAUAAUAUUUUUGCUUGAACAAAAAUUUCUCUACUUGAGCGAAAAAUCCAUCGUUUGAAUGAAAAUUCCUUCGCUUGAGCGAAAAUAAGAUUGAGACUAAGAUUUUGAUUUCUAUUCUAUUUUAGUUUGACGGAAAAAUAUAAGAAUUUAUGUCUCGUUCAAUAGACUCACAUAAUCCUAAAACAAAAUUCAAAGUCAUUACUCUACAUUAAUAUAAAAUUUUGCAACUUUUGGAUAAUCAAAGGACUUUUAUGGUUUUAAAAUGAUUAAAUAUAACAUGUAUUAUCAUUAAAAUCACAAUUCAUCAAAGACAUUAAACUUCAAAUUCAACUCACAAUCAAUCAACUACUUUUCCAAUUGGUUAAGCUUCAAAUAUUUUUUAUUAAUCAACAUCUAUUUUACUCAACAAACAAACCUAAAGUUCUAUUGAAAAAUAAAACUAACUUUCCUUACGAGAUUAGAAGUACGAGUACUCACAAAGAACUCCAACUUCUAAAAAAACAAAGAUAACCUAACAUGCACCACACAAUUUUGAUCAAUGAUCUGAACACACCACUAGGUUCCCAAACUAACAAAAACUCAUACUAAAGUUAUAAACACUACAUGCAAAUCAUGUCUACCCAAUUAAACAAACAAACAAACUCAAAAUCGACUCAGAAAAAAAAAUACAAGAAAGAAACUUAUUCUAAAUAAAAUUAUGAUUGAACAAUUUUAUUUGAGUCACUACCAAAAGUCUAAAAGUGACAUCUAAUCGUCAAUCUCACGAAGAAUAAAGUCAAAUUUCUAGAAGGAAGCAAAUAUAUAUAUAUAUAUAUAUAUAUUUAUAGAAAUAAUGAUUAUUUUAAUUUUGAAAACUAACUAAUUUUUUAAUUCUGAAACUAUUUUCUAAAUUCUUACAAUAAAUAUAUAUUAUUAAACAUUUAUAUUGUAUUAAAUUUAUCAGUAUUUAAAGAUGUAAACAUUCAUAUCACUAAAAUCAUGAAAUAGAAACUAAUUUGUAGAAACCAAAAUAAUUAGUUGCAAUAGUAACUAAAUUAGAGACCAUUUUAGAAACUAAAAAGAAAUUUGGUUUCUAAAUUAGUUUCUAUUAUUUUCUAUUAUUGUUAAAUAGUUUCUAAAUUGGUAUCUAAUUAGCAACCAAGGUUUUUGCUACCAAAUUUAGAAACUAAAUAAUUGGUAGUUAAAACCUUAGUUGCUAANNNNNNNNNNNNNNNNNNNNNNNNNNNNNNNNNNNNNNNNNNNNNNNNNNNNNNNNNNNNNNNNNNNNNNNNNNNNNNNNNNNNNNNNNNNNNNNNNNNNAAGGUCUCGUCAUUCCUGUCGUUCGGCCAUGUCCCCGAGGGUCUUGACAUCUCGGUCGUUCGGCCAUCUUUCCGUAGGUUUCGACCAUUCGGUCGUUCGGCCUCGCCCAGUACCGGUUCUCUAUCCUAUAUAAGUCGAGACCAACAUCGUCUACUACCAGUUUAUGGCCAUGUUACUGCUUAAGGAAAAAGUUACCCCAGGUUAUCACAUAGACGCGAUGAUGUACCCUAGCUUUAAGUUUUUGAGUUAAGUGGGGAGCCGCUUAACUUUGUUUUAACUGCUAAAUGCUUAAUUAGGAGGUCUAUGUAUAAGGGUUGGAACACCCCUAAAGUGUUUCAUUUUAUUCUAUUAAUUCGUUGCUGAUCAAAAAAAAAAAACAUAGCCCUCCUAAUUAAGCAUUUAGCAAUUAAAACAGAGUUAAGCGGCUCCCCACUUAACUCAAAAACUUAAAGCUAGUCAGAGUUACAUUGCCUUACAAAGUUGGUCUCGAAACAUAGCCUUACAUAGCCUUACAUAGCCUUACAUAGCCUUACAUAGCCUUAAAAACGGCUCCCCUCCUAAUCAUUGUGUUUUUGCAGCAACAAGGCCAGAACUGGGCGAGGCCGACCGACCAAUGGUCGAGACCUUCGGAGAGUUGGCCGAACGACAGAGCUGUCGAGACCCUCGGGGACAUGGCCGAACGACAGAGGUGGCAAUACCUUCGAGGACUUGGACGAACGACCGAAGGUCAGGACCUUCGUGGACUUGGACGAACGACCGAACGUCAAGACUUUCCCAUAGACCUUCUGCGCAAACUUUGUUGCUAAUUAGAUACCAAUUUAGAAACUAUUUAACAAUAAUAGAAACUAAUUUAUAAAUCAAUUUUUUUUAGUUUAUAAAAUGGUUCUUAGUUACUAUUGCAA